ACAAGCUUUUAACACUGAAUGUUAUUUGACAGUGGGGAAGAUAGGUUCAACUCUUACUAUCUCAUUGGUGUAUAUUCAAGGACAGGAAAAGAAAAUAACCACAUGCAAUGGAAGAUGAGAGUAAAAAGUCAGGAAGAAAGCCACAUAUGACACAAAGGUUUAGGACAUCACUUCCAAGACAAAGAUGCAUAACAAAUUCACCAAUGAAUAACUUAAAUAACUCCUUCACGGAUGGCCUAACAAACCUGGGUAUGUGUACAAUAGUACAUGCAAUAUGUACUGGGCUUCAGCACAGCCCUGGGGACUAGAAUAUCUUAUGACAGGAAAUUGAGGUGACGAAUCCCAACAUUUCAAUUAAAAGCCCUUCCAUCAAACUCAAUGAAUAAGCCUAUGGUCUCAAACAACGGCCGAAGUGUCCUUCACUGUCAGUUUACCCAAUACCCAUAACACGUAAAAUACCCAUAAGCUACUAAAGCACCAUAAAUUAAGUAUACUGAAAUAUGUAGAAUUUAAAUUGUUAAUAAAUACUCGAGAUCCUAAAAAGAUUACCCAUUCUUCAAAAUGGGUAAAUUGGAUCUUCAGCCAAGUUCCCAAGAAUAUUAAAAUUUACUCUUCCCUUAAACUCUUCAUUGGUUGCAUCAGUCGUGAAUAUUGAUGGCAUUCAUAAAAAAAAAUGGAACACAUAAUGUAUCAAUAUAUCAACAUCAGUUUGAAGCCCUAAGAAAACAUUCAGCACACACAGCUUUUAUAAAAACUCAAUGAAGUCAAAAGAAUAGAAUCUUGCAAGCACCAGAUGCACACCUCCCCAUUCUCCAAGUUGGUUCAUUAUUUGUCCUCCAUUUGCAACAAGAGAGGUCAAAGAAAUAAGAAUGAUACAAGCUUUGGAGAGGACUUCAAAUAUAACUGAAACUCAUUCAUUUCUUUCACAUAGGGAUAAGCCUCGGCAACGCUUGGCUUCUGGUGUAAAUAUAUCCAAAAACAAUACCAAACAAGUUGUCUGCCACAAGAUUUUAAGCUAACUCUAAAUUUUCCACUUAUUAUUUGGGCCCUAGAAGCGUGCAACAUCUCAUGCCUAUACAAGUCCCUUUAGGUAUGAGUGAAAGACAAUUAUCUAAAGCUACUGCAAUGAAGAAUGCCUUUUUAAUGUUAAGAGCAAACUGAAGCUUAUAUAUCUAUUUCUUGAGAACUCAAAAUAGAUGAUUGGCAAUCAGCUAUAUAUUUCAUGCAUAUAAUAUCUGAGGUCUCAAAUGCCUAACAAAAUUGGAAUAAUGGUCUUCUCCUUCCAGAAAUAUGAUCGCUUAAGACCAUGUCAUUCUUUAGAAAAAUAGAACGAUACACUUAUUAAAUUGCUUUUAUAUUUAAAAAUUUUUUCUUAUGGCAAAAAAUAUUGCAUAUCUUUGAUCUAUUGUUUCUGAUUUAUUUUCAAAGAAAACAAUGCAAAGGUUCAGUAUUAGUAAGGUGAAUUUGUGCCUAACUUGUAUGAGUUAUGUGCUCAAGCUUAAGCUAAGGUUACUAUGUAUCCAUAACCCUCUUCAAAUUCAAGGAAAUUGGUAACUCAUAUGUAUAUAUAUAUACUGGAAAGCUGUGAGUGAUAAAGAAUUUAACCAGUGAUGCAUUUUGGAUGUCGAAUCUUGUCAUCUACUCAAGAAGGCACAGCAGACUUAAGCAGUCACUCGAUUGAACCAAGUGACAAACGACAGAGUGUAAGCAAAAAAAGUUGAAUAAGACUUGUAAACAAGGACUAAACCAUACUAAUCUGUGACCUAAAAAUGCACUGGCUACAAAUAAAUGGAUGAAGUGGAAAAUCAUAUGCAAAAAAAUUUGAAACCAGCUACUAGACUCAUAUGUUAAUAACCUACUGGCAGGAUAAUUGACAUCUUAUCCUUCUCUUUGUCUGCAAACGGAAAUCUUAAUCAUAUUUAGAACCCAAAAAUCAUAAACGUUUUUCCUAGACUAAGUUCAACAGAUGCAAAUAGUGUUGUGUGCAUAAUUUUGCCAUUAUUCUCGCAAAUGAAGACCAUUAGCAUUACUCUUCAUUUCCAAAAAUUUAUCAUGUUUAAAACGGUAAACAACUUUGGUUUGUUUGUUCCCCCCCCUCUUAAUACCUAAUGCAUUUGAACAACACAACAUGCCUGUGCCUAUCUUCUGCAUAGCUCACCCAGUUCUCCAAACUUCAUCAGUUUUAUCAAUUAGUCGCCAUCCCAUUCGCUGUUUACUUAUGCUUAAUCAUUCAAACAUCUCUUUCUUUGGAAACCAAUUCCAUAACAAUGCUACUCUUCAUCUCAAACCAAAACAAUUACAGCAGCAAACACAUUAUACCAGUAAUUCAAGUCCGCUAUACCCUUGUUCACUUACAAAUACCCCAAGUUCCCAACCUUGCCCAGAAUUUAAGAAUCCCAUAAAACCAAGUUCACUAAACCAAUUUAACCGUCCUGAUUCUCAAGUCAGCAUGAAUUUUCUUUAUAUCUAAAAUUUCCUUAUUUUGAAAUUAUUCCAGAGAACUGACAAGAGACAAAACCAGCAGAAUUCAUUACCUUUUCAAGAAUUGACAUGGCUUCUUGUGUUGCACUCUUCUCCCUCUCUACAUAACAAAGGAAGCACUUUUAUCAAUCACCACACUGCCCAGACUAUCCCAAACAAUCAAAUUGAAAAUUUUCAAAAACCCAGAUGCAAAUUACAUAACUAAAUGCCAAUAAAGUACAAAAAUAACAAAAAAAAAAGAACAUAACUUUCUGGACAGAAGAGAUGGGAUGAGAGGCCUUACUGAUGGGACAGGUGAUGAGGAAUCCGGAGUGGGAAUGACUGAGGAGAGAAGAAGGGGCGUUGUAGUCAAAACGAGGAAUGGUGAUGACAGUAGAGUGCUGCUCCCAGGGCUUCAGCUCCUCCUUGGUUUUCAGUUCCACUUUCAUUGCUUCUUUUUCCAAUUCUUUUGCUCUUUCUUUUGUUUUUGCUGUCCCAUGUUUCAUUUCCAGUAUUAUUGAGUUGCAAUUUGUUUGGCAGAUGAGAUCUAUAUUUAUAUUUCGCCCCCUCUUUUGUAUGGCAAAUGAGUUUUUUUACCCUAGUUCUUCCACUUUACUAAUAAAAUGUGAUUUAUUCUAAAUAUUUUAGACCCUCUUUGAUAACCCAAUUCAGUAUUUAAACUUAAUGGAUUCAGAUUUGAUGUCUUCAGACGCAUUGAUAAUAAAAAAUAGAAUGUCUAAAUUAAUUAAGUGAUAUUGAAUUUCUUAGGUAAAACUUGCUCUCAAAAUAAAAUAUUAAAUAUGAAAUUUGAAUUUAUUAAGUUAUUAAAUUGUUAAGUAUUAAAUGUGAUACAUUUGAGUAUAUAUCAUAUUAAGUGAUAAAUGAAUAACAUCACUUAUUUUUUGAAACAAGUUUUACCUAGAAAAUCGGUGUCAUUUUAUUUUUUGAAGUAAAUUUUGGCUAAAAAAUUCAGUGUCAUUUAAUUAAUUCAGAUGUGUAAUUUUUUGUUAUCAAAUGCGUUUAAAUAUGUUAAUAUAUGAAUCCAUUAACUUUAACUGUUGAAUUGAGUUAAAACAGUGCUUAAUACUUCACAAUUCAACAACUUAACUUAAUGAAAUUCAAAUUUUAGACUUCAGUUUUCAAACUUUAAUUUUAUCAAACGCACCCUCCUAUUACCCAAAUUCUACUAAACAAAAUUUUUCUACAUAUUACCACCCUCACAAUUCACAAAGUCAUUUUAAUAAUUGAAUCUAUUAACUGAUGUCAGUCGGUUUGGAUCAUUUUGUGAUAUCAAAGGUGAAAAAAAUCACAUGUGUGCACAAAAAUAAAACCAAAAAAAUGGUAUAGAUUUUUCUUUUGAAAAAAUGGAGAGUUGUAGUUGCAGUCUCCAAUUUUUAACAUUUGCACUAAAAUAAUCUCUAAUGUUUUGAUCAAAAUAAAUUUGGUUCUCAAAGUUUUUGGUAGUAGGUACAUUCAACAUUGUCGAAAACUCAACAAUGACUAACUGUCAAAAUUUAAUUACUGUUAUUUAACAAUUUUGACUUUGUACUUUUGGACCCUAAUGUUUGAAAUUUUAAUCAUUUUAGUUGCUUAAAUUUUCAAUAGUGAUAUCGAGGGUAUUAGGAUAAAACAAGAUGCGAAUUACAACACAAUUGUCUUAAAUUGGUACUAGCAAUUCUAAUUAAACUUUUUUUUACUGCAUUUAUUCAUGCCACUAAUGUCUCAUAUACUUCUUCCCUUUGGUAUAAUUGGUCACAAAUUUGGUAUUAUAUAUGUGAUUAUUGAUUUAUACAAGCAGUAAUUAACUGAUAAUUCACCCAUAAUGAGUAAAAGCACUUCAUAUUAGUUUUUAUGUUUGCUAGUUUUUAUAAUUACAAUUCCUAACUAUAACAAUUUAAGGCCUAUAUGUACAAGUCAUGCAAGAACUAGCAUGAAUGAUAAUAAAUUUUAUAUUAAUACUAGAAUUUUCCUUUUUAUUUUAUAUAUUAUGUAUAUAUUGUCAUUUGAUUGUGACUUAUUCAAAAAAAAAUCUUCAAGUUCAACGAUGUUAUUAUGUUGCUAUAAAGUGUUUUUAUGAAAUUUUAUAGCAAUUUUGGACGACAUUUGUCAUAUAUUUAAUUCAAUUCACACCUUUUUUUUUCAUUUUAAAACCCCUAACUAUAACUAGAAACUUAAGAGACCAUAUUGAUUGAAACUUCAAACAUUGGGGACUAAAAAUGUAAAGUUAAAAUCAGAAAAUUUAGAGACCAAAUUUGUUUUGGCUGAUAUAUUAUGGACCAAUUUGAUAUAUAGGUCAAACAUUGAGAGUCAAAUUUGUGUCUCUCUUUGGAAAAUUUUGAGAAGUAGUAAUAGAAAGAUUUAAAAUUCAGUAUAAGUUUUGGCAAAUUCACAUAUUCCUAAUAUCUAAUAAAACACAUGUCAUGAUAAAAAAAUACCAAAUUAACCUAUCCAACCAAGCAAGCUCCCACUCUAAUCAUCUGAUCCCCAAAUUCCCUUUCUUACUCAUUUCGAGAGGGAAAUGAAUUAGCACAAAAAUCUGAGGCAAUCCUUCUGGGACUAUAAAUGGGGCGAGGUCAGCUUGAAGUUGGCUCCAAGAAAAAGUCUGAUGGGCCUGACCUUUCAUUGAGUUGGAUUGAAAUUGGGUCUGAAUAUUAGUUCGAAAUUAAAUGUGAACAGAGUUUGGACACUAUUAAGGUCAAACCCGAUAUAGGCUCAACCCAUUAAUAUGCAUAUAUAUAUAAUAUUCAUAUUUUGAUAUAUAUAAUUAUAUAUCUAAAUUUAUAAUACUAAUACUUAUGAGUUAUUUGUCAAAAUAUAUUAAUAUAUAUAAGGAAUAUUAAUAUACAAAAUUAUGUCAAAAGAUUUUUAAGGACAAAUCUUAGUACAAUCAAAUUGAGGACCUUUGAAGAUAUAUUGACUGUUGAUCAUAUUUUAUUACUAUUUUCCAUGUACAUUGAAUUAAUUGGAUACAUUAUUGUUGAAAAUUUCUUUGGUUUAUAUAUUUUUUAAUGAACUAUUAUCGAUUCUUGUAUAGUUUUAAUGUUGUGGUCCUGUGGAUAUUAAAUUAGUUUAAAACUUAAUAAUUAUAGUAAUUAUAUUAAGGAAAUUAAGGAAUUAUAAGUGAUCUUAAGUUAGGUCUAAAUUAAACUCACAAUUUGAAUAUUUUGUGAGUCAAGUAUGAGUUUUACAUUUAUCAAUCCAAAACUCAUAAUUCGAAACCCGAAAGUGAUACUAAGGCUCCGUUUGAUAAAACUGAAUCUGAAUUCUAAAUUCUGAAUACUGAAACAAUUAAUUUGCUGAAUAUUAAGCACUGAAAAGAGACAUAUGAAUAUCUAAAUCUUAAUGCUGAACAUAUUUAUACUGUUUGAUAAACAUUUAUAACUUAAUGCUUAAUAAGCUAAAUUGUACAAUUUUGCCCUUCUAUCUUUUAAUACAAAAAGGAAAUAGAACCUAUGAUUUAAUUAGCUUAAAAUUGUUAGGUAUGAAAAUGACAAUAUUUAUUUUUAAAUCAAAGUAAUAUAAAAGAAGAAAUAUAUUAUGGAAAAGUCCAAAUAUCGGUGCAAAUAUAUUUUUAAAUCAGAGUUUGAUAAGAAAAGUCCAAAUAUAAGCAAAAGGAAGCAAAAGUCCAAAUAUAAGCAAAAGGAAGCUGCAAUAAACAAGUUUUAAAUUCACACCAAAUUAUAUAGAAAUUUAAUUACUUCAAUGGAAAAAUGUUGAAGCAAAACAACAAAUAAUCAAUGUCACUCACCUUGGAAAUAAUGAAUUUGAGAUCGAUGAGUAUGGUAGCAAUAAAAAAAAUUGGGAGGAAAAAAUGACAAAAUUAUAAAAGAGUAGAAAGAUGAAAAAAGAUAAAGAGUAGACAGAUGUGAGGAGCAUGGAGAAAUUGUAAAAAAGUCAUUAAAUAGGGAGAAAAUAGAAGUAGAAAGCCAUUAGACAGAAAAUAUCAGGUUGUUUAAUUAGAUAAGGAUUUUGAAUGUAAUUAACAAACAAGGAUAAAUUUGGUAGAUAAGAUAAAGUAGUUGAAGUAAAUCUCUUGAUUCUUAUCAAAUUAAGCAUUCAGUUACGAUUCUUGUGCUGAAAAAAAUACAUACAAACUCAGCACCACUUAAUAAGUUCAGCAAAAAAAUUUUUAUUUAUCAAACACCCAAAACACCCAAAACAUCUGAAUGUCUGAAUGAAUUCAGUUUCAGCACUUUUUUAUGUUAUCAAAUAGACACUAACUAUAAAAGCGGAACCUAAGUUUGUUAAACCUCGCUUCAAAUGGCCCAACUGAUAGGCCUAAAUCCUUCCCUUCUUUUGAUUUAAAUGAAAUUAAAUUUAAACCUAUAGUUUAGUACUCAUAUUCUUUUGUACCCAAACAGCCUUUUGACCUUCUUUUUUUUUUUUUGGUAUUAACCAGAGGUGUUCGCAUCCGUUUUACGGUCUGCGACUAAUCCUAUUCGAACCACGUCGGGCCCUUUGUAGGGGAAAGCUCUCCCAACGUUGUUUUUUCCAUCCCCAUGGGUUUCAAACCCAAUACCUCAUGGUUAAGGGAUGCAAACGCCUUCCACUUGUACCAACAUCCGUUGGUGCCUUUUGACCUUUGAAAAACAUUACCCGAAAUACUACAAGUUAUCUUCACCUUGAUUAGAAUUAUUUCAAGCAAUCAUGAAAGUCAAGUCACAUAAUCAAUUUUGUUGUCUAGGUUCUAUUUUUAUUUUUUAGUUUUUUUAUUCUAACUGUAAAAAAAGGUUCAUAAUCGCAAUACUAGUAUGAUUGAUCAUGGAAGUAUAUUGUUUGGUUGCAUUUUUUGGAAGGAUAUAUUGUAACACUUUUUUAGAUGUGAUCUAUAUGAAGUAAAAAAAUCAUUGAAAAUGUGUCAAGGAAAUAUUUUCGAAAAACAUGAGAUUUUUGUCCUGAGAAUGGCAAUCCAAAAAACGCCACUAUAUUUGCAUACUACUGCAAAUUGACCUCUUUUCUACAAAUAUAUUAUUUUUUAUAACUUAAACUAUCCAAAAAAAAAAGAUCUCUAAUCAAAAUAGUGAAUUGUUAUGCACAAACUUGUAACAUAUAUGCUUCUAAUAAAACAAAAAAAAUAAUGAAAAAGAUCAAUCUUUAAAAAUAUUACCUAUGGAAGAUAGAAGCAAUAGAUAAAAUUUAGGAAUUCUUCCAGACUUGUGGUUUUCAAAUAUCAUUGAUUUCCUCCAGUUUCACGUGAUCUAGUAGGCCUUUGCAAUUUUAAUCUUUUGCCAUUUGUAGAAAAUGUACAAUGGUAGGGAAAGAAUGGUUUUAGUAGUGACGAAAAAGGCAAAGGAACUCUUUUAUAGCAAUCGUGAAGCCUUAGGGCAAUUGCAGUAGUUGACGAAUAGACACAACUGAUAAAUGGGCAAUAUUGCCUCUUUAUGCAAUAAAAAGAAAAGAAAGAGUGCGUGAGACUUUUUUUUUGUGGGAAUGCUAAUAUUAUUUGCCUUUUGAAAAAUCCAAUUUUGGGAAAGAAUGGUAUCAACUUUCCUUCUCUCAUUUGUUAAUAUUGAGAGAACUCCAACAGGCACCGCUUUGUUACACAAUAUGAAGGGUUGUUUUUAGAUUCUUCUUAUUGUUUGCAUUUUAAGUAUUGAACCUAUAGUUAAAACUCUACUAGAUUUUGAUUAGUUGGGAAAAUUUAAUAUAUAUGAGACUAGAACCAGCAAUACCCACUAAGAAUUGAGAAUACUUGGGUACUGCGAUGGAGUCCCAUGAGACCCAAUCUUUUGAGUUUUUAUAACAAAUAAUUUUAUUUCCACAAAAUUUUUUCUGAAUAAUCACAUUUUUAAAUUAUAUGUUUAAUGUACGUGAACUUCCGUGGUACAACACUAGCUCUUUUCCUCCUCUUUUUUCCUGUACUUUUAGCAUCUUCAAUCCAUGUGUUUUUACUUAAGAGAAUUUUUUUUAAGCAAAUGAGGAGCAUUCAGUGUAACGAUGUAAAAUUCACUUGGAACUUUAUUUAUGCAAGAUAAAUUCUUAAUAACUAAUACAUAGCAUUUUGUACAAAGUUCUUGUUCGUUAGAAAAAAUUAUUGUUAUGUUAAUCUUGAUUGUAGGUGAUUAUGAUAAAAAUUUAAUCCACUCAGUAUGAUGAAAUGCCUAGUAAUUUUUCUUUUAGCUUGAUGAAAUGCUUAGUAGACAAAAAUUUGAAAUUUAGAAUAUGGAUUUCUUUGGUAGGUUUUACAAGUGGUGCGGAUAUUUUAUUGUAUUCUACAAUUAUUAACCAUUUUAGUUAUAUCCAAAACAAUUCAUUUGAGCAACUAGUGGAAAAAAUAGAAAAAAAAUAGGGGUAGGGUAUUUGUCUGAAUUGAUUCUUCCAGUGGAAAAUGCUUCAAGAAAGUCGGGAUGUAAAAUGGGUAAAAUAUUUGAAGUAUUAGUUCGUUCCUAUUGUUUUCUCUUAUCCUAGUUCGUAUAUACUAAUAUUAUACUCGUAGAAUAUACAUUCUUACAUAUCAUUCCAAAAAACAUUCAUAUUUCCUGCAUUUCAAAAAUAUUUUGAAAAAUACUUAUACUUUUCAAUUAACCAUACAAAACACGUAAUAAACUUUUAUAAUGUAUCAUCUUCGCAAAUUAUACUUCAAUUUAAAAAAUUUUAAAAUUUGAGUGAUGAUAAUGACAUGUUUAUGAGUUAUAUACAAAUAAGAGUCACAUAUAACAUAAUAACUGUAGAUUAUACAUAUUUAAGCAAUAUGGUAACAAAAUUAAUAAAUGUAACAUCUCAUACACGAAAAUAAUUUUAAGAUUGGUAUAAGAGAGCAGCAUAUUCUUUGAAAACUAUAGUAAAUUAUCCGGAUGGUCACUAAACUUUUGCAAUCGUCGAGUUUUGGUCACUCAACUAUUAAAAGUCUGGUUUUGAUCGCUAAAAUGUAUAAAGUUAAGGUUCCAGGCCAUUCUGUUAGAUCUAGUCGUUAAGUUUGCUGAUCCGUUUAUCCACACGAUUUCCAAGACAAAAUAAAGGGUCAAUUUAGGAAGUUCAACAUGCAUCUUCUUCUUCUUCUUCUUAUUGUGAAGCACCCGGCUUAUGGAUUCGAUCAGUCCAACGGGUUCGACUCCAUACCUAAUCCGAUUGUCCUCCACUUCUUCAACAAAAUCUCUGACAUCAAAACCCUAAUCCGUUGCCGCUCCGUUUCCAAAAGGUUCAAUUCGCUGGUUCCUUAAGCCGACUCGCUCCUCCUCCGAGUUGACCGAGUCAUCUCUACGACCAAUACCGACAACGACGAUGGCGAAGCCUUCUUUCUCGCCUUCCUUCGAUCCAUCAUUGAAUCCCUCCAUAAUUUCAUUUCCAUAAACAAGCAUACCCAUUUUGGCAGCCCGACUAGGACUCAAAACUCUCCCACUCAGAUCCUCCGCAGGUUCGAGAACAUCCGGAGUCUCCAAAUCGAGCUCCCCUCCGGCGAUCUGAGGUUGGAAAAAGGCACCACGAUGAUAGGAGUUUAACAUGCCUUUUCAACCUACUUGCAAGAAAAUUUGCAGCUUGAUAUACUCCUCUGGCUAAGUGUAUCGUUGACAAUUGAGCAAACUCUCCACACUUCUUAUUUUUUAUAAAGAAAGGAAACCUCAAUCAUCCUCCUUCUCAACGGCACUUUCCUCCAUGGCAUCCAUCAAUAAGAAAAUAGUAUUAGCAUCAACCAGAAUUCUUCAGAGAUUUUAAUGACCUCCGAAUCCAGUGAAACUCUUUCAUCAGCCGAAGUAUCAUAAGAAAAGGAUUUGUUUGGGUAUGGUUGGAAUGCCGUAGUUUAGAAUUACAGCAGCGAAAAAGAGAUUCUUAGCAGAGCUUUUGGGUGGUUGACAUACGAGGCACGGAUGGAGAAGAAGAAGAAGAUGCAUGUUGAACUUCCUAAAUUGACCCUUUCUUUUGUCUUGGAAAUUGUGCAGAUAAACGGAUCAGCAAACUUAAUGACUAAAUCUAACAGAAUAGCCUGGAGCCUUAACUUUAUACAUUUUAGUGGCCAAAACCAGACUUUAAUAGUUGAGUGAUCAAAACUCGACGAUUGCAAAAGUUUAGUGGCCAUCCGGAUAAUUUGCUAGUAUAUCUAUCCAUAUUUUUAGUUUUGUAACUUUCAAAUAUGUUCAUACUAUUUAUGCACGAAUUUAUAUGAGUAAUUUUCCCGAACACGUAUUUUUAUGCUGAAUUUUAAUCAUACUUUUGAGAAAAAAAACUCGUCUAAUAUGUAUACAGAUAGCAUCUCGUAUUAUAUCUGUCCUGUAUUUUAUCAACUAUGCUCUUAGUGCUGUAAGUAAAAUGUGUUGGGACUUAAAUGAACGAUAAAAUAAGUCUAGUUGGUAUUAGAGAUGAAAACGAGUCGAGUCGAGGUUGAGUAGUGCUAUACUCAAACUCAACUGAAUCUCGAACUCGAUAGGUGAUACUGGUACUUGAACUCGAGUUCAAACUCGUUUGAGCAACUAAUAUAUGGCUUGAGCUCGACUUGUGAGGAAAUUGUUUAAGCUCGAACUUGAUUCGAUAAGGCUGGAGUACUUAUCAAGCCAAAUCGAGCCUUAUCAAGCUUGAGUACUCACAGAAAGAAUUAUUCUCCAAGCUCAAGAAUCUUGGAAAAACAAUCAGUUAAUAACAUAGCCUGAUUCAAUAUGAAAUUUGUGAACUGAUCCUAGAAAAUCUCUUAUCACCGAAAGAACAAGUUUCUAAACUCAAAAAUCCUGGAAAAACAAUCUAUCUAUAACAUAGCCUGAUGCAAUAUAAAACUUUUGAAUCGAUUGUACAAAAUCUCUUAUAUAUAUAUAUAUAGGAUUUAAGUUUGGGUUUGGGUUUAAGUAUGGAUCAUAUAAAAUUAGACCCUACUCAAAUGUAUAAUGCUUUUAUAGGGUAUGGCUCUGUGUAGGGUAUGAAUUUAAAAACUUAAAUCCAAACCCAAAAUAUAUAUGGUGGAUUUGGAUUGGAUUUGAAUAAUAUUCGACUCAUUGACAUGUCUGAUAAAAAAUUUAUGUAGAACAAUAAAUUAGAAAGACACGCCUGGAAGCUGUGAGAAGUUCAUUCCCAAUGAAUCCUCUACGGGGUUCAAAUAUAUAUCAUUAAAAAUUAACUAUAUAUCUUCGGUUGAGGGUUGACGGGUAUUUUACAUACGUACAAGUUAAAAAAAAAAACCGAAUUACACCUGUUCACUGCAAGUAUACAGGUCAACUAGUAGUUUAGGGUAUAUAUCGGGUCGAUCCCACGAGGAAGAGUGAACAAUUACCAGUAUUACUAAAACUUCUCUAUUAUUUAGACUAUCAAUGAAUUAUAGAAAAUGAAACCUACUGAACUUGUACAAAAAUAACAAAUGAAAGCUCCUUAGGUUGUGGUAUCCCUAACUACUCAUGCAAGUGUUAUAUUUGGAUCAUUGAGUACUACUAUCUAUGCUAGUUAAGGUGUAAUUUUCUUAUGCAUGUGAAACCUACUUUCGUAGUGAAUCAACUAUACUCAUAACUAAUCCAUACCUAUUCUCAUGGUUAUAAAAUUAGCUACAAGUUCAUUUCUUCAGCGAAAUUACAUGAAAUCAAUCACUAAAACCACAUAGAUGCACCUCUACUUUCGUGAGUGUACUCCCUAUGUUUAGCACUUCUUGAACUAGUGUUAAAUCUCAAUUUUCAUUGCAGAAACAACACCUUAGAUAAUCACAAUUAAUGGUACCAGAUUAAUCAUGAUUUAAAGAGUUAAAGUGCUAAAUAACUUGCUCAAAUCAUAGCAAUCAAAUAACCAAAUAAUAAACACUAACAAUCAUAGAAAGUUCAACCAAACCCAAGGCAUAAACUUUAAAGAUACAUAUUAAACACAAAAUCCAGAACUUGUAUAUUAACCAAACUUAAGAAUCUGAUACAAAAGAUAAAGAGUUGGAGAAGAGAUAACCCAUGUCACUUGAGCUUCAACUCCUCCAUCUUCAUCUCCAUCUUCAUCCUAAUCUAGCCAAGAUACAAGAAUGGAUGAUCUAUACUACUCUACACUAAGCUAAACUAACACUAGGAAGAUGAAAGAGCUACAUUUCUGCACUCCAAGCUUUCUCCCGUAUCUCCUCUCUAUUUUUCUUCUAUGGUCUCCCAUCCCCUUUCUCUUGCAAUGAAUUUGGCUAUUUAAUGAUGAAAAUUGGUCAAGAAAUGAGGCCUCUACCUUCCUUUUACAACUGGGAAUGUUUCUCACAUGUCUAGUAAUGCAUGUGAGUUGGUGGGAGUGAAAUUGAUUUUUCCGUGUACAGAGCAGCCUUUUCUGACUACAAUCCGGCCAGAAAUCCGGCCAAAUUCUGGCCGGAUUGCUACAGUGACCUUUUGGUCACUUUCUGCUCAAUUUCCAGCUCUGCUUCGACUUUGACUCAACUUCAACUGAACUUUGCUUGAUGAUAAAAGCUGAUUUAGCUCUUGACCAAAACAUAAAACGUGUAGCCCUUUGAGUUAGCUUUCCAAUACAUCAAGAAUCACCUCAUUUGGAUCUGUGUAGGCUGAGAUAUGACCGAAAUACCCUUACCUACUCACUGCCCUGUUCCAGCUUCGACCAGUAGAAAUUAGCUACUGUAAUUCGGCUUUUUGACCUAGAAAACCUUGAAACUGGAUUCAGAUGUUGUCACCAAAGUUAUAGAUCUAUCUCUUAUCUUCAAAUUGGUUCAAGAAUCAUCUCAAUCCGAUCACUGUAGUUCAAGUUAUAGCCGAAACACCAAAAUGUGUCAAAACUGUCAAAAUGCACAAAAUCCAAGUAAAAAGUGAUAAAAAACUCAUUUAACCACUUAAAAGCAUUUUUCACCAAUUAUAGCCAAAAUCAUUCAUUUUCUUCCAAUAAUAUACCCAAAGUGACUAAAAAUAAUAUAAAAUAUCAUACAAUUAUUACGUAAAUUAGUCACUUAUCAAGGGUCUAGCUUCAAAAAUCACAUUGUUCAUAUGUUAGGACAUGCCCAAGCUGUAUAUAAGAAUUCUCGGCAUGGAUCAUAGGCAGACUAAAUGGGAGAGUAGUGGAAGCUCAACUGCAUUAACAGAAAGAAUUUCUAUAGAAAGAAUCAAAUAGCUUUUUAUGCUAUUUAGAUGGAAUCAAAAGAGGAAACCAAACAAUAGUUAUACCUUCCAUUUGAUCAGAGGGUUGGUACACCGGUGCAAGAGAAGAAGAACUCUUAUGCUGAGAUUCUGUAUUAUCCUUAGAUGUUGAAGCAAAUCGAAAGGACAGGCUAUCUAAUGUAGAAGCUACAUUAUGAGACAGUGUUCUAUGUAGAUUCUGAUUAUGGAGUUGAAGUUUGUCAACGCCUACUAUAUUACCACCGUGACUAUGAGUGGCAAGUAGUUCAGACCAGGCGUCCAAACACCUGUUUCAAUGUGACCUAAUUGUGUCUUAGUAAUAUAACGUUGCCGCUUUCUUUUUACUUUCUAAUCUGUGCUACAACUGAAGAACCUGAGUUUUCAACCUACUUGGCUUGCUUUUUUAGAUCAUAGGAUUCUCUACACAAAAUGAAUCACACACAAACAAAAUAAACCCGCAACCACUAAAAGUGCGAUACUUUAAUCUCCAACAGGACAUGAUAUAAUUACCACUGUCAAUUAAAAAGACUAAAUCUUAUAUACACGGACGUUAUAUGCAUUAUCACUAUUGGAUUUAUGAUACAUGUAUAAAAGUUGAAUUUCAAAUUCAAAUUUUGCACAACUAUUAUUUGUCCAAAACUAACAGUAUACACAAUAUCAGUGUAAAAGAGAUUAAUCCAAAAAAAUAUGCAAACAAGCCUCACACUUCUAGCUUUCUUCACUCAACCAAAAUGGCAAAACAAAGACUCACGUGCAAACCAUAACCAAAUGGAGGAUGACGAAAAUCACUGGAAAAUUUCCUUAGCCACUUUGUAUAUAUGUACAUGUUUCUGUGUGUGUGUGUGUAUAUAUAAUAAAUAAUUGAAAGUUCUAUGUAUGGCUAAAGAUGUGUACAUUUGUCAAUUAUUUGAGUUCUAUAAUAUGUCAAACAUCUGUUGUUAACAUUUACAAUUUGUCGUAUAAGCAUUAACAUUCUACUUAAUUAUUGGAGGAAUAAGCUUGUACACAGAGAGCCAUUGGUUCGUGCAUGACUUUUCCUUAAGUUAAUAUUUGCCCCUUGCUUUAUAAAAUUAUUUCUAGUAGCUGAAAUUUGAAAAAGAAAAAACAAAGGUAUGUUUGUUUGGUAUUAGCGGAUGAAUAGAACGAAUAUGGCGAGAUUUGAGUCAAUUACGGGUGUCAGAUACUUUUGAGAAUCUCCUCUUUUCUGUUUUUCUUUUUUCAAAAACUAACAUUUAUUAAAAUUUAUGAAUAAUAGUAUUAUCUUCAUGGAAUUGGGAGUACCAUUCCAAUAAUAAAUUGUGAAUAUAGGGCAUUUGAACAUUGAGAAGCUUGUCAUACAUCCACAUUUGUUGUGAUUAUAUUGACCUGGUCUAUGGAUCAAAACAUGGCUAGUGCAAGGGAGUGCCAAGGAAGGAUGGAAGGGUUCAGUUACUAUUUUCGAUGGUAUAUUCAUGUAUCGAUUGAAGAGGAAUUGAAAGACAGAAGAUAGUGCUAAUGGGGGAAGAGCAACUUGAUUUAAUCAAAAUUUUUUUAAAAAAUUUGAAUUGCUAAGUGAAAUGGAGGAAAAUUUUAUGUUGAUCAUGCCUAAUAAUUGUUUCCGAACCAAUGAAAAGGUUCCAUGAGAACAUACAAGGGUUCCGCCUGAUUUUAUAUAACAUGCCAAGUGGAUUUCACUUAACAUGUAAAUUAGUAAGUGAGAUCCUCAUAUAUCCACUUGGAACUUUUCCAUUGUUCCCGGAUCAUGUCUAAUAGUUGUUUCGAACAUACAUAAAAUUCUUCGUGAAGCAAAUGAUAAGUUUUUAAUUUACUCUUCAACCCCAGUUCAAACAUUUAAUUGUAAAAGAAAAAAGAAAAUUAGUAAAUCGGUUCCAGAGUUUGGAUUUUACUAGUUGUGGCCGGUUUCAUAAGCUCUAUGAAUCAUCCGACAUAUUAACCACUAAGGUGUUAAAAAUAGGAAAGAGAUGCCAAAAUAGUGGUUGAAAAAGCAGCCAGCUUGAAGUUACAGCGCGGACUAAGUAGAAGUUAAUUGUCAAAUGAGCAUAUGAAUCAACUUGGCCAUAGCAAACAUAUACAAAAGCUCUAAGAGCAACUAUUAGUAGAAAAUAUUGAUCUUUGACAGGCAAAUUAAACUUUACCCUCCCGUGGUAUAGCUAAUUUUUACAUAAUUCCCUAUAGUUUUAAAAGCUAUAUAUAAUCCCUUAUAAUUUGGAUUAAAGUAUCAAAUUGACGGAAAUGGUCAUCCUUAACGGAACCUAUAAAAAUGUCAAAAUUAUUUCUAUUUAAAAACUAAAAUAGUUGGAGUGACCAAAAUAUAUAAACAUAAUAUGCAUGACACUCUAACCUCGUAUGAUUUUUAUAUUUUAGCAUAUAACCCUUUUAUGGUUUAGUGUUUUGCCAUAUAGCCCCUUUAUGAUUUUCAGUAUAUAUACAUAACCCCCUGUGGUUAAUAAAUAAUUUUCAACUUUACACAGGGAUAUUUUUUAUAUUUCAGUUGACUCCAUUAUGGAUUGUAAAUUCCGUUAUUUUGACACUUUAAUCCAAACUAUGAUGGGACUAUGUAUAGCUUUUAAAAUCAUAGGAGAGUUAUGUAAAAUAAUAAUAAUAAUAAAUCACAGGGGAAUAAAGCAUAAUUUGCCCAUCUUUGACACUAAAACUAUUCACUACACUCAUGGCAUGAGUCUCUUCCAAUUGUUAUCUACCACUUUUGUAUAUAUCUCAUUUUUCAGUCAUUUAAAGAAAUAUGGGCACAUUUAAUUUUAAUCACUUUUCCAGUGAUAUAUUGUCCCUUUUCAAUGCCAACAUUUUUUUUUAAAAAACAAUUCACAAACAAUUAUGAGAAUUUGUUAAAAAGAGUAAAUUGAUUUGAUUUUCACUUUUUUCUUUUCCAUUGGACAACCAUGUCAUGUCCAGCUAAUUUCUGACCUUAUAAGAUAAUAUCUUUUAAGGUCAUGUAAGAUCAGAAAUUAUCUUGUAAGAUAAUAUCUUGUUAGGUCAGAAAUUAGUAUUAUAUCUUGUAAGGUCAUGUAAGGUCAGAAAUUAUCUUGUAAGAUCAGAAAUUAGUAUUAUAUCUUGUAAGGUCAUGUAAGGUCAGAAAUUAUCUUGUAAGAUAAUAUCUUUUUUUUUUUCGGAAACGAUAGAUGAAUUUUAUAAUAAUCAAGACUUUACAAUAUUUGAGCAACGGCUCAACUACCUAUACAAAGUGUACAAUGACACUAAGGAGAUACAACAAAUCUCUCCUCAUCCAUAACUAUGCUUGAAGCAUAAAAACUAAUUGUUUUACAUAGAGCCAUAUUAGUAGAUUUUCCUUCUUCAAAAAAGCACAUGUGAAACAGAUUUACAAGAGCAAGUAUGUCUUCCACCAACGUAGCUAUAUUCGGGUUGUUUCCCUUCCCAUUUUUCAGCAGGCCAAUAAGUUGUUUAUUGCCAUUUAUGACUUUGAUCCUUUGCCAACCGAGCUGAGCUGCUUUGAUAAGUGCGAGACGCACUGCUAUAGCUGCAUCUUGGAUGUCCAUAUGUGAGCUUCUGUCCACAAGCGCCCAUUCAGCUCUGAUUCUGGUAUCUUUCUGUUUGGACACAACCCCAAUUCCCAUCUUGUGACCCGAUGAUGCUUUAUGUGUUGCAACAUGAAGUUCCAUCAGGUCUGUUGCCUCUAUUUGUUCCUCCCCUUGGCUUGCAUUUGUUGCAUCUGUUUCUGAUGUACUCCUAGCUGGUGUGACUCUACCAGCUUCAUCAAAGUCGAACCACUCAGUGUUCGCUCUUUGCACAACUCUGAAUCCAUCCUUCACUUUCCCUUCGAAUUCCAGUUCAUUCCUGUCUUUCCAUAGUUGCCAAAGAAUAUUAGCUGUCAAAGCUAUAUGCUGUCUUCCUUCCUUUCUACUUCGAGCUUGAGUUAAGGCUGCCCACCACUGCCUAAAGCAUCCAGUUUGGUUCUGUAACCCAUCCUAUUGAACUGGUGUGAGUUUCCACUCCUUCUGAGCCUGAGUACAAUGAAACAAAAUGUGUUCCACUGUUUCUAUGUGAUCUCCACAUCUGGAGCAGCAUGGUGAGCCUUGUUUCGUUCUCCUAAAGAUUGUUUCCCUUGCUGUUAAGGUGUUAGUGAUACACCUCCAUAUAAAUAGUUUAAUCUUGUGCUUAAUAUUCAAGCCCCAAAGAGUUUUCCAAAUCUGAGUGUUAGAAUCAUCAUAGCUAGAACCUGAUUCCCCCUUAGCUUGUUCUGCCUUAUACCUUGCUUCCUUCAUUUGAAGUUGAUAGCACGACCUAACUGAGUAUUCUCCUUGCUUACUAUGGAUCCAAAAAUGCAAGUCUCCAGUCCUUGACAGGCUAAUAGGUGUGCGCAAAAUGUUCUCCGCAUCCGCUCUAUUUAAUCUUCUGAAAAUGACACUUCUCUUCCACCUAAAAUUUGAGAUCAACUCCUCCACUUUCUGCCCCUCCCCCCCUCUGGCACCAUUGUUAUUGUUGUAAGAUAAUAUCUUGUAAGGUCAGAAAUUAGUAUUAUCUUGUAAGGUUAGAAAUUAGCUGGACAUGACCUUACAAGACAUUGUAGAACCAAGAAUCGAAAGUUGAAUGUGACUUUUUUGUUUCUUCCUUUCAAAGCCAACUUCAGUGGGCUAAUUUCUUAGAAUAUAGAUAAAAAAAAAAAUUGUCCGUCAAAUGUAGUUUUGACAUUCUUUUGGUACAAAACUAUAGCUACCGUACCUAAUCAAUACAGUAGCAAAUAUAUUUUUUUUUAAAGUGUCAGACUAUCAUGCUAAUUGUGCACGGGAGCUCACAGGUGAAUUUUGGAGUGAUGUAAAUAUAUAUAUAUAACAAAAGCUAGGAACUCAUACAUGAGAUUAUAAGAUUUCAGGCCUUGAAAACAAUUAAACUACAACUAAAUGACUGAAUUGACCUUAGGACUUCAGCCAAAAUACCAUGCGGCCAGCUAGUAGUCUGAACAAUGUAAGAGCCGAGCGAGAAAGCUGUGGAUUGUCUGAUGAUAGCAACAAAACUGAGUGGAGAGUUUAGAGUUUGUUCCCCACCGACUGAUGAAAAGUAGUGUCAUCUGUUGCUUAGUUAUUAUCGAUCGAGAGAGAGUGAUAGGAAGUUGCAAACCGUGAGAGAGUUUUACAUUUCUGUUCUGGUCAGUAGCAUCCCAGAGAAAACUGAGAGCUUCACCAUUUCUUUCUCCUUCCACUGUUCCAAACCGAGAGCUAAGGGGGUGAUUGAAGGAGGAAACGUUGCUAGUGCAUCCCUGAUCAGUUAUCAGGGAGAGGAAGGAAGGAAGUAGUUGCAGUUGAGGAACCGGAAGCUAAGCAUAGGAACAGUCUGCUUUUUGCUGAGCUUUAAGGGGAAAACAGGUAAAGAAAUUCUGUAAUCACCUUUUAUUUACUAGAUAUCAGAGAGUAGAUUGAAUGCAUGUUAGUUUUAGCAAGGGAAUAACGAGUUUUAACCGAAGGAAAAAUCUGUUAAAGAAGAAAAAUAGAAGCUGGACUGAAGUUGGAAACCGAGAGCUUGCAGGCUGAGUUGCAGCCUGUUGUUAUUGAAAAAAAAUGGAAACUAAUGGUAGAUUUUGCAUGUGAUACGUGGGUCUUUGAUGUUUGGGAGGUUUAGUUGAAGAAAACUUGGGGAAACGUUGGAUUUUGGAUUGAAACCGAGGGAAGUUUCUGCUGCAAAAUUUUCCAGGCUAUCCGAGAGAGAAAAUGGACAGAUUCCUAGCUGUUUUCAUGAUUUUUGGUCUUGAUUAUCAAUGUUAAACUGUAAUAUAUGAUGUAUAAGAGCUUGGUCUGAACAUGCAUGAAAGAUUUGAGCAUGAACUGAAGAGAUUAUUAGAGAGAAAAAUUGUGUUAAAAUUGCUGCUAUAAUUCUGGAAAAACAAAUGCCGAGAGAGGGAGUUGAGAGCAGGACCAGUGUUGUUCUGAUUUUCCUUGGCUGCCAUCUUGUGUGUUUGCUGAGGAUACUGUUGGAUCCUUAAUCCAACAUUGGACUUAUAUGUGAAUAAUUAUGUAUUGCAAACUGUCAAUUAAGGUUAAACCCAAUUAAAGUGAUCAAAUAUAGUUUGAAUUUAAUGUAUCUAAUAGGAUGUGGGCCCUUUAAUGUGUAGAAACUUAUGGGCUCCUAUUUCAAUGAUGGGCUGAAAUAGGGCUCCAAAAGGUAACAGGAAUGUUACCUAUAAAUAGGGUUAUGGUCCCCAAGUCACAGGUAUCGUUUUAGUUGUCGUAUUUCCUAAUACCACAAAACAUCUCUUCCCUGAUAUCCCAUCGUCAGGAAAGAUACCAGAGAGAAACUAAAGGUCUCUCUCAAAGGAUCGGUGAAUACCUGUUGACCUGGAAGGCCACCCCAAAUCUCUAGGGAUUCAAGUAUCAAGUUUAUCAAUAUGGAUUCAAGUACGCUUCCGCUAUUUUACAGUUAAUUUAUUUCUUAAUAAUCGCCAUACAGAUCUUGGGUUUAAAGGUGAUGGUUUUCACCAGUGGUUAGAUUUAGAUAACCACCCUAACAAGUGGUAUCAGAGCCCAUAUGGUUGAUUAUUAGGAAUAUUUUUUUUUUGGUAAUUCAUAGUUUUUUUUUUUGUACGGCUAAGUGUUUCGGAUUUCAUGUUCUGGCUUUGCCUUUUACUUUUUGCAAGUCUUGGUAAUUUGCUGUGUAAAUUCGGUCAUAGUAAAUUUGCACGGUUGAUUUAGUAAUUUGCAAGCCUUGGUUGCUGAUGGCUUUAUAAUUGCAUGCCUUGUGUUUUCGGCCUCUGACUCAAAAAAAAAAAAAAGGGGGGGGGGGGGAUUCAUGGUCAGGACCAUGAUGCUUUUGGUCUUCGGUCAAUUGUUAACCAUUGAAUCCAGGUUUCGUGUCUUUAUACAUGCUAUUGAUGCAUAGAUUUGGCUAUAUAGAAUGUCUGUGGAACCCACCAUGUUAGACAAGUUAAUUUUUGUUUCAUGUUAACAAUUUUUAAUUCAUGGGUCUUGUUGGCUUCCGCGGCUCGAAUCAAGGUGCUUCCGUACUUUGACUUUCGGUGGUAGCAGGGUCAUUAUUUAUAUGGUUUAUGUCUAAAAUUUUGGGUACACAACUUGCCAUGUUUGGUUCAACCGUUAUUAGUAUUUUAUUUUGGCUUGUUUUCUUAUACAAGAAUAAAUAUGCAUAUAUUUAUGUUAAGGAUAUUAGGGUUUUCUUUAAUUUAGUGAACCCUAAUAAAGUUAAAUAGGACAUUUAAGCCCUAUAAAAUUCAUAUGUGUGGCCCAUUAAAUAUGUAGUUUUUAUAAAGUAUUUAUGGAUUUCAAGAAAAUUUUUGGGCUUGAAUGUUAAUUUUGGGUCAAAUUAUGGAUAUGGACAUUUGGUCCAAUAGGUCAUGAUUUAAUUUGAUUGAUUUGACCAUGUUUUGACCAAAGUUGACUUUGAUCAAAAAUUUUUUUUGUUCAAUUUGGAUAAUUUUAAAUUUGAAUAUUGGUAUGAUUAUAUAUAUUUUGGAAUAAAUUAAUUGAAAUAAUAUGCCACCAAAGUGACCUCUAUUAUGGAAAUUAAUUUAUUUUAAAAUAUAAUUAGUUAAGUACUAGUAAUUUUAUGAAUAUUGAUCAGCCCAAAGGAAGGUCAAUAUUUAAUGAAAUUACAUGUGCACUUGUGGUAAUAAACAUGUGAUAAUUAUUCGGUUUUUUACAUGUGAAUUAUAAAUUGGCCCAAAGGAAAAUUUAUUUUUCGACAUGUUAUUAUUAUCAGUAUUUAUUACUGCGCCAAGAUAUCACUUAGAAAUUAAUAUUUUGUCCAAAGAUAAAAUAUUAAUGGAAUAUCGGUAUCUUGAGAUGGGGUUACCAUUAUUUAAAUUUAUUAUUAUUUUGGUUUAUGUGAGUAUUAUUUUAAUUAUAUUAUGUUUUCUGUUCAGUUGCAAAUGAUCUUACAAAUAUUACUUCCAACAUCAAUAAUAUUCCUAUGCUGAAUGGCACAAACUUCAAGUCCUGGAAAGAAAAUCUCUUGAUAGUAUUUGGAGUAAUGGAUCUCGACCUUGCGUUAAGGAUUGAUUCUCCCCCACCUUUUACAGACCAGAGUACCUCUGAUGAAAAGAAAAAUAAUGAGAGGUGGGAGAGAUCAAAUCGUUUGUGUCUGAUGAUCAUUAAAAAGGCCGUUCCAGAAGCAUUCAGAGGAACAAUGUCAGAAACAACUGUAACCGCUAAAGAGUUCCUUCAGGACAUUGAAAAAAGGUUUGUCAAGAACGAAAAUGCUGAAAUUAGUACGCUCUUGACACGCCUAGUUUCAAUGAAAUAUAGUGGUAAAGGCAAUAUCAGAGAGUACAUCAUGGAAAUGUCUCAUCUUGCUUCGAAAUUAAAUGCACUUAAGUUGAAACUCUCUGAAGAGUUACUAGUGCAUUUGAUUUUAAUAUCUCUUCCUACACAGUUUAGCCAGUUUAAGGUGAGUUAUAACUGUCAAAAGGAGACUUGGUCUCUAAAUGAACUCAUCUCACACUGUGUAGAGGAAGAGGAAAUGUUGAAACAAGAGCAGACAGAAAGUGCCCAUCUGGUGUCAACCGCUAAUAAUAAAAGUAAGGGACUUAAAAGAAAGAAGGAAAAAGGAGCUGCAGGUACAGCGCCACAAAAGAAACAACAAAAGAAAUCAAAUGAUCAGGGAAAGAAUAGUUGUUUCUUCUGUGGAGUUGAAGGACAUCAAAAGAAGCAUUGCACCAACUAUCACGCUUGGCGUGCUAAGAAAGGUAUGCUUCUUAAUUUGGUUUGUUCUGAGGUUAAUUUGACUUCGGUACCUAGACACACAUGGUGGUUAGAUUCUGGUGCAAUAACUCACAUCAGUGUGUCUAUGCAGGGUUGCCUGAAUUGCCGAAAGCCUAAUGAUAAUGAAAGAUAUAUCUACGUGGGCGAUGGCAAAACAGUUCAAGUUGAGGCAAUUGGAGUUUUUAGAUUAUUGUUAAAAACCGGAUUUUAUUUGGAUCUCUAUGAGACAUUUGUUGUACCGUUUUUUAGACGGAAUUUAAUUUCUAUUUCUGCUUUGGACAAAUUUGGUUAUUUUUGUUCAUUUGGAAAUGAAAAAUUUGAAUUAUUUCAUGAUUCAAAAUUGGUUGGUUCUGGUUCUUUAAUGCAUUACGAUAAUCUAUAUUUUAAUUGAUACGAUUGCCUCAUUUAAUGAAUCUCUGCAUUUGAGUACUAGAGGAGUUAAAAGAAAAUUAGCCAAUGAGAAUUCAGCUGCAUUAUGGCACAAGAGAUUGGGACAUAUCUCCAAACGGAGAAUGGAAAGGCUUGUGUCAAAUGAAAUUCUCGACCCCUUGAAUUUUACAGAUUUUAAUGAUUGUAUUAACUGUAUAAAGGGGAAACAAUCCAAUCAAAGGAGAUUUGAAGCCAAUAGGUCUUCAGACGUCUUAGAACUUAUACAUACGGAUAUUUGUGGGCCAUUUUCUACAUCUGCUUGGAAUGGUCAACAAUAUUUUAUAACGUUCAUAGACGAUUUUUCAAGAUAUGACUACAUAUAUCUCAUUUCUGAGAAGUCACAGUCACUGGACGUGUUCAAAAAUUUUAAGGCUGAAGUUGAGAAUCAACUCAACAAAAGAAUCAAAAGCGUCAGAUCUGACCGUGGUGGUGAGUACUAUGGUAGAUAUGACGGUUUAGGUGAACAACGUCCAGGACCAUUUGCUAAAUACCUAGAGGAAUGCGGUAUCGUCCCACAAUACACUAUGCCGGGUUCAUCCACUAUGAAUGGUGUAGCUGAAAGACGAAAUAGAACGCUUAAAGAUAUGGUAAGGAGUAUGAUAUGUCAUUCUACCUUACCAGAGUCACUCUGGGGUAAAGCACUUAAGACUGCAGCAUAUAUCCUUAAUAGAGUUCCAACUAAAGCAACUAUCAAAACCCCUUAUGAGGUUUGGACAGGAAAAAAACCCAGUUUAAAGCAUAUGCAUGUUUGGGGGUGUCCAGCUGAGGCAAGGCCUUACAGGCCUAAUGAAAAGAAAAAGGACUCAAGAACGAUUAGUUGUUAUUUUAUUGGAUACUCUGAAAGAUCCAGAGGUUACAAGUUUUAUGAUCCCACAGCCAAAUCAAUUUUUAAGACAGGAAAUGCUCGGUUCUUUGAGGAUGUUGAGUUUGGAGGAGAAAAUACAGUAAGGGACAUUGUCUUUAAAGAGGAAUAUAUUAAUAUUCCCACAGGUGUCAUUGAUCUUGUUUUGGAUCCUAUUCCUGAACAAGAUCAUGACAUAACAAAUCAAGACAAUGUCGAAAAAUAAACUGUUAUAGAAGAACAAACUCUUCCUCUCCAAGAACCAGUGCCAUUAAGAAGAUCCACUAGAGAAAGGAGAAGUGCAGUGCCAGAUGAUUACAUUAUUUUUCUCCAAGAACAUGAGGAUGACAUUGGAUUGAUGGAAGAUGAUCCAAUCAACUUCCGUCAAGCCAUGGAAAGUUCAAAUUUUCAAAAGUGGAUCGAUGCCAUGAAUGAGUAGAUUAAAUCCAUGAAUGACAAUGAUGUUUGGGAUCUUGUCCCAUUGCCAGAAGGUGCGAAACCCAUUGGUUGUAAAUGGAUAUUUAAAAUCAAAAAGGAUUCGAAAGGCAAUGUGGAAAGAUACAAAGCUCAUCUUGUCGUUAAGGGAUUUACACAAAAAGAAGGUAUCGACUAUAAAGAAACUUUCUCUCCAGUCUCUUCAAAGGACUCUUUUAGAAUUAUCAUGGCACUAACGGCGCAUUUCGAUCUUGAGUUAUAUCAGAUGGAUGUAAAGACAGCGUUUCUCAAUGGUAACAUUGAUGAGACGAUUUAUAUGGUGUAACCAGAAAACUUUGUGUCAGGAGAUCCAAAGAAUAUGGUUUGCAAACUUAAAAAAUCCAUCUAUGGGCUCAAACAAGCGUCUCGACAAUAGUAUUUCAAAUUUCAUCAAGUGAUCAUCUCAUUUGAUUUUGAGAUGAAUUUAGUAGAUAAUUGCAUAUACCAUAAGUUCUGUGGGAGCAAGUAUAUUUUUCUGGUAUUGUAUGUUGAUGACAUUUUGCUUGCCAGCAACGAUAUGGGUCUAUUGCAUGAAACCAAGAAAUUUCUGACUAAGAAUUUUGAGAUGAAAGAUCUUGGCGAUGCAUCUUUUGUGUAAGGUAUACAAAUAUAUCGAGAUCGAUCUCAGGGUAUUUUAGGACUAUCACAAAAGAGUUAUAUCGAAAAGAUUCUCAAAACGUAUGGCAUGCAAAAUUGUAAAUCAGGUGACACUCAUGUGGUUAAAGGAGACAAAUUUAGUCUUGAACAGUAUCCCAAGAAUGCUUUUGAGAAAAAAGAGAUGCAAAAGAUUUCUUAUGCAUCAGCAGUAGGGAGUCUAAUGUAUGCUCAAGUAUGUACGCGUCCGGAUAUUACGUACAUUACUGGAAUGUUGGGUAGGUAUUUGAGUAAUCCUGGAUUAGAUCAUUGGAAAACAACCAAACGGGUCUUACGAUAUCUACAGAAAACAAAGGACUACAUGCUCACGUAUCGGAAGUCAGAUGAGUUAGAGAUCAUUGGGUAUACUGAUUCCGAUUAUGCUGGAUGCAAAGAUACUAUGAAGUCAACGUCAGGCUAUGUCUACUUGUUGGCUGGAUGUGCCAUAUCCUGUAAGAGUGCUAAACAGUCCCUCAUAGCAUCUUCCACUAUGGCUGCAGAAUUUAUAGCUUGUUAUGAGGCAUCCAACCAAGGAAUUUGGCUGCGAAAUUUCGUCACAGGAUUACGUGUAGUGAAUGGCAUUGAAAGACCACUCAAAUUAUUCUGUGACAAUAAGUCAGCAGUCUUAUAUUCCAAUAACAACAGGAGUUCGACCAAAUCUAAAUAUAUAGAUAUCAAGUUCCUGGCUGUUAAAGAAAGAGUGCAGAAUGGACAGUUAUCGAUAGAGCACAUCGGGACAAACUCCAUGGUUGCGGAUCCGCUUACGAAGGGAUUGCCACCCAAAUUGUUUCAUGAGCAUACUGCUCAUAUGGGUGUCGUGUUAUUAAAUGAUGUACAGUUUUAGUGGGAGUUUUGUUAUUUUGAAUGCUCUUAUGAUAUUUUUCAGUUAUUAAGGAUUUAAGAAUAUUUUAUGCAUAAAUAAAGUUUAGAUUUAUUUACACUCUAACUUUGGUAUGGUUUGAUCUCAUAAAAUUUAAGGUGGACCAGUUCGAAAUAGGCAUGUUUUGAUCACAUUACAUGAAAUUUCCAUGCUACACAUCCAUAUCAUGAUUCAUGUCAUUCAAUUGCAUUGAUAUAUGUGACCAUUGAUGGGUCGAGUUACGAAAUUGUAACAAAGGCCGCUUUGAUCCUAUAUUUGUGUAAUUGUUGGACCGAAUUGGUUACAGAUACAUUGUGAUAGUGACAGUAAAGUUGAGCUCAUACGGUUAAUUGCAAAACAUAAUUAUAAGGUUACACAUAUAGUCCAAGUGGGAGAUUGUUGCAUCCUUAAUCCAACAUUGGACUUAUAUGUGAAUAAUUAUGUAUUGCAAACUGUCAAUUAACGUUAAACCCAAUUAAAGUGAUCAAAUAUAGUUUGGGUUUAAUGUAUCUAAUAGGAUGUGAGCCCUUUAAUGUGUAGAAACUUAUGGGCUCCUAUUUCAAUGAUGGGCUGAAAUAGGGCUCCAAAAGGUAACAGGAAUGUUACCUAUAAAUAGGGUUAUGGUCCCCAAGUCACAGGUAUCGUUUUAGUUGUCGUAUUUCCUAAUACCACAAAACACCUCUUCCCUGAUAUCCCAUCGUCAGGAAAGAUACCAGAGAGAAACUAAAGGCCUCUCUCAAAGGAUCGGUGAAUACCUGUUGACCUGGAAGGCCACCCCAAAUCUCUAGGGAUUCAAGUAUCAAGUUUAUCAAUAUGGAUUCAGGUACGCUUCCGCUAUUUUACAGUUAAUUUAUUUCUUAAUAAUCGCCAUACAGAUCUUGGGUUUAAAGGUGAUGGUUUUCACCAGUGGUUAGAUUUAGAUAACCACCCUAACAGAUACUCCGUAGUUUAGUAACCAACUCUUGCAUGUGGUUUUUAACGAACAAAAGUGAAGAAAUCUGUUGCAAGAGAGAAGGAUAGCCGAGAGGAAGAGAAAAUGUGUAAGAACAAUUUUUUUUCCUUUCCAAUUUCAAUUCGGUGAACUUCAUUACCUGAUAUUGAAGGUGCUCUGUCGUUUAGUUGUUGUUUUAGCUCAUGACUUGGGAGUAAACUGAAUGGGUUAAGGGGAAAAGCUUUGAACUAUGUAGUUCAUUAUUUUACAACCGAGAGAGAGAAAAAUGGACUGAUCAGUUUUUCUUUUCCUCCAAGUGAGCUGCACAAUCUUUUGUGUUCUGUACAAGGCUCAUUUGUAGUUUAAUGAACGUGGUUAACACAUCUAGUUGGGAUAUAAAAACUUGGAAGGUGGAACUUGAGUGAAACGGCAAACAUUGGACUGAUAUAUACAUAGCUAAGGGAUUGCUUAAAAGCUGUGAUAGUUAAGACUGAUUUGUGUGCAUAGUUUGCACAAAACAUUGGUUACAAUUAAAUGUUUCUUUUCCUAAUUCAUGUUAGAUUAAAUAUAAGUUAAGUAGUUGGUGAUUUAAUCAAGUGAAAAAUGAAGUUAUUGGAUGAAAACUUGAAGUUUUGUUGCUGAAUUUAUGUAGAUAGGUUGUAUGGCAAUGAGUUAAAACUUAUUUGAUAUUUUAGAAACUCUAAAGUAAUUUGUUAUGGCCGUAUUCAUGAAAUGACUUCUAAUCGCUUAAAAUUGGCUUUCUUGGUAAUUCAAAGACUAUAAAUUGUGAGAGGUGAAGGUUGUGGACUAAGUUAAUCUACAAAUAACUUAAAGUUUAGUUAGUUUAAAAAGGGAGUGGAGUAUCUAUAAGCCAUAAUUAAUAUUGGAUUGAGAAAGUAUAUUGGAUUGAAUGAGUAUACAAGUUAAACUUGAAGAUAGGUAUGUUUCAUGGUUUGAAAAUGAUAAAGUUAAUAAGUUCUGAAAAUAAAAGUAUAAAUGAAUAUUAAGAAUGUUAAAUUUAUAUAUUAAGGUCAAACUUGAUUUUAAUAGUUUAAAUAAUAAAGUAAGAAUGAUAAGUGAUCACUUACGAAUUAUAAAUUUACCGUUGAAAUUAUUAAUUUGCUCAGGAAGUAGCUGUGAGCCAGGAAACAAACCCGAGGUUCAAGAGUAAUUUACUUGGAGAAUUGGUGAGUGUUUUCCGAAUUUAUGUGUUAAACUGCUUAUGUGUACCUAAGUGAAAUUAUGUGACAAAUGUGCUUAUUAUGAACUAUUACUAAAUGAUUCAGUGUAAAAUGUAUCUCAAUUGUCCCUCGCCUUCUAAGUCGGGAGUGUAUUUUAUCACACUCGGCUUAGUUGGGUUUGAAGGUCGAUAAUUGACUGAAUAUUACUGUAAGUGUGCAUGACUGUAAACCGUAUGUGUGCCUCGCUGCGUUGGCUGAACUGGACCCCAAAACCCUCUGUUCAACGGACUAUUCGAGCCAGCAAAGGGUUUGGUCGGGUAGGACGGUAGAUUUGGGUAAAUGUUUCGGUAUACUCGAGUAUUACCACGAGGUUGGGAGAUCAUUGCACUGAUUACUGAAUGUAGGGGAUUGUUUAUUGUUUUGGAGGACAUAAGGAGGUGAAUUGGGAGAAAGUACAGUGAUAUUGAAAUAAAUGUGCAAUGAUAUUGAAAUGAAUGUACAAUGAUAGUGAAAUGAGUGUCUCUUGACACUGAAAUGAAUGCUGAAUGACAUUGAAGUGGCUCUAAUGCGAGCACCGUAUCCUUUUAAAAGUGAUUGUACAGUGAAAUGUGCACUACUUGCUUAAUUGUACUGAUUUAAGUGCUUAUUGAUUGUUGCUUGCAUGGAAACCUCACGGGCGUAAGUUCACCCUUUUAACUUUGUUUUCCUUACAGGAGUCGGAGAUUGAAGAGUGAUUGGAUUGAACUAGAAAGUUAUUUUGUGAAGAUCUGUUAUUCUGUGUAUAUAGUGAAGUCAUGGUCUCUUUUGAAUUUUGAGACGGUUGAAUUUUUGUUUGAGUUGGUGUGAUAUUAAGAUUGGAUAUUUAGAACAGGUAUUUUGUUUCUUUUAUUGGACAAAUUUAUGUUUCAAACUGAUUGGAGAUGUACUUAAGAGUAAAUGUUCAGUUGUCCAAUGGUAAUGUUAUCUCUGAAGUUAAAGUGAGUGAGUGAGUCCUAGCGAGAGCCAGGCAGGCGAUCCGCUAACUUUUAGGGUAUGGCCUAAGAGAAGGUGGGGUCGUCACCCCCUGCGUAUGAUGAAAUGCCUAGUAAUUUUUUCUUUUAGAAUGAUGAAAUGCUUAGUGGGUAAAAAUUUGAAAUUUAGAAUAUGGAUUUCUUUGGUAGGUUUUACAAGUGGUGGAAACAUCUUAUUAUAUUCUACUAUGAUCGACCAUUUUGUUAUAUCCACAAUAGGGCAAUUAGUGGAAAAAGUAUAGAAAAAAAUAGGGGUAGGAUAUUAAUCUGAAUCGAUUUUUUCUAGUGGAGCAUACUCGAAGAAAGAAGGGAUGUAAUAGUGUAAAUGAUUUGAAGAUAUUAGUUUGUUCCUCUUGUUUUCUCUUAGUCCUAUUUUUUUUUUGGUUCCAGAUUAUUUAUUAUUUUAUAAAAAUUUCGGCAAAGUUUCCCCUUAUAAAGGGACGAAACUCCCUGCCAUCAACCCACAAUUUAACAACCAAUUUACAUCAAAGAGAAAAUUUUAAGCAUUUAAGAUGUGAAACUAAGAUUAAACUCAGUUUUCAACUUCAGCUCUUCCAGUCAAUCUGCAUGAUGAUCCUUGAAGAUCAUCAUUCAAUCUUCUCCCAAAGGCAAUCAAUUGCGCACAACCCUAAUGCGUAUUACAGGACAACCUUCUUUGUCCAACCCCAUGGCGGGUCGUGGCAACUCCGAAAGGGAAGAGUACACGACACUUGACGUUCCCCAUACCCCCCAUUUAGAUAAAACAUCUGCCACCUGGUUUGUCUCUCGAAAACAAUGACCACGAUCCAAUCCAAUCCCAAAAUUGAAUGGAUUGUCUCUAUAUCAGAACGAAUUCUUCAUGGAUACCUGGAUUUGCCACAAAGAACGUUGACUAACAAUAGCGAGUCCACCUCCACCUGUACCCUGGUGGCCCCCCGCACCAGGCAUUGUUGAAUCCCAUAUAACAAUGCCUUGGUCUCAGCUUGCAAUCUUGUCAUCUCCCUGAGGGAAAUGGAAAAGCCAAAGACCAGAUUGCCAGAGGAGUCCCUAAGGACACCGCCCCCUCCACUAGGUCCCGGAUUACCUAAUGAACAUCCAUCUGUAUUUAACUUGCAUGUCCCCGUCACCGGUAAUUCCCAACGGAGUACCCGAUGUGAGUAUCAAGGCCUCCACCCAGAAAUAGAAGAGUAAAAAGCAUGCCAGGAGAUAUUCCCCCCCAUGUCUCCUACAACUCCCUCCCCAACUAGCCGAACUAAAUCCGCCAGGAUACGAUCGCAAACAGUCAGCCUGCGUAGGAAAUGCCCUUCAAAGUGUGCUAAAUUCCUUACCAGCCAAAUAUUCCAGCAGAUGAUACUAGGCAGCACCGUAUGGAAUGACUCCACUCGUGAGUGACGUGUCGACAAACACCACCAACCCGCCAACCUUGCACAUACCCCUGUCCCUCGGUAUGCCACCCCGGCAACAUUGCCAAAGAAUGUCCAAAGGAAUCGUGCUAGACCACCCUCCGAGAAAAUAUGGUCCAACGAUUCGGAUUGGAAGUCUGUACAACAAAAGCAAUAAGAUUGAGCAUUAAGUUUGAACUCGACUCAAUAAGGCUCAAGUACAAAUUGAGCAUUAUCAAGCUUAAGUAUUCGCAAUAAGAUCGAGCUUUUAAGCUCAAAAAUUUUGGAAAUUUUUUUUCAAAAACACAAUCUAUUUCAAUAUGAAAUUUGUGAACUGAUCCUGGAAAUUCAUUUUAAUAUAUACAUAUGGGUUUGGGUAGGUUUUAAAUUUGGGUCUAGAUUUAAAUAUGGAUCAUACAAUAUCAAAUUCUACCAAAAAUCGUGAUUCUUUUACAGGAUUUGGAUUUGAAUUUAAAAAAUUAAAUCCAAACCCAAAAUAAAUAUGGUGGAUUUGAGUUAAAUCUGAAUAAUGUCCAACCCAUCUACAUGUCUAGUAGCAAAUUCCUGAGUGGAACAAUAAAUUAGAAAGACACACCUGAAAGUUGGGAAGAAGUUUAUCCCGAAUGAAUCCUUUACGGGGUUGGUAUAUAUGUCAUUAAAAAUUAACUAUGUAUCAUCAUUUGAGGAUCUAGCUUUCAAAAAUCACAUUGUCCAUAGGUUAGGACAUGCCAUGGUGCAUACAAGAAUUCUCGGUUAGGAGUUUUGUGCAAGUAUGAUAGGCUUGUUUAGUGCACACUUCACAGUGCCUUGUAAAAUUAUUUUAACAUGCCCUAAGGGUUUAGCACUAAUUGGACAAGCUUACCAAGUCGAAUUUUAAACAAUUUAACAGACUUUGUAUCUACAUCUAUCCUAGGAUUUAGCGAACUUCUGCCAUCUUUACUUAUUUCGUUGGGAUGAAUAUUUAAGGGUUGGAACUUGGAAGUUGAAUUAAUCCAAAAUGCACAUAAGUUAGCUCAAAACAUUACCUGCCCUGAAAAAUUAAUGAGCAAGAAAUUGAAAAAAAAAUAGAGACUCUAAAAAAUGAGAGAUUUAUGGCUAAAUUCACCCUCAUUCAUAGUUUGUGAAAAAAAAAAUUAAUGAAUCUCUUGAUUGGCUCCGUUCCUUGACUAGUUUCUAAAUUGUAGUGUCUAGAUUUACUGUACUUAUCAAUUAUAUUAAUUGUAUUGAUUGUAUUGUUUGGAUUCGUUGUACCUAAAUGCCUAUGAAUACAGGCUUCUUCUAUCAGUACAUGAUCAAUAUAUAUAUAAAAAAAGGAAUUCAUUUUUUUAUAUUCUCAACUGCUUUUUUAUCUUAAUACAUCACAUCACACAAAUUACUACAGUAAUUAUUUCAGAUAUAAAACAAUUCAAAUACUCCUGUUGCCAUUUUCAUUUUUUUCUCAUGGUAUCGGAGCAAAUGAAGAGAUUCUAGCACAUUAUUUAAUAUUUAGUACUAAGUUUAUGAUUUUUUUUUAAGAAAAAAAACUCAACAUUUUGUUCGUCAGCACUUACUUCAGGUUUGGUCAUCAUUGAUUCAGGGACGAAAUCCUACCGCUAAAUCUCCCAUAUGAGUAGUUUCACAAGGACAUUCAAUUGACUUCGACGGUUUGACCCUUCUCUUUCGCAAUUACAUAUGUCAAGAACUAAACCAUAUUCAUUGCACUAAAUGCACUCAGGUGAUCAGGUAAAAGUAAAUAUAAGUCCUUCAAAGCUUGUAACAAAUACUUGAUGACAAGUGCAAUUGCGCAUGCUUGCCAUUAUUUUUUUUAAGAAAAACGUUUGGACGCUCAGUUUGAUUUCGACCAUCAUCACGAUCAGGACAUACCCUUAGGACUGACCAUAGGUUGUUUACAAGAAUUUUAUAGAUCACCCACCAACAUAACUCUCACAUCGAUAGUAAAAUUUGAACACGCAACUCUUUGUAAGGAAGUGACCGUCCUUACCAAUUGAAACAACUUAUGUUGGCAUUUGCCGAUAAUCUGUAUAGUGCGAGGCAGGGGCAGAGGGAAGGGGGGGCCAGGGGGGGCAACCGUCCCCUUCCAAUUGUUAAAAAAAAAAUUCUAAGUAAAAAAUUUUUAUUGUUAUGUUUUGCCCCCCCAAAAAUUGAUCAAAAAAUUCACUUUGCCCCCUCCCCCAAGGGCCCAAACAAUAAUGUUCUCUGUUAUUUGGAUUUGGUCCAAAUAACAGAGAAUUGCCACUAUUUUCUUAACGGAGAAUAAUAGACUUGGUCCAAAUAACUUACAUACUAUUUCCUGAACUUCACAAUUGCCAUUUUGAAUCAAUUCACCUCUUAUUUCCUUCUUACAGAAAAGCCUCAACUCUCAACUCCGAACUUCAAUUCCCACACAGUCAAAUAGAUUUGUAAAUAUGAUGAUAUUUUUGUAUAUGUGAAGCGUAUACGUAAUUUUCAUUCUAUAUAAGGUUGUUUCUAAUCUUGUGGUAUAUAUGUUCACAUUAUUUUUUUUUGUAAAUAUAUUUUACUUUCAUUGCUUUAGACUCGCCCCCCAAAGUUAAUUCCUAGCUCCACCACUGGUGCAAGGAUUUUUGGGGAAACCUUGUGAGAAUGUUCAACUGUCUAAUCUUCGAUUGAUUAAUCCCCGGAGCAUUUUAGAAAUUUUAGAGGCCAAUAGAGCAUCAAAAGGAAACUACGGUGACAGGGCUGUCAUUUGCAAUAUUUUUUCCUCUAUAAAUUAAUCUUGCAUGGAGCUGCAGCCUAUGGUCACUAGGCACAUUCUGCCUCUCUUCAACUCAUCAAGUUACAGUCUGUAUCCAAUUUGCAAUAGUAGUGAUAAGUGAAUAUUUAACGUAUAUUUUGUACAAGUUUGGAAUGAAUUUUUGGUAUGUUUUGAGAAGAUUAAAGCCACAUUUGAACUCUUCUGGUGAUAAUUGCUUAAAAAUUGUUUAAGUGUUCAAAACUUGAUAAAUGAGUGGAUUAAUGUGUUAAUUUUGUGAAAUUGUGAAGGAUAUCGAUGUAUGAAAUUCAUGCACAAGAUGAAGGGAAUGUAAGGAUUGUCCAAAGGAUAAAGUACACAAGAAAUUAGGAGCAAAAAUGAAGGAAAAAGGAAAGAAGUGAAAAAACUGGAAAUUUAAUGGCACGGAUCCGAGCUCGGAUCCGUGAGAGCAAAGAUGGAUCCGAUCCCUCGUCUGUACUUCUGGAAGAUUGUAUCCGAGGUCAGAGGAUCCAACCUCGGAUCCAUUAUGGAAAGUCCUCAGAUCCUGAAGAUCCGAGCUCGGAUCAAUUUUCACCCCUCGGAUCCGAGGCUCGGAUUUGUCUCUCUCUUCAGCAAGUGGCACAGCCGUUUUACUUUACCUUUCUUAAAACUUUUCCAGCUAUUUUGAGGGACAGAAAUCGGUGGCACAUGCUUCUGCAAUAAAAGAGAAGACCAAAUGAAUUGUAGACAAAAGAAAACAUCAUAUCUUUGACUUCUUUUUACAAAAUCUGAGUGGAGGAAAUUAUGAACUGAGAGGAAUAGACUUUCUACCACCUUUUAUGCAGAGACACAAGGGGAGAAGAAAAAUAUCAUAUACGUAGCUAGUUUUCCUUCUUGUAACUAGUUUCUCUCUAGCUAAGAGUUCUUGGAGAAGCAUUUGGAGUUUUCACUUGUAAUCAUAUUGUGCAAGAGCAUAGCAGGAAUUGGAGAGCUUCACCAUCAAUUGGCUAAGCUUUCUAUUAUCUUUUUUGUACUUGUACUUCAUGAUGUUUUGCAUUAAUAAACUUGUGAGUUUGAUUGUUAAAUCAUUCAUGAGUAGCUAAACUCCUUAAUCUAGGGAGUAGAUGAAACUUAUGGCUAAAUAAUACUAAUUGAAUGUGAUUUACACUUGUUAUAUCUUGUAUUAACUAGCCUACUUGUGUAGCUGUGAUUACUUGUUAUUGAUUGAUCACCAAUAGCAUGUUUAUAGUUGUUAUUAUUCAGUAAGAAUUGGUAAUAACAAUGGAAACACAUGAGUAGAGCUUAAGUUGUAUGUUCAUGAAAAUAGAGAUACACUUAAGUGGAUUACUUAGCAUUUCAUGAAAGAAAAUAGAGUAGCAGUAGUAUUUCACCAUGAAAAUAGGGAAAACUUUACUACUCUAGGUCAUUUCAUCAUGAGAAUGAGACUUGGUAAAUUUGGAAAUGAAUCUCUGGUUAAACAAGACUAAUAACAAGAGGUAAAUCCAUUCAUUUGUGUUGUUUAUGCCAUAAGUGGAAUCUACAUCCCUAGAGUCUUUCUUGAGUAAGAAUUCUUCAUUUGCAUUUAGCAUUUGUUAAACUAGAUUUGCAGAUCAGAUUUGUAGAAUAUAGCAAUAAACUUUCUCUGCUCAAAUUUAUUGUAAGUCUAAAUAAUAGAGAAAAAUAAGGGUCUAGUACUUGUUUCAAUUGCUCCUCGUGGGAUCGACCCGAUACAUACCCUACAUUACAGUUUUGGCCUGUAUACUUGCAGCUAACGGGUAUAAAAAUCGGAUUUAAACUUGCAUUGAUAUAAAAAUCCUGUCAAGUUUUAGGCGCCGUUGCCGGGGAGCGGCAAUAUUAGAGCCUAAUCAUCUUUAUUAAUUUAGACAGCGUUAUUUUUUUAGUUGAGCUGAUUAUAUUUAAUCCUACAUUGUAAUUAAAUUUUGACAAUCGAAGUUGUAUAAUAUCUCUUAUUUCUAUUUGUAGUGUAUGCACCGGGCGUCUCGAGAAGUUGCACUUUUCGAUCCAAAAAUUGAGAGGACACUACAUAGACAAAGGAGGAACACACCACAACAAGAGGAACAAGAGAUUUGGCAACCAAUAGAGGAAAUCUUAAUAGAGCUUCCAUUUGAAGAAGAAAUGGCAGAAAACGAAGAAAAUAGGCGAGUUCUACGAGAUUUUGCUCUACCGAGAACACAAGGAUCUCAAACGAGCAUAGCAAGGCCUUCGGUAAAUGCAAACAAUUUUGAGAUUAAACCAUCACUUAUCCAAAUGGUUCAACAGUCUCAAUUUGGAGGUAAUGCAGUAGAAGAUCCUAAUACACACUUAGCUACAUUCUUGGAAAUUUGUGAUACAAUUAAAAUGAAUGGAGUUAGUGAUGAUGCUAUAAGGCUAAGAUUGUUCCCAUUUUCAUUGAGAAAUAAUGCCAAACUUUGGCUACACUCUCAUGCUCCUAAUACUUUCACCGGAUGGGAUGAUUUAUCAAGAGCAUUCUUAAAUAAGUAUUUUCCACCAGGUAAGACUGCUAAGCUUAGAAUGGAUAUCACUAGUUUUAGCCAAUUGGACGGUGAAUCAUUAUAUGAGGCAUGGGAAAGGUUUAGAGAUUUGCUUCGGAAAUGUCCACAUCAUGGACUGCCGGAGUGGUUAAUCAUACAAACCUUCUAUAAUGGUUUAGUUUUUUCAACUAAAACUAUGAUCGAUGCAGCUGUAGGUGGAGCUUUAAUGGGUAAGUCACCCCAAGAAGCUCAGAAUUUGAUAGAAGAAAUGGCAGCAAAUAACUACCAGUGGGCCAAUGAGAGAGGUAAUACAAGACGUCACGCAGGUAUGAUAGAAAUGGAUAUUCUCAAUAUGCUGAGUGCCCAAAUGAAUAAUGUGAUGAAGUUGCUAAGUAGACAAGGUGGAGUUGGUCCAAGUUCAUCUAAUGCACAUGUAGCGUGUUGUUCUGUAUGUGGAGGUGAACAUGAUACUAAUGAGUGUGUUGAUUCUGAACAGGUACAAUUCGUCAAUAAUUACAAUCGUAAUGCUCAAAAUAACCCCUACUCGAAUACUUAUAAUCCGGGGUGGAGAAAUCAUCCAAACUUUGGAUGGAAGGAUCAAGGAAAUCAACCAAGCCCAGCCAAUCCACCAGGAUUUCAAUCAAGGCAACAACAAGCUGAAACUAAACCUGGUUGGGAGAUGGCAGUGGAAAAACUUGCAAAAGUUACUUCGGACAGAUUUGAGCGAGUAGAAGGAAGAUUGGACCAACUCACUACAAUGUACAGGAAUGUAGAGGUCCAAAUUGGUCAAAUUGCUAGUUCUUUGAAUAAUCGAAAUCAAGGAGAAUUACCUAGCAAAACUGAGGUAAAUCCUAAGGAGCAUGUCAAAGCCAUUACUCUUCAUAGUGGUAAGCAAUUAGAAGAACCUCCAGUGGUGGAAGUUGAGCAAGAUGAGAAUGGAAAACAAGAAGAAAAGCAGAGGAACCAAGAGGCGAUAGUGGAAGAAAAUAGCCGGGAGAAACCAAGAGAAAAUCAACCAUCAUCUUCCGCUACCAUUCCAAUACCUCCUGCGGUUCCAUUUCCACAAAGAUUAAAGCAGAAUAAGUUUGAUAGAGAUUUUGAAAAAUUUGUUAAACUUUUCAAACAAUUGCAUAUUAACAUUCCUUUUGCCGAUGCUAUUUUGCAGAUUCCGUCUUAUGCAAAAUUUCUCAAGGAAAUCAUGACUAGAAAAAGGAAGUUGGAAGAUUGCGAAACAAUAGCAUUAACUGAGGAGUGUAGUGCAAUUAUACAAAAUAAGCUACCACCGAAAUUGAAGGAUCUAGGAAGUUUCUCUAUACCUUGUACCAUAGGUAACAUUGUGACGGCCCCACCUCCCCCUAAGGCGUACCAAAGGGUUCGGCGGACCGCCUGCCCAACUCUCGCCGGGACUCAGUCGUUCCUUAAUCAAAUCCGGAAUACAACCAAAGGAAUAACAUACAACAAUCCAAAACUUAAGCGAAACUUAUAUAUACAUUACUAUCUCAAAAGGAAGUACAGCCAUCAAAUGUACAAAGGUUCUCACUUCAUCAUACAACCAGCCAGUGCCAAGCACUAGGGCGAGAACCAUUACAAAAGAAACAAAAGACCUAGACUAGGCUAGUCUAUGCUCUCAUCCUGCUCGCCGUCCCCUGUUAAGGAAAACAAAACUAAAGGGGUGAGUUAAAAGCUCAGUGAGGUUCCGAACAGAUAAUCAAACAAUCAAUUCAAUACAUUAAACAUGGAGUAUCAAUAAUUCAAGAAACAUUUACAAUGGAAAACGAUAGUAACAUUCAUUAAAAGGAUACGACUCACAUGGAGCGAUUCGUUCGUUCGUUCGUUCACCUGUUAUUUCCCUUAUCCCUCCAAUCAUUUAAAAUUGCAUUUUUGUAAGUAAAACCCUCGUUCGUUCGUUCGUUCGUUCUCCUCCAUCCGGACGUUGGCCGGACUCCACCCAUCCGGACGUUGGCCGGACUACAAGGUAAUACUCGAGUAUACCAAUCGUUCACACCCAGGGUCACCAUAUCGCCCGACCGAGUCCGCUUCUGGCUCGAGUCGAUCGGUGACGAAGGGCAGGGCCCAGUUCAGCCAAACGGCUUACAUUCAUGCGCAACGAGCAUUUAAUCAUUUAAUCAUUGAAAAUUUCACAUUCAUUUAGGUCGAGUGCGAUAAAGCACACGCUCUCCUAGAAAAUUCGUUUUGGAAAUCAUUGAAAACAUUUAACACAUUAUCAAACAAUAACAACAAGUCAUGAAGUCAAGGAAGAUAUAACAAACAAGGAACACUCACCUAUGUACUCAAAACAACGUGCAAAAUAUCCUACCGGAUAUUAUCAUUAGUCACCGAGAAAACCUAAAAUUAAACGAGAAAGAAUAUUACAGUUCAUCUAACACAAACAAUUAGGUGAAAUCAACGAAACUCGACAAUUGAUGAGUAGAACGUAUAAAAAGACUUUAAAGUGAAACGAGGAUAUUUGGACCCGUGGACAAAAAUAACUAGGGUUUCAAAGACCAAAUGUAAAACCAAACUCAAAAGGGUUAUAAAAUUUUCCAAUGGAAACACUUGAACUAAAGGCAAGUCGGAAUCCAACUAGAUAGACUCAGAAAUAUUGUCUUGACUGAGAAAACCUUAAGUCAUACCUCUAUAUUUUGGUAUGAAGUAGUAAAUAAACAUUUGAAGGUUCAAACGGAAAAGGUAUCAUGUUUUAAGAUGGAAAAUGGUCAUAGUAUUUGCCAAACGAAAAUAUACAAGUUCAAAUAGAAGCUUAGCUCUCGAGCGAAAAUUUGGGCAGCACGCCCUUUGUAUUUACCUAUUUUUCAGCCAUUUAUGGCUUCAUUGUUUUCCUCAAGCAAUCCCAACAUUACACACAACAUAAAUAGCCACUCAAUAGGCUCAAGACAAUACAAGGACAAAAAUCAAGCUAAUAACAAGUGCGGAAAUGAAGUUUAACAAAAGACAGAUUUAAUGUGUUUUUGCGUAACGGACACAACCGAGGCUACGCUUAUCGGAUUGAGGUGAAACUUAUACUGUUUUGAAGCUAAGGCAGAGAGCUACAACUUUAGUGAAGACCACUCAGUCCAGUUUACAAUGUAUCUAGGUCAAAUUUACCAAAACAACCCCAGAUUUUUCAGUUCGAAGUUUACUGUGGCAGUCCUGAUUCAUUCAAUCAUAUCUCAGCACAUACAACUUCAAUUAAAGAGAUUCCAAAGCCAUUUGAAAGCUAAGAUACAGGGAUAUAAUUAUUAAGAAGAUGUCGACACCCAAAUCAGUAGUAUUCCCGGUCGAAACAACCAAUUACAUAAGCUGAUUAUCAGUUUCGGGUAAAUACAGGGUAGCAGGGGUAUUUCGGUCUUUUUACAAUCUACGUUACUCCGAUUGAGCUGAAAUUUUGUAGGCAGCCAUAAAAUAUUAUUAUAUACAACUUUCAUGUUUUGUGCUAAGGCCAAUUCGGCCUAUAACAUUGUCAAACAGAAACGGGCAGAACUGGAACCUAGAAUUUCAGAAAUCUGGAUUCCAAGCAUAUAAGUGCUAAUCCUCACAAAUUGAACUUGAAACACCACUAAUACCUCCUAUACAUGCUUAUAUACAUCAUAUAUCAUUCAAACAACAAAUAUGAGAAGGAAAUUAUUCAAACCCUGACUUAAAUACAUCAACCCCAAUCAUCCAAAUCCACUUGAUAUAAGCAUAACAAGCAAAAUUACAUGCUACUACACAACUCAAACAUGGUUAAGGGAAAAGAAAAGUUAGUCAGCCAUUAUACCUCAAGACAAGAGCUGUCAAGAGUUAUCCUUCACUUCCCUUGGCAAAAUUUAGCUCCUUAAGCUUCCCAAGCUUCCAAACUAAUGAUUAAUCGGUUUAGUUUUUCUUGUUUUCAUUCAUUCAAGCUCAAACCAAGAUUGAUUGAAGUUUCCUUUUCUCUUGUUUUUCCUCCCUCAACUCACGGCUGAUAUGCAGAAAUAAUGGAGGAAAUAGGUUGGUUUUUGGUGAUAAAUAUGGUGUAAAUUAGUUAGUCAACCAUCCAAUGAAAUACCGCCACUUGUCGCCACCAAUUCCAUUCAUUUUUUCCCUUCUCUCUCUUGGUAUUUAAAGUCAACAAUUGUGGCUGAUGUAUGAGAUAUUUUGAGGGUUAAUUAGCUGUAAUAAAAUAAGAAGAUUAAGGUAAUAAAGUAGGGAUCAAGUGGUGUGUUCAAUCGGUAGCGCGCGGCACCCGUCGGUCCAAGCCGUUUGUCCUUAAAUUGCAUAUACUUGGAUUUUUAACUUCUAAUCACUAACUUAUUAUUAUCACUUCUAAUCAUAUAAUAUUUCCUCAUCCAAAAGUCACUAUUAGCUACCAAAUUUGAUCCUUACUCGGUACCCAAUAGGCACACUACGGAAAAACGUGAAAACCCUAAUUCGUUCUUCUUGAAAACGAAAAGUUAAACCCUACUUUCUAGGUUCAUUUGCACUCAUUGUCGGGUAAUUGGGUAGUAGGGCUAUUAUAAAUUAAUAAUUUCCAAAAAAAAGAGGGUAUUUUUAAGAAACAUAUAAGGAAUUUUACGGGUUCUCACAUCGAUAAUGCGUUUCAAAUUUAAUGUACACUAACUCAUACUAUGAAAAUGAAUUUAAAACUGUACUUGCUUGUAAAAAAAAUGCAUAGAGAUUUUAGUAAUUCCAAUGAGAGUAUAAAAUGUAGGCAAAGGAAUAAAAUGAUGCUGAGAAAAUGUGAAAUUUUUUUUUAUUUUUGGGUUCUCACAUUGUCUCCUCCUUAAAGAAAUUUCGUCCUCGAAAUUUUUACCUUCUGUUGCCUCAGAGGCCCCCGGAACUUGUUGCUGAUCUACGGUAUAAACCAGUGCUGAUACUUUUGUUCGGUUUCCUCUUUCAUUAGUUUUUCUCGGUUCGGUUCCUUCCACUCGUUGGGUAUAACCCUCUCGUGGCUGUUUCUUUGGAAAUUGCUAAGUUGAUGAUUGCUACUCCCACAAAUCAAACAUUUUCCCCCUUUCCGCCAGCAAUCAUUAUCAGUGUGAUUUGCCUUUCCACAGUAUCCACAGGCCAAUCGAGGAGCUACUGUUUGACCUUCUCGAGAAAUGUCCUUUGAUCCGAUUUGACUUCCUUUCGUAGACCUUUCAUCUAAUCCUCUAAAUGUCCAAGGUGGGCGAGGUGAAUGGUUCACUUUUUACACUUUGGAGAGCAUUAUCUUUUCUCCGGAUUCCUCAGAUACGCUGCUGGAUGUAUCCCUUUUCCGCAUUUGAAAGGCUUUUACAUGGGCUUUCGCAUUCUCAAUUCUUUGAGCCUUCUCAAGAGCCUCUGUAAACGUAUUAACUUGAACCGCCGCUAAUACCUCCUGGAUUUCCAAAUUUAGUCAUUGUAUAAAUCGUCUAAUUCUCCUUCGCUCCGUAACCACCAAUUCGGAAGCGAAUUUAGACAGUCUAGUAAAUUUGGUCUCAUAUUCAGCCACACUCAGGGUUCCCUGAUGCAACCCAAUAAAUUCGUCCUCUCCCCUUUCUUGGACCAAAGGUGAGAGAUACUUUUCGUUAAAUUCCCUUACAAAGUUCGCCCAUGUCCAUACAGUCUGUUCUCUUUCUCACUUGGCCUUAAUUACAUUCCACCACGCGCGGGCUGGUCCUUCGAAUUGAAAUACAACAAAAUUUACUUGUCUUUGCUCCGUGUAAUUCAAAGCCGCGAAGAUAUUAAUCAUUGCCUCCAACCACUUCUCAGCUAUAUCCGGAUCAGGCCCUUCUUUAAAUUUCGGAGAUAGAAACUUUUGAAAUCUCUCAAGAGCCUUAUCCUCUUCGAUCUCAGGAUUCCGGGGUUGAUUCACUGGCAUUUGACCUUGUUGAUCUACCAGUCGUUUUAGGAUAUUUGUCAUUUGUUGCAUCGCUGUGGCCAUUUGAUCUCCAGCCUCAACCCUCGAUCCAUGUUCUUGCUCGUCCACUGUUUCUCUUUCUUCUCUCGGUUCUUGAGCUUGCCUAGCCCCACGGUCACGACUAGCUCCACGUCCACGACUACGUCUCCCCUCCAUUCUUUUUUUUUUCAAAAAUGAUUUAGUAUGUAACAAAGGAAAUUGACUAGAACGGCAAAAUUUACCACAUCAAGUUCACAAAGAAACAUAUCAAGUAGACAAGAUCAAAUGCAACAAGUACUAUACAUGUGAAUAUUAUCAUGCCACAAGCCAAAUACACACGGUAGCAGUACAAAGACAAAACAAGAAGAUAACACGACAAGUCGUUUCACACUUGGUUAACAUAGCCCCCGUCCGAUCUCUCACGUCACUUCCUAUUCACUAGAUGUCCGUUAACCUCUUAUACUCAUUCUAACCGAACAAAGCCUGUUCAUGUUCCAAAAUACAAGUCUCAAAUACCUAGUAGCUAGCAUCGCCUCAACUCCAGAGUACUCAGGCACGAGAAUCCGAAAUAAAAUAGUUCACAUCUCGAGCUGGCCAGUCCCAAGAGUAAAUCAUCUACAAAUCGAAAUUCCUACCCGACAUACCUAUCUAUGGUCCUCAGAUACCACAAGAAAAUUUAAGACCUAUACCAUUCACAAUUCAUAGCUUAUGCUCACUCCGCACAGAGACCACGCGAAACAGGCUCUAGGUUUUAUCCCUCAAUUGCUUAACUUUAAAGUCAAAUCGAAUUCCCACAGUCCGGCAUCCUAAACUUCAAGCCUUGGAUACACUACAGAGAUCUGAUACCACCUGUGACGGCCCCACCUCCCCCUAAGGCGUACCAAAGGGUUCGGCGGACCGCCUGCCCAACUCUCGCCGGGACUCAGUCGUUCCUUAAUCAAAUUCGGAAUACAACCAAAGGAAUAACAUACAACAAUCCAAAACUUAAGCGAAACUUAUAUAUACAUUGCUAUCUCAAAAGAAAGUACAGCCAUCAAAUGUACAAAGGUUCUCACUUCACCAUACAACCAGCCCGUGCCAAGCACUAGGACAAGAACCAUUACAAAAGAAACAAAAGACCUAGACUAGGCUAGUCUAUGCUCUCAUCCUGCUCGCCGUCCCCUGUUAAGGAAAAUAAAACCAAAGGGGUGAGUUAAAAGCUCAGUGAGGUUCCGAACAGAUAAUCAAACAAUCAAUUCAAUACAUUAAACAUGGAGUAUCAAUAAUUCCAGAAACAUUUACAAUGGAAAGCGAUAGUAACAUUCAUUAAAAGGAUACGGCUCACAUGGAGCGAUUCGUUCGUUCGCCUGUCAUUUCCCUUAUCCCUCCAACCAUUUAAAAUUGCAUUUUUGUAAGUAAAACCCUCGUUCGUUCGUUCGUUCGUUCUCCCCCAUCCGGACGUUGGCCGGACUCCACCCAUCCGGACGUUGGCCGGACUACAUGGUAAUACUCGAGUAUACCAAACGUUCACACCCAUGGUCACCAUAUUGCCCGACCGAGUCCGCUUCUGGCUCGAGUCGAUCGGUGACGAAGGGCAGGGCCCAAUUCAGUCAAACGGCUUACAUUCAUGCGUAACGAGCAUUUAAUCAUUUAAUCAUUGAAAAUUUCACAUUCAUUUAGGUCGAGUACGAUAAAGCACACGCUCGCCUAGAAAAUUCGUUUUGGAAAUCAUUGGAAACAUUUAACACAUUAUCAAACAAUAACAACAAGUCAUGAAGUCAAGGAAGAUAUAACAAAUAAGGAACACUCACCUAUGUACUCAAAACAACGUGCAAAAUAUCCUACCGGAUAUUAUCCUUAAUCACCGAGAAAACCUAAAAUUAAACGAGAAAGAAUAUUACAGCUCAUCUAGCACAAACAAUUAGGUGAAAUCAACGAAACUCGACAAUUGAUGAGUAGAACGUAUAAAAAGACUUUAAAGUGAAACGAGAACAUUUGGACCCGUGGACAAAAAUAUCUAGGGUUUCAGAGACCAAAUGUAAAACCAAACUCAAAAGGGUUAUAAAAUUUUCCAAUGGAAACACUUGAACUAAAGGCAAGUCGGAAUCCAACUAGAUAGACUCAGAAAUAUUGUCUUGACUGAGAAAACCUUAAGUCAUACCUCUAUAUUUUGGUAUGAAGUAGUAAAUAAACAUUUGAAGGUUCAAACGGAAAAGGUAUCAUGUUUUAAGAUGGAAAACGGUCAUAGUAUUUGCCAAACGAAAAUAUACAAGUUCAAAUAGAAGCUUACCCCACUACCAUCCCAAACAACUGUAAUUUUUGAAUCUCAUGGAAAAACAUCCAAAAGCAAUGCACAAAUCACCAUGGAAGUGUUUAAGAAAACAUCUUGAUAUUAGGUUGUUCGGUACUCAAAUGUAAAAUUCGAACAAAUCAUAUUUCUUCUAUUUUUAACAUUUUCCAAUUAUUCUUAAUCCUUUUGAUUUCAGAGACUCCAAUCACUAAGUAGUUUUCACUAGAUAUGAUGUAAGUCCAUUUCUUACUCCGGCAAAAAAAAAUUUUAUUGUGCUUCAGGACUGUGUACUUGAAUCUUUGAGUACAUCCAAAUUAACAUAAGAUUAAUUAUUCAAACCUUUCAAAUCCCAACAGGAGCGAAAAUUUGGGCAGCACGCCCUUUGUAUUUACCUAUUUUUCAGCCAUUUAUGGCUUCAUUGUUUUCCUCAAGCAAUCCCAACAUUACACACAACAUAAAUAGCCACUCAAUAGGCUCAAGACAAUACAAGGACAAAAAUCAAGCUAAUAACAAGUGCGGAAAUGAAGUUUAACAAAAAAUAAAUUUAAUGUGUUUUUGCGUAACGGACACAACCGAGGCUACGCUUAUCGGAUUGAGGUGAAACUUGUACUGUUUCGAAGCUAAGGCAGAGAGCUACAACUUUAGUGAAGACCACUCAGUCCAGUUUACAAUGUAUCUAGGUCAAAUUUACCAAAAAAACCCCAGAUUUUCCAGUUCGAAGUUUACUGUGGCAGUCCUGAUUCAUUCAGUCAUAUCUCAGCACAUACAACUUCAAUUCAAGUGAUUCCAAAACCAUUUGAAAACUAAGAUACAGGGUUAUAAUUAUUAAGAAGACAUUGACACCCAAAUCAGUAGUAUUCCCGGUCGAAACAACCAAUUACAGAAGCUGAUUAUCAGUUUCGGGUAAAUACAGGGUAGCAGGGGUAUUUCAGUCUUUUUACAGGCUACGUUCCUCCGAUUGAGUUAAAAUUUUGUAGGAAACCAUAAAAUAUUAUUCUAUACAACUUUCAUGUUUUGUGUCAAGGCCAAUUCGGCCUCUAACAUUGUCAAAAAGAAACGGGAAGAACUGGAACCUAGAAUUUCAGAAAUCUGGAUUCCAAGCAUAUAAGUGCUAAUCCCCACAAAUUGAACUUGAAACACCCCUACUACCUCCUAUACAUGCUUAUAUACAUCAUAUAUCAUUCAAACAACAAAUAUGAGAAGGAAAUUAUUCAAACCCUGACUUAAAUACAUCAACCCCAAUCAUCCAAAUCCACUUGAUAUAAGUAUAACAAGCAAAAUUACAUGCUACUACACAACUCAAACAUGGUUAAGGGAAAAUAAAAGUUAGUCAGCCAUUAUACCUCAAGAUAAGAGCUGUCAAGAGUUAUCCUUCACUUCCCUUGGCAAAAUUUAGCUCCUUAAGCUUCCAAACUAAUGAUUAAUCGGUUUAGUUUUUCUUGUUUUCAUUCAUUCAAGCUCAAACCAAGAUUGAUUGAAGUUUCCUUUUCUCUUGUUUUUCCACCCUCAACUCACGGCUGAUAUGCAGAAAUAAUGGAGGAAAUAGGUUGAUUUUUGGUGAUAAAUAUGGUGUAAAUUAGUUAGUCAACCAUCCAAUGAAAUACCGCCACUUGUCGCCACCAAUUCCAUUCAUUUUUUCCCUUCUCUCUCUUGGUAUUUAAAGUCAACAAUUGUGGCUGAUGUAUGAGAUAUUUUGAGGGUUAAUUAGCUGUAAUAAAAUAAGAAGAUUAAGGUGAUAAAGUAGGGAUCAAGUGGUGUGUUCAAUCGGUAGCGCGCGACACCCGUCGGUCCAAGCCGUUUGUCCUUAAAUUGCAUAUACUUGGGUUUUUAACUUCUAAUCACUAAUUUAUUAUUAUCACUUCUAAUCAUAUAAUAUUUCCUCAUCCAAAAGUCACUAUUAGCUACCAAAUUUGAUCCUUACUCGGUACCAAAUAGGCACACUACGGAAAAACGUGAAAAUCCUAAUUCGUUCUUCUUGAAAAUAAAAAGUGAAACCCUACUUUAUAGGUUCAUUUGCACUCAUUGUGGGGUAUUUGGGUAGUAGGGCUAUUAUAAAUUAAUAAUUUCCAAAAAAAAAGGGUAUUUUUAAGAAACAUAUAAGGAAUUUUUUGGGUUCUCACAUCGAUAAUGCGUUUCAAAUUUAAUGUACACUAACUCAUACUAGGAAAAUGAAAUUAAAACUGUACUUGCUUGUAAAAAAAAUACAUAGAGAUUUUAGUAUUUCCAAGGAGAGUAUAAAAUGUAGGCAAAGGAAUAAAAUGAUGCUGAGAAAAUGUGAAAUUUUUUUUUUUUGGGGUUCUCACAUUCUCUCCUCCUUAAAGAAAUUUCGUCCUCGAAAUUUUUACCUUCUGUUGCCUCAGAGGCCCUCGGAACUUGUUGCUGAUCUACGGCAUAAACCUGUGCUGAUACUUUUGUUCGGUUUCCUCUUUCAUUAGUUUUUCUCGGUUCGGUUCCUUCCACUCGUUGAGUACAACCCUCUCGUGGCUGUUUCUUCGGACAAUUGCUAAGUUGAUGAUUGCUACUCCCACAAAUAAAACAUUUUCCCCCUUUCCGCCAGCAAUCAUUCUCAGUUUGAUUUGCCUUUCCACAGUAUUUCCAGGCCAAUCGAGGAGCUACUGUUUGACCUUCUCGAGAAAUGUCCUUUGAUCCGAUUUGACUUCCUUCGUAGACCUUUCAUCUAAUGCUCUAAACGUCCAAGGUGGACGAGGUGAAUGGUUCACUUUUUACACUUUGGAGAGCAUUAUCUUUUCUCCGAAUUUCUCAGGUAUGCUGCUGGAUGUAUCCCUUUUCCGCAUUUGAAAGGCUUUUACUUGGGCUUACGCAUUCUCAACUCUUUGAGCCUUCUCAAGAGCCUCUGUAAAUGUAUUAACUUGAACUGCCGCUAAUGCCUCCUGGAUUUCCAAAUUUAGUCAUUGUAUAAAUCAUCUAAUUCUCCUUCGCUCCGUAACCACCAAUUCGGAAGCGAAUUGAGACAGUCUAGUAAAUUUGGUCUCAUAUUCAGCCACACUCAGGGUUCCCUGACGCAACCCAAUAAAUUCAUCCUCUCUCCUUUCUUGGACCAAAGGUGAGAGAUACUUUUCGUUAAAUUUCCUUACAAAGUUCGCCCAUGUCCAUUCCGUCUGUUUUCUUUCCCACUUGGCCUUAAUUGCAUUCCACCACGCGCGGGUUGGUCCUUCGAAUUGAAAUACAGCAAAAUUUACUUGUCUUUGCUCCGUGUAAUUCAAAGCCGCGAAGAUAUUAAUCAUUGCCUCCAACCACUUCUCAGCUAUAUCCGGAUCAGGCCCUCCUUGAAAUUUCGGAGAUAGAAACUUUUGAAACCUCUCAAGAGCCUUUUCCUCUUCGAUCUCAGGAUUCCGGAGUUGAUUCACUGGCAUUUGACCUUGUUGAUCUACCAGUCGUGCUAGGAUAUUUGUCAUUUGUUGCAUCGCUGUGGCCAUUUGAUCUCCAGCCUCAACCCUCGAUCCAUGUUCUUGCUCGUCCACUGUUUCUCUUUCUUCUCUCGGUUCUUGAGCUUGCCUAGCCCCACGGUCACGACUAGCUCCACGUCCACGACUACGUCUCCCCUCCAUUCUUUUUUUUUUCAAAAAUGAUUUAGUAUGUAACAAAGGAAAUUGACUAGAACGGCAAAAUUUACCACAUCAAGUUCACAAAGAAACAUAUCAAGUAGACAAGAUCAAAUGCAACAAGUACUAUACAUGUGAAUAUUAUCAUGCCACAAGCCAAAUACACACGGUAGCAGUACAAAGACAAAACAAGAAGAUAACACGACAAGUCGUUUCACACUUGGUUAACAUAGCCCCCGUCCGAUCUCUCACGUCACUUCCUAUUCACUAGAUGUCCGUUAACCUCUUAUACUCAUUCUAACCGAACAAAGCCUGUUCAUGUUCCAAAAUACAAGUCUCAAAUACCUAGUAGCUAGCAUCGCCUCAACUCCAGAGUACUCAGGCACGAGAAUCCGAAAUAAAAUAGUUCACAUCUCGAGCUGGCCAGUCCCAAGAGUAAAUCAUCUACAAAUCGAAAUUCCUACCCGACAUACCUAUCUAUGGUCCUCAGAUACCACAAGAAAAUUUAAGACCUAUACCAUUCACAAUUCAUAGCUUAUGCUCACUCCGCACAGAGACCACGCGAAACAGGCUCUAGGUUUUAUCGCUCAAUUGCUUAACUUUAAAGUCAAAUCGAAUUCCCAUAGUCCGGCAUCCUAAACUUCAAGCCUUGGAUACACUACAGAGAUCUGAUACCACCUGUGACGGCCCCACCUCCCCCUAAGGCGUACCAAAGGGUUCGGCGGACCGCCUGCCCAACUCUCGCCGGGACUCAGUCGUUCCUUAAUCAAAUUCGGAAUACAACCAAAGGAAUAACAUACAACAAUCCAAAACUUAAGGGAAACUUAUAUAUACAUUGCUAUCUCAAAAGAAAGUACAGCCAUCAAAUGUACAAAGGUUCUUAUUUCACCAUACAACCAGCCCGUGCCAAGCACUAGGACGAGAACCAUUACAAAAGAAACAAAAGACCUAGACUAGGCUAGUCUAUGCUCUCAUCCUGCUCGCCGUCCCCUGUUAAGGAAAAUAAAACUAAAGGGGUGAGCUAAAAGCUCAGUGAGGUUCCGAACAGAUAAUCAAACAAUCAAUUCAAUACAUUAAACAUGGAGUAUCAAUAAUUCAAGAAACAUUUACAAUGGAAAGCGAUCGUAACAUUCAUUAAAAGGAUACGGCUCACAUGGAGCGAUUCGUUCGUUCUUUCGUUCGCCUGUCAUUUCCCUUAUCCUUCCAACCAUUUAAAAUUGCAUUUUUGUAAGUAAAACCCUCGUUCGUUCGUUCGUUCGUUCUCCCCCAUCCGGACGUUGGCCGGACUACAAGGUAAUACUCGAGUAUACCAAACAUUCAUACCCAUGGUCACCAUAUUGCCCGAUCGAGUCCACUUCUGGCUCGAGUCGAUCGGUGACGAAGGGCAGGGCCCAAUUCAACCAAACGGCUUACAUUCAUGCGCAACGAGCAUUUAAUCAUUUAAUCAUUGAAAAUUUCACAUUCAUUUAGGUCGAGUGCGAUAAAGCACACGCUCGCCUAGAAAAUUCGUUUUGGAAAUCAUUGGAAAUAUUUAACACAUUAUCAAACAAUAACAACAAGUCAUGAAGUCAAGGAAGAUACAACAAACAAGGAACACCCACCUAUGUACUCAAAACAAUGUGCAAAAUAUCCUACCGGAUAUUAUCCUUAGUCACCGAGAAAAUCUAAAAUUAAACGAGAAUGAAUAUUACAGCUCAUCUAGCACAAACAAUUAGGUGAAAUCAACGAAACUCGACAAUUGAUGAGUAGAACGUAUAAAAAGACUUGAAAGUGAAACGAGAACAUUUGGACCCGUGGCCAAAAUAAUUAGGGUUUCAGAGACCAAAUGUAAAACCAAACUCAAAAGGGUUAUAAAAUUUUUCAAUGGAAACACUUGAACUAAAGGCAAGUCGGAAUCCAACUAGAUAGACUCAGAAAUAUUGUCUUGACUGAGAAAACCUUAAGUCAUACCUCUAUAUUUUGGUAUGAAGUAGAAAAUAAACAUUUGAAGUUUCAAACGGAAAAGGUAUCAUGUUUUAAGAUGGAAAACGGUCAUAGUAUUUGCCAAACGAAAAUAUAAAAGUUCAAAUAGAAGUUUAGCCCUCGAGCGAAAAUUUGGGCAGCACGCCCUUUGUAUUUACCUAUUUUCCAGUCAUUUAUGGCUUCAUUGUUUUUCUCAAGCAAUCUCAACAUUACACACAACAUAAAUAGCCACUCAAUAGGCUCAAGACAAUACAAGGACAAAAAUCAAGCUAAUAACAAGUGCGAAAAUGAAGUUUAACAAAAGACAGAUUUAAUGUGUUUUUCCGUAACGGACACAAUCGAGGCUACGCUUAUCGGAUUGAGGUGAAACUUAUACUGUUUCGAAGCUAAGGCAGAGAGCUACAACUUUGGUGAAGACCACUCAGUCCAUUUUACAAUGUAUCUAGGUCAAAUUUACCAAAAUAACCCCAGAUUUUCCAGUUCGAAGUUUACUGUGGCAGCCCUGAUUCAUUCAGUCAUAUCUCAGCACAUACAACUUCAAUUCAAGUGAUUCCAAAGUCAUUUGAAAGAUAAGAUAUAGGGCUAUAAUUAUUAAGAAGACGUUGACACCCAAAUCAGUAGUAUUUCCUGUCGAAACAACCAAUUACAGAAGCUGAUUAUCAGUUUCGGGUAAAUACAGGGUAGCAGGGGUAUUUCGGUCUUUUCACAGGAUACAUUGCUCCGAUUGGGCUGAAAUUUUGUAGGCAACCAUAAAAUGUUAUUCUCUACAAAUUUUAUGUUUUGUUCUAAGGCCAAUUCGGCCUCUAACAUUGUCAAACAGAAACGGGCAGAACUGGAACCUAGAAUUUCAGAAAUCUGGAUUCCAAGCAUAUAAGUGCUAAUCCUUACAAAUUGAACUUGAAACACCCCUACUACCUCCUAUAUAUGCUUAUAUACAUCAUAUAUCAUUCAUACAACAAAUAUGAGAAGGAAAUUAUUCAAACCCUGACUUAAAUACAUCAACCCCAAUCAUCCAAAUCCACUUGAUAUAAGCAUAACAAGCAAAAUUACAUGCUACUACACAACUCAAACAUGGUUAAGGGAAAAGAAAAGUUAGUCAACCAUUAUACCUCAAGACAAGAGCUUUCAAGAGUUAUCCUUCACUUCCCUUGGCAAAAUUUAGCUCCUUAAGCUUCCCAAACUUCCAAACUAAUGAUUAAUCGGUUUAGUUUUUCUUGUUUUCACUCAUUGAAGCUCAAACCAAGAUUGAUUGAAGUUUCCUUUUCUCUUGUUUUUCCUCCCUCAACUCACGGCUGAUAUGCAGAAAUAAUGGAGGAAAUAGGUUAGUUUUUGGUGAUAAAUAUGGUGUAAAUUAGUUAGUCAACCAUCCAAUGAAAUACCGCCACUUGUCGCCACCAAUUCCAUUCAUUUUUUCCCUUCUCUCUCUUGGUAUUUAAAGUCAACAAUUGUGGCUGAUGUAUGAGAUAUUUUGAGAGUUAAUUAGCUGUAAUAAAAUAAGAAGAUUAAGGUAAUAAAGUAGGGAUCAAGUGGUGUGUUCAAUCGGUAGCGCGCGACACCCGUCGGUCCAAGCCGUUUGUCCUUAAAUCGCAUAUACUUGAGUUUUUAACUUCUAAUCACUAAUUUAUUAUUAUCACUUCUAAUCAUAUAAUAUUUUCUCAUCCAAAAGUCACUCUUAGCUACCAAAUUUGAUCCUUACUCGGUACCGAAUAGGCACACUACGGAAAAACGUGAAAAUUCUAAUUCGUUCUUCUUGAAAACGAAAAGUGAAACCCUACUUUCUAGGUUCAUUUGCACUCAUUGUGAGGUAAUUGGGUAGUAGUGCUAUUAUAAAUUAAUAAUUUCCAAAAAAAAAGUGUAUUUUUAAGAAACAUAUAAGGAAUUUUACGGGUUCUCACAUCGAUAAUGCGUUUCAAAUUUAACGUACACUAACUCAUACUAGGAAAAUGAAUUUAAAACUGUACUUGCUUGUAAAAAAAUUGCAUAGAGAUUUUAGUAUUUCCAAGGAGAGUAUAAAAUGUAGGCAAAGGAAUAAAAUGAUGUUGAGAAAAUGUGAAAAUUUUUUUUUUUUUUUUGGGUUCUCACAAACAUUGAUUUUUCUAAAGCAUUGUGUGAUCUCGGUGCUAGUGUAUCAUUGAUUCCUCUAACGGUGGCUAGACAAUUGGGUUUGAAGGAGCUUAAACGCACUAAUAUUACUUUGCAACUAGCGGACAUGUCUAUUAGAUAUCUAUUAGGAGUGUUGGAGAAUGUAUUGAUAAAAGUUCAAAAAUUUAUCAUUCCAGUGGAUUUUGUGGUGUUAGAUAUGGAAGAAGAUGUAUCUAUGCCAAUUAUUUUUGGUAGACCAUUUUUAGCUACUGCAGGUACUAUUAUUGAUUUAAAAAAUGGCAAGCUGAAGUUUCAAGUAGGUGAAGAAGAGGUAGAGUUUAAUUUGCAUGAAAUGGGAAAAUACCCUUCUUUUACCGAUCAUGCAUAUUCUAUUGGCACAAUUGAUAAACUAACUCAAGAGAUGAGUCAAGUCAAUUUUGACUUUGAUCCUCUUGAAUAUUGUUUAAUGAGUUUAGGGAAGCAAGAAAGUGAUUGUGGAGAAAUUGAAGAAUUGGCCAAGUAUUUGGAUUUUCAAGCACCUUAUAAAAGGGGUAAUUUGUAUGAAAGUCUCGGCCAAGGAAAAGGGCUUUCACCACCUUCAGAAAUUGAACCUCCAAAACUAGAGCUCAAACCACUUCCAACUCAUCUAAGGUAUGAAUUUCUUGGAGAAAAUAGUACUUUACCUGUAAUUGUUAGUGCUGACCUGGAUGAUGAGCAGUGUACAAAGUUGCUAAGAGUUCUAAGGAAGCAUAAGAAGGCAAUGGGAUGGACAAUUGCAGACAUUAAAGGUAUAAGUCCUUCAAUAUGCAUGCAUCGCAUUUUAUUGGAGGACAAUUGCAAACCAAUGGUGGAAACACAAAGAAGAGUUAAUCCAAACAUGAAAGAGGUGGUAAGAAAUGAAAUUCUUAAGUGGCUCGAUGCAGGUAUAGUCUUUCCUAUCUCCGAUAGUGUUUGGAUUAGUGCAAUUCAUGUGGUACCAAAGAAAGGUGGAAUAACUACAAUCGUGGGUAAAAAUGAUGAAUUGAUUCCAUCUAGACUCGUGGUAGGGUGGAGAGUGUGUAUUGAUUAUCGUAAGUUAAAUACGGUAACAAGAAAAGAUCAUUUUCCCUUACCAUUUCUUGAUCAAUUAUUAGAGCGAAUAGUCGAAUAUGAAUUUUAUUGUUUUCCAGAUGGUUUUUCAGGAUAUAAUCAAAUAGCUAUAGCUCCAGAGGACCAAGAAAAGACCACAUUUACAUGUCCUUAUGGCACUUUUGCCUUUAAAAGGAUGCCAUUUGGUUUAUGCAAUGCACCUGCGACUUUUCAAUGUUGCAUGAUAGCUAUAUUUUCAGAUUAUAUUGAGAAAAUUAUGGAGAUAUUUAUGGAUGAUUUUUCUGUGUAUGGUUCAUCUUUCGACCAUUGCCUUCAUAAUUUGGAAUUGAUUUUGCAGAGAUGCGAGGAAACAAAUCUUGUACUGAAUUGGGAGAAAUGCCAUUUUAUGGUAAAAGAAGGAAUUGUCUUAGGACACAAGAUUUCCUCCAUGGGAAUUGAAGUGGAUAAAACCAAAAUAGAAGUUAUCGAAAAAUUGCCACCUCCAAGCAAUGUCAAGGGGAUAAGGAGUUUUUUGGGACAUGCUGGCUUUUAUAGACGUUUUAUUAAAGAUUUUUCUAAAAUAGUAAAGCCAUUAUGUGAUUUAUUAUGUAAAGAUACCCCUUUUCAAUUUGAUGACAAUUGUUUGGUUGCAUUUGAAAGGUUGAAGAAGGAAUUGAUUUCGGCCCCAAUUAUAACUUCGCCCAAUUGGUCACUACCAUUUGAAUUGAUGUGUGAUGCAAGUGAUUAUGCGGUUGGAGCAGUUUUGGGACAAAAGAAAGAAGGACGAUUGCACGUCAUUUACUAUGCUAGCAAGUUGUUAAAUGAGGCACAACUCAAUUAUGCAACGACAGAAAAAGAGCUAUUGGUGGUGAUAUUUGCUUUAGAUAAAUUUAGAUCCUAUUUAAUAGGAUCUAAAGUUAUUAUAUAUACGGACCAUUCAGCUCUUAAAUAUUUGCUACAUAAGAAGGAUGCAAAACCUAGACUAAUUCGGUGGAUUCUUUUAUUGCAGGAAUUUGAUGUGGAGAUAAAAGACAAAAAGGGAUCGGAGAAUCUAGUUGCAGAUCAUCUAUCAUGUUUGGAAUAUAUCCCAGUCAAGAAUCAAGUUCCAAUUCAAGAGAAUUUUCUGGAUGAGUUUGUCCUAGCACUUAGCAAUUCUCCAUGGUAUGCAGAUUUUGCUAACUACUUGGUCAGUGGAGAGAUUCCAAAGGGGUUUAAUUAUCAUCAAAAGAAAAAAUUCUUACAUGAUGUCAAAAGUUACUUAUGGGAGGAACCAUUGCUGUAUAAACAUUGUGCCGAUGGUAUGAUACGUAGAUGUAUUCCCGAAGAUGAGGCACAUAAUGUUUUAUAUCAUUGUCAUAACCUUGAAACAGGUGGUCAUUUCAGUACUUCCAAGACUGUGGCAAAGGUAUGGCAAUCAGGGUUUUAUUGGCCAACUAUGUACCGAGAUGCUAGGGAAUAUGUUAAAAAUUGUGAUGCAUGCCAAAAAACUGGAAAUACAUCUCAAAAAAAUGAAAUGCCCUUAACUACAUUCUUGGAAGUUGAGUUAUUUGAUGUAUGGGGUAUUGAUUUUAUGGGACCAUUUCCUAAUUCAUAUAAUAAUAAGUACAUCUUAUUAGCAGUUGAUUAUGUCUCUAAAUGGGUGGAGGCUAUUCCUUCACAAACUAAUGAUGCAAAAGUUGUACUUAAAUUCCUUAAGCGGAACAUAUUUUGCAGGUUCGGAGUUCCUAAGGCAAUAAUAAGCGACGAAGGUAAGCAUUUUUGCAAUAAAAUUAUUGACACUUUGUUGCUUAAAUAUGGAUGUAGGCAUAAAAAGUCACUCCCCUAUCAUCCUCGAGCUAAUGGUCAAGCAGAGUUGGCCAACCGGGAAAUUAAAAUCAUUUUGGAGAAAACGGUAAAUCGAUCAAGAAAGGAUUGGUCGAACAAGCUUGAAGAUGCUUUGUGGGCGUAUAGAACGGCAUUUAAAACGCCGUUGGGAAUGUCUCCAUAUAAGCUUGUUUAUGGGAAAGCGUGUCACUUACCUGUAGAAAUAGAACAUAAAGCUUAUUGGGCCGUUAAAGAGAAUGCUUGAGUUAAGCGAAUUGGAGGAAUUGCGGUUAACUUCGUAUGAGAAUGCCAAGAUUUAUAAAGAAAAAGUGAAAUUUUGGCAUGAUAAACACAUUCUUCCUAAGCAUUUUGAAGAAGGGCAAAAGGUGUUAUUGUUUAACUCAUGGCUUAAAUUAUUCCCUGGAAAGCUUAAGUCUCGUUGGUCCGGGCCGUUUGAAGUUGUUCGCAUGUUCCCUUAUGGAGCAGUGGAAAUAAAAGGAGAAAAUGGUUCCCCAUUUAAAGUAAAUGGUCAAAGAUUGAAACCCUAUUUGGCUGGAGAAAAGGUUCCUAAAGGAGUAAUUUACUCCUUAGGAAACGCAAUGGAGAGUUAAAAGAGCUGUAGGAGAGUCGAGCUUAACGACUCUAAACAAAGCGCUUGUUGGGAGGCAACCCAAUAAUAAUAUUGUAGUUGUGUGUUUUUUUUUAUGUGUUUCUUACAUUUUGGUAUGAUUUAAUUGACUAAUUAGAUUUAUUUCACUUGUUUGUAGGAGGUACCGGAGUUUCAUCAUCCAUUUUGGAGGUACAAUUGAAGAACAAGUGUAAAAAGGGAGGUUUUCUUACCAAAAUUGUGCUUUAAGUGUUUAGAAUUCCCAAGCAUACAUACAAUGUUGCAUUUACAGUAUAUUCAAGUGAAUUUUGGUGAUAACAUGUUAUAAAUGCUCAUGGACUCAUUUGAUGUGCAUUUAAUGCCCAAAGAUGCUAUUUUGGUGUAAAAGUGUAAAAAUGAGUAAAGAACCUCACCCCUCGAUUUUCAAUGAAGAGGUGUUUGAUGUGUUUUGAGAGGUUGGAUAUUGCAUUUUUGGUAUAUUACAUGUGCGUGGGGGGUUGGAAUUGAUAAAAAGUUUGUCCAAAGCGUAAUUUGGAAUUGGCCGGAAAAGGGAGAAAAAGUUUGAAAAAUUGCAGUUUCUGAAAUUAGUGCAGAGACAUACAGAUCCGAGCUCGGAUCCUAAAAACCCAGAAGGAUCCGACAGCGGAUCCUACGAUACGAGCUCGGAUCCAGUCCAACCCAGAUGGAUCCGAGGGCUCGUCUGUGGUUCUGUUAAGACGGAUCCGAGCCUUGUCGGAUCCGAGGCCUUGCAGAACCGAUCCGCGCUCGGAUCGGUUUGCGGAUAUAGCAGAACCGAGGCCUCGUUUCUGCAUUUUUCAAAAUUUUUCUUCCCUCUUUUCACCGAACCCUAACCCUCUCCCUCUAAUCUUCCAUUUUAUCCAUCAAUCAUCCAAUUUUUCACCAGAAAAACAUCUCCCAACCUCUUUUGAGCAUAAACCCUCAGUUUUCCGAAAUCAAAAACAUCAAUUUGGUGAGUUUGAUCUUCAAAAACUAGAAUUGGGGCCGCACUGUACUUCUUCAAUUUGGGGGCUAAUUUGGGCUGUUUCGGUUUCAAUUUUUGCAUCCUUACCAUCUUCCAUCGUCACUCUAUACAUUUGAGGUAACAAUUUGCAACUUCCUUUGAGUUUUUAUAUUUCCUAUUUUUGCAUUUUUCUAGUUUUUGGGCAUAUUCUAAUAAUUGCUUAUAUGUUGAAAUUCUUAUUAUAAAUGUGCUACAUUGUAUUAGAAUAUGUUGUUACUAACAUUUUUGUGCUUAGUAUAGGGAAAAUUGUGGAUUUGGUGAUAUUUUUGGUAUUUUUUUUUAAAUUUAUUGGGCUUGAGCAUUUUGGUGAUUUAAACUUGUGAAUUUUUGCUUUCAUUGGAUAUAUAAACUUGUUUUGAGAAUUAUAAGUCACUGUUGUACCAAUUAAAAAUGAUAUGCAAUUAAUAGAACCAAUUCCAUUGGGUAAAAGAGUGUGUUUAUGAUUAAGUUAGGCACAUUCAACCUUUUUACUUGAAAUCCUUAUCUCUUUGAGUUCAAUUACAAUUGUUUUGGUAAAUUUGGAGCUCAUUCGUAUGCACUUUAUUAAGAAUGGGUAUAGCCAAUUGUGGUGUGAUUCGUGGAUAAAGUUAUGAAUAUAUUGGCAUGUACAUUCUUGAAAUAAUAGUUGAGGUUCAAAUGAUCGAACUCUUUGAUGAGAUUCUACCUGAAAAUAUGCAUUUGAGUUUGAAAUGAGUUAAGUAGGAUCUUUGGAUGCUUUUUGGUACAUGUUGGCAGGGAGUUUAGCCCUUUUAUAAGGGGAUACUCUGCUGAAAUUUUCUUAAAUUCAAUGAGAGCAAGUUUAUAUUGUUCUAAUGAACGUUUAUCUUGUUUUUAUAUAGGUACUAUGGCUCGCACAAGGAGGGCUCGUAUUCGUACUCCUACACCAUCUUCAAGCGAGGAACGCACUCCCUCACAUGAAGAGUCGCCUGAGGAAGAAUCUCCUUCGCCUGAGCCACCACCUCGGUCUCCCCAGAAGACCGCAUCCACUAGCCGCGACGAGCCGCUUCCAGAUUAUGACACCACUAGAUUCACGUCACUCGAGAAUCAACAGUGGUACGAAGCAAGCUUAGAUAAGGAAAUUAUCAUUGAAAAGUACCUGGCACCGGAGGUGGAUGCGCACUACCACAUCUCUACGGCAUUCAAGAGACUCGGAUGGGAGAACAUCCUUCAAUUGCCCAAGCACUACUCCCCCAACCUCGUCCUGGAGUUCUACGCCAAUGUAGAAAACAAACAGAGUCACAGUGGCAACCUCAUCGUCUCCUGGGUUCGAGGAAAGAGAGUGGCUCUUAAUCGGGAUACAGUGGCAAAAAUCAUCAAACUCAAAGAUGAAGGAGUUGAUGUUAAACUGACCAAGGAGUUCAAGGCACGCGACCCUUGGCAGGUGGGAGAAGCGGUAACACGCCUAAAGGGUCAAUAUGGGAGCGAGGAAGUUCGAAGAAGCUCACUGUAUAUGCUGACUCCUUCGAGCAUCGGUACCACUUGAUCUUCUAUCUCUUCGCCUUCAAUGUGGUGCCCAAAAGGAGUGGAAAGCGGGAGCUCCACAAUAGUGACCUCUACUUCUUGGAUAAGAUGAUGCAUGGUGUGGGUGAGCAGUUGACUGGUAUUCCUUUGCCCAGCAUCAUCAUCAGUUACAUGCGGACCACAGCUUGCAUGAGGGCCGGCGAGACUUGCUUUGGCUUCCCUUGGCUGCUAUCCCUCAUUUUUGAGAAGCUCAAGCUUCCUCUUGGAACUGAGCGAGCCAUUGUCACUAGGUCCGCCGACGAAGUCAGUGUCUCGAUACUCAAAUCCUUGAGUAUCCCUACGGAUUUUGGAGCUACUCUAGUUCGGGACACUGGAGAAGCAUCGACUUCCGCUCAGCCUCCACCUCACACUGAACUACAAGCGGAAACUCAAGAGUCGGAGGCACAGCAGACUCUUCCUCCUCCUAUUCCACGACCAUCACCUCCGCCGCGAUCCAAGUGGCAAGAGCUCCUCAAUGCCAUUUGCUGUAUGGAGACACGAGUCGUCGAGCACAUUGACCAGACCGAGCGGAUGAUAACGGAGCGACUUGACAGACAUGAUCGCCGUCUUCGUGCGAUCGAGGACCAUUUCCAUAUCCGCCGGUCACCUACUCCAACACCUCAGCAGGAGGAGGGGCAUAUUGGUACAUCACAGUGUCCUCAUGGAACUGAGGAGGCAGUAGACCCUUGUUCUGAGCAGCCAUGAAGAUCUUUAGCUGAUUACAUCUGUUGUUGCUUUAUUUUGUAGUUUUCAUAUUGGAUUAUCUUGUGCUACUUAUGGUUUUUCGUACUUUUUUGUUUCAUUGUGGCUAGAAGUUGGAUGAUCGUGAGGAUUAAGGGCUUCAAAUUGAAUCACCACCUAUUUGAGGGAAGUUUCAGUUUCUUUAACCUUCCUCUACAAUGAGAACAUUGUAGAUUUUAAGUGUGGGGGAGGGAUUACUUUAUCUUAUGGAUGGUUGUGUUUUGAAAUGCAUGAUUUGAGUUGUCUAUGGCUUAAAAUGUUGGAAUUAUAUUUGAAAAUAUUGUCUUGAGGUUAAUUUUCUUGAAAUUGAGGUUGUUGCCAGGGAGAUUUGUCCAUUUUUAUGGGAAAACUCUGUCAAAAUUUUUCUAAAAUAUUUUCCAAUAUUUCAAAUUAAUGGCCAAAAUGUUCAAAUUUAAGUGCCUAAUUCUUCCAUUGGAUAAAAUGUUAUAUGUAUUUUGGGAAAGUUUAGUCCUUAUUUGACUUGGAAUUAGUCAUUAUGCAAUUAGGAUUUUUACAUUUUAGAAAGUAUAUUCAUUUAAAUAAGAAAAAUUAUGCUUAAAAUUUUGCAUGUUUAAUGAUAUUUCUCAUUUUUACUUAAUUUUAUAAGUAAGUGAUUGAUAUAGUCAAGACAAGGCCAGAUUCUUCCUUUAAUUAUGUUUAGAGGGAAAAGAUUGUUAAAAAAUAAUAAUAAUAAUAUUAUUAUUAUUUUUUACUUCAAUGAUUCACAUACCGAGUAACCGGGGGUUGGCAUUUACAAAUGUCGACAUUCGCGUAAAAAGGUAUUGGAAUUAAGAGUAUGCUUAGCAAUUUGAAUAAGUGAAAUGUUGAGUAACUGGGAAUCUUCACCUAAAAGUGUUGAUUUUCGCGUAAAAAGACGUUUUCACUAUUUAAAUAAAAUGAAGUGAGAAUAAAUCCCUCUUAACUGUUAAGUUUUGAUGGUCAUGGGAUAAGGAAGGCCAUAGAAUUGACUAUGUGAUUUAAUUAUUUGUGGAAUUAGGAUAGAAUGAGCGAUUGAGUUGAAUUUGUUGAAAUUAAAGCAUAAUUAUUUUUACUUAAUUGAAUAUUAUAAGUAUUUAGUGUAAUCUGAGAAAUGGUAUAAUGAUUGGUUUCUAGAUUUUAGAGGAAUUAAAUUUGACAAAAGUAUAUAUAUUGUUUUAUCUUUUGGAUCAUUGUGGUAAGUUAUGUGUGCAAUUGCUUUAGGACAAGCAACGAUUCAAGUGUGGGGGAAUUUGAUAAGUGAAUAUUUAACGUAUAUUUUGUACAAGUUUGGAAUGAAUUUGUGGUAUGUUUUAAGAAGAUUAAAGCCAUAUUUGAACUCUUUUGGUGAUAAUUGCUUAAAAAUUGUUUAAGUAUUCAAAACUUGAUAAAUGAGUGUAUUAAUGUGUUAAUUUUGUGAAAUUGUGAAGGAUAUCGAUGUAUGAAAUUCAUGCACGAGAUGAAGGGAAUGUAAGGAUUGUCCAGAGGAUAAAGUACACAAGAAAUUAGGAGCAAAAAUGAAGGAAAAAGGAAAGAAGUGAAAAAAUGGGAAAUUUAAUGGCACGGAUCCGAGCUCGGAUCCGUGAGAGCAAAGAUGGAUCUGAUCCCUCAUCUGUACUUCUGGAGGAGUGUAUCCGAGGUCAGAGGAUCCGACCUCGGAUCCAUUAUGGAAAGUCCUCGGAUCCUGAAGAUCCGAGCUCGGAUCAAUUUUCACCCCUCGGAUCCGAGGCUCGGAUCUGUCUCUCUCUUCAGCAAGUGGCACAGCCGUUUUACUUUACCUUUCUUACAACUUUUCCAGCUAUUUUGAGGGACAGAAAUCGGUGGCACAUGCUUCUACAAUAAAAGAGAAGACCAAAUGAAUUGUAGACAAAAGGAAACAUCAUAUCUUUGUCUUCUUUUUACAAAAUCUGAGUGGAGGAAAUUAUGAAGUGAGAGGAAUAGACUUUCUAACACCUUUUAUGCAGAGACACAAGGGGAGAAGAAAAAUAUCAUAUACGUAGCUAGUUUUCCUUCUUGUAACUAGUUUCUCUCUAGCUAAGAGUUCUUGGAGAAGCAUUUGGAGUUUUCACUUGUAAUCAUAUUGUGCAAGAGCAUAGCAGGAAUUGGAGAGCUUCACCAUCAAUUGGCUAAGCUUUCUUUUAUCUUUUUUGUACUUGUACUUCAUGAUGUUUUGCAUUAAUAAACUUGUGAGUUUGAUUGUUAAAUCAUUCAUGAGUAGCUAAACUCCUUAAUCUAGGGAGUAGAUGAAACUUAUGGCUAAAUAAUACUAAUUGAAUGUGAUUUACACUUGUUAUAUCUUGUAUUAACUUGUCUACUUGUGUAGCUGUGAUUACUUGUUAUUGAUUGAUCACCAAUAGUAUGUUUAUAGUUGUUAUUAUUCAGUAAGAAUUGGUAAUAACAAUGGAAACACAUGAGUAGAGCUUAAGUCGUAUGUUCAUGAAAAUAGAGAUACACUUAAGUGGAUUACUUAGCAUUUCAUGAAAGAAAACAGAGUAGUAGUAGUAUUUCACCAUGAAAAUAGGGAAAACUUUACUACUCUAGGCCAUUUCAUCAUGAGAAUGUGACUUGGUAAAUUUGGAAAUGAAUCUCCGGUUAAACAAGACUAAUAACAAGAGGUAAAUCCAUUCAUUUGUGUUGUUUAUGCCAUAAGUGGAAUCUACAUCCCUAGAGUCUUUCUUGAGUAGAAUUCUUCAUUUGCAUUUAGCAUUUGUUAAACUAGAUUUGCAGAUCAGAUUUGUAGAAUAUAGCAAUAAACUUUCUCUGCUCAAAUUGAUUGUAAGUCUAAAUAAUAGAGAAAAAUAAGGGUCUAGUACUUGUUUCAAUUGCUCAUCGUGGGAUCGACCCGAUACAUACCGUACAUUACAGUUUUGGCCUGUAUACUUGCAGCUACCGGGUAUAAAAAUCGGAUUUAAACUUGUAUUGAUAUAAAAAUCCCGUCAAGUAGUUUACCAUCCUGGAGUUGGAAAUCGCAAUGGAUCUUCUGUCUCACACUCUGUGUCAUUAUUUGUCCCAUUUUUUAUUAUAUUGCUAUUUCUCUUACAUAAACACCAUGUUUUAGUUCUUUUUUAGUUUCCUUAAGAUCCAAUAACUAUUAAUUGAGUAAUGCACAAAAUUUAACAAAAUAAAAAAAUCAAAAUGAGAUUUUUUAUGAAUUUUCUGCUGUAUUUUUAAAUUUUCUAUUAUAUAUUGCUUUUUUGAAACUAUUGUAUUUAUUUUUUAUUCAAUUAAAAGUUAUUGGAUCUUAAGGAAAUAAAAAAAAAAGAACUAAAACAUGGUAUUUAUGUAGGAGAAAUAGCAAUACAAUAAAAAUUGAGACAGAGAAUGGCACAGGGUAUGAGACAGAAGAUCCGUUGCAGAAAUCGAUGUGAAAAGCAAGAUUUUGAUCAUUGGCGGCACCGGAUAUAUUGGCAAAUACGUAGUGGAGGCAGGUGCAAAAGCAGGGCACCCAACUUUUGCAUUGGUCCUAGAAAACACAAUUUCAGAUCCUAAAAGGGCAGCCAUCAUAGAGAGCUUCAAGAGUUUGGGAGUCGCAUUUCUUUAUGUGUGUUGUCGUAUCUUUUUCCCAUUGUCUAAGCACUAUUUCAAUUCUUCUCAAGAAAUUAUAGAAACUGACGUGUGAACUGAACAGGGAGAUCUACACGAUCAUCAGCAGUUGGUAAAUGCAAUCAAACAAGUUGAUAUAGUGAUCUCGACAGUCGGGGGAGAUUUGGUAGCUCAUCAAGUUAAGAUAAUUGCAGCAAUUAAAGAAGCUGGUAACAUCAAAGUAAGCACAAUGCAGUUUUAUACAUUCCUUUUUCUUUUUCUAGAUCCGAUCUCUGCUGGCUGUUGGACAAAUUUUUUUCAUUAUCCCUGUCAACCCACAUGUUGACAAAGAGCUAUAUUUCGUUCCAGAGAUUUUUACCUUCUGAGUUUGGAAAUGAUGUGGAUCGUUUGCAUGGCUUUGUUGAGCCUGCCGCUAGAUUAUACAGAACCAAAGCUAAGAUCCGCAGAGCUGUCGAGGCUGAAGGGAUACCUUACACUUAUUUAGUAUCUAAUGGUUUUGCUGGUUAUUUGAAUUAUUUCCUUAACCCCUUUGGAGACUCUAGCUCUGCAAGUCCUCCCAGAGACAAAAUUGUCAUUCUUGAUGAUGGAAAUCCAAAAGGUAUCCAAAAGAAGCUUUGUCCGCUUCCAUUUUUUUGAUUGGUUUACUGUCAUGUUUUAGAGAUCAUCGUUCUUAACUUUUCUUCCAUUUUGUGUUUCGUUGCAGUCGUUUUCUCGAAGCAAGAAGACAUAGCUGCAUACACCAUUAAAGCAGCAGAUGAUCCAAGGACCCUGAACAAGAUUGUGUACCUUAGACCACCUGCCAACACUCUGUCCUACAACGAAAUAGUAUCAUUGUGGGAAAGGAAAAUUGGCCAGACCCUCGAAAAGAUUUACCUUCCAGAGAAGGAAGUCCUUGAGAAAAUCCAGGGUCUGCUACUUAACAAAGAGAAACUAAGUGCACAAGCUGCUUCUUCCUCAAAAAAUCCUGUGUAAUCCGGAAAAUUUUUUUUUGAUACAAUAGUCGUCUAGUACUAAUUGCAUCUAUUCUACAGUUUUAAUUAAAUUGGUUUCUUUUCUUGUAUCUCAUGCAGAGGCUUCAAUGCCAUUAAAAUUCAUCCUGUCUCUGGGAUACACGGUUCUUGUGAAGGGAGAAAUGGCCAACUUUGAGAUCGAGGCUUCUCUUGGCAUGGAGGCAACGGAUGUCUAUCCCGAUGUGAAAUGCACCGCACUUGAUGAGUACCUCAAUCAGUUUGUAUCAGAGUAGCAACAAAACUAUAAUUCCCUCCGCAGCUUUCCAUUUUGGAAUGUCACAAAAUAUUUGUCAUCGUAAACGAGAAAUAUGGGAUGGAAGUAGUACAUUAACCAAUGUUUGUCUACCAUGAUACCAUCUUUUGUGCAACAUUUCUUAUGUACUAUUAGAAAUGUGCUUUGAUUGUUCAUCUCCCUUACGGAAAAUGUCAUAAAUGUGCCUGAAAUAAAAUCUACCCUAUACUUGUUUUGCAACCUGAAAUUGUCCAAUUUAAGAUAUUUGAUAUCUCCCGUGGCUUCAUUUGAAUUUGUUUUUUCUUCCUGAGUUUUGUGAAAAAAAUAUUACUAUAACAUUCUUUUAGAGCAGGUUAUGUAAGACAAAAAGGUGAUUAGGGGUAUCUUAACAAAUUGUAGCCCAUUUGUUUAGAAAUAAAAUUUUUAUUGGCACUAAAAAAAAAUCAACACUAGACUAUCAGAGUUUUGAUUAAGGCUCAAUCACUUAAAAAAAUUUACAAGAAAAGUAACAAUCUCUGUCAAUAAACUUUAGACAAAAAAAUGAUUAAAGGAUACCACAAAUGAAAGCAGCUUACUUUGAUUGUCAAAAUCAGAGGGAAAAAAAAUAUUACUACAAGAACCUUGUUCAUGUCCCCUUUUUUUUUUUUGGGUUGAGCCAAGAAUUUGUUACUUACUAAAAUGUAUAUGAAUUCCAUACAGCAGACAGGCUUUUUGUUUAUUUUUAUUUAUUGUUGCAUUAACAAAUAUUUUGAACACACAUGACACUCGGAAUAUCUUACCUGUUGUCAUCCCGAAUUUCUAACCUGUUGUGAUGCUUUACCCCUUUUAGGCUGGCAGUCUAGAUGUAUCAUGUGCCUGCAUGGUAACGCUGUUGUAUCUUUUCUUGUAUCAAUUGGUUAUAUCCUAUGUUGAAUCAACAAAACUUUUCAAACUGUGAAAUCUGUGAUCAAAAUUUGCAUACCAAUUGACACAAGGCGGAAUAGCACAAGUCAGAGCUACACACUAUGUUGGUAAUAGUUUGUAACUAGUUUUGUACCCGUUCAACGAACGGAAUCGUCGAAAAAUAAUAAACUAUUUAGUCAAUUUAUAAAAAUGUCGAUAUAAAAUACAUAUUUAAUGUAUAAUCUAUUAUAACUUGUCUUAAGUAUAUUACUAUGUGCGCAUUGUAAUGUAAAGUAUUCUUAUAAUAUAAAUUUGAACAUCUAAUUCAGUGAAUAAUAAUUGAAAAAUAGAAAAAAUAACACUCAACAAUACCAUAACAUUCAAAAACUUGAAAAUAAAUAAAAAGUGCAGUAAAUAGUAUCAAAUAACAUUCUACUCUUUAGAAACUUGUUUUUGUUUUUUUCUAUUGGAACAUUCUCCUCGAUUUGUCCGUGCAAAUCAGCAUUUAUUGAUUUUUCAUUAUCACUGCAUGAUAGCAAAGUAGGAUAACUAAGUAUAAAAAAAUAAAUGAUUUAUCGCAUUCAAGGUUGUGUAUAACAAUAUGUAAAGAUUAUAAUUAAGUAAACAGCCAAAGUCUUUUAAUUAACUAAUGAAUUUGCAGAUAUAUCUAAUAGAGAUAUUUAUGUCUCUUAUAUUUAUAUCGCAUUACUUUCCAGUGCCUUUUGUUUUUGGUUGUUUUUCCUGCAGGCAAAUUAACAAACAUCGUAGUAUAUGAUCACAAAAAUCAAUUAACAAACAUGUUAGAAAAUAUCCUACAAAAAUAACGAUGAAAGUACUUGUUUAAAUCCUCUGUCUUCAUACAAAACAAAUAGAAAAUAAAACAAAAAAAAAAUUCAAGAUAUGUUACUAAGCUCUUACAAUUGAAGAUCAACAUGCCAUUUUUAAUAUAUAUAUAUAUAUAUAUAUUGAAAGAAGAUGUACCUGAUAAUCAAGAGGAGUGGAAACCCAAAAUCGAUGCUUUAAUAUGCCAACCGCUUGCACUGGAAAUACCUAACUAUGAAUUUGAUACUUGAAAUCAAUAUAUUAGAGGCUAUAUGUAAUGUAGGCAUAGGAAAUAAGAAUUGAUAAGGUUACAAAGAGAUAUUGGUGGGUGUCAAACCUCCAAAAAUAAAGUUAAAAAUAACAGCCUAAUUGCCAACCAACACAAUCUCAAAUUUAAUUUGUAAACAGGGCAAAUAGGGUCGUCUCCUCAAGGAACUGGUAGGCAAAUCACAUAGGAAAAUGGGGGGGAAUUUUAGCAAUAGUACCAACUAAUUAAAAAGGAAUAAAAACUGAAAUUCAAAGUUGAGUAAGAUAGCGGGAACCAAAUUACACAAAUAACAAUUAAUUAAAACAACCUAGUCAAGGAAUUAAUCUUGGCAACGAAACACACAACUGAUCACAGAUACAAGGGACAAUUCAUAUACUCACGAGUAAACUGGUUAUAGUGGUCAAGCGAAACGCCCAACCACCAAUCUUUCCUUAAUUUUAUGGUAGUCAAGAGACGCUCAUAAACUACCCUCUUGCGACUAGACAACCCCAGAAACGCUCACAGGAUUUAAUGUAGCCACAGCAUUAGGAAUUAGAAAGACCCAAUUCUAGAUGACAAACACACAUGCUGAUUUAUUUAGACUAGAUUAAUUAUCCCCACGAUCCAAAUUAGACUUCUUGCGAGGCGGUGCAAUUGUCUCGUUUGCCACUAAUCAAGAUGCUUAAAGGCGACGCGCCAACAUCCUAAUUGGCUAUCAAUUAUUUAGACAAUCGAAUAACAGGCCUAAUUAUCCAAUAAAUCUAAACAAUAAUAACUCAGGAAAAAAUAGAGAAUAAUCAAAUACCCAUGAACUUAUAAAUUAAAAAUAAGCAAUUAAAACGAUCUCACAGUUAUGGUGCCCCAAUCCUCGAUUUAUUCCUCAACUAGAUAAAGAAAUUAGCCUUGCCUCAUAACGAUUAAACAAUGCAAGGCUUUUCGAUGGAGUAGAAUUGUUUGCAGGGCAACAGUAAAAAAAAAUCACCCUUCUCUGACUAAUGUCGCCACCCCGAAAAGAAGGACGAUAGUGCCAAGAUAAAAAGAUACCCUAGUCUAUUCGCUGUUUUCUUUUAAAGCUUCGCCGCCACCCACGUGCUUUCCCAAGUAGAAUUCGUGUUCCAAAAGGAUUCCAGGUUUCUUCUUCUUAUUUCCCUUAUUGAAGUGUUGCCAAAAAGUCUUCCCUCCAAGGUUUCCCAAUCCCACGUAAGUUUAAAGUAUGGCUCCAAGGAAAGGCGGUGGCCCCAGGAAUAGGACCCGCAAUCCGGCUUUUUCACGCAGCUCUACCUUGUCUGGCGUGGGCACGCCAGAAAAUGCCUAGUCUUCUGGAAUUUGCCUCUUUUUGUCACUUUUAAUACCACUUCGCCUGCAAGUAACACAAAUACCAAAUCUGGUUAGAAAUCCAAUGUCUUGCACAAUAAGUGAUUAAAAUUAAGAUCAAAUACCAAUGUAAUAAACACUCAAUUAUCGCCCUAUCAAAUCCCCCCACAUCAAGACAAUGCUUGUCCUCAAGCAUCUCAAAGCUUAGAGAUACAAUCACAGUUACACACAUGUAGCAGUCCACCAUGUGAGUAUAAAUGUCCUAUCCUUUCUAAUAGUGUUAUCAAAUUCAGAAAUUGCAAGCCUUAACCCUCUCUUAUAGAAUGGUACAUGACUACUCACCACACCGACAUGAAAUACAAAGGGUUACUCUCGCCACACAAUAAAAUGAUGUUACCAUAUGCUUGCUAAUAUAUCACAUCACCACCACUAAGUCCAAAUUUAAUGCAAAAAUCAAAGGGGCUUGAUGAGGGUUGUAAUGGGGCUUAGGCACGUGUAGGGUCAAAUAGGUAAUUUAGGCUCAUUAGGUCAAAGAAAAUGCCGUUGACCCAUUGCAUGACUUCCACUUUUCUUCUUCAUUCCAAUGGUUUUUCCCACGCGCACCCAUAAAUUUCUCAAGAAAUAACACGUGCAAGCACAACAAAGAAUUUCACCCAAUUAUCCCAACAAAACACACCUGGACAAAAGCACUCUUACAUCUCUUUUUUCCUUCCCUUUUUUUUUUUGUUCUCUCUUUUUUUUUUACUCAUUUUUUUUUUGCCCAUAGUCUUCUCUCUUCUUUUUUUUUUCAAAUACGCACAACUACAUAUAGACACACCUGCUAACUUCAGUUGUCUCCUUUCAACCCAAUUCGAAAUCAUCAUGUACUGAAAUCAAGGCAUUCCUUUGACACGGGAUGGACACAAAAAGGUUUUGAACACAAGAGGUUUAGGGGUGACAAAAUGAGUUAUUAAACAAAGAAAAGGUUUAGACUCAACCGUGGCCAAUUAGGGGAGAUCUGAUUAGGGUUGGUCUUUAGAAAGUAAAAAAUGGUUAACCUAAGUGCCCUUGUCAUUUUAAUGCAUCAAACUCAGGAAUGUGGUCUUGACAUGUAUAACAAAGCAAGUUUUAGAACAAUCCAAUCAUGUAUGAUAUCACUCAAUGAAAAAAAAUAGAGCAGUUAACAAUGAAAUGCUCAUUAGCUCAACAGCUCACAACAGGAUAUUAAUAGCCAAGCCUUGCAAAUUUCCUUAUUCAAUUCCAUUAUCAAGAAAAUAAGACAUUCAACCACAUAAUACAUUGCUCAUGCCUGUAAAGUAAUUGCAAUCAUCAUCAUAGCAUCAGGUUCCAGAUAUUUUCACUUUGAGGUCAACCAACUCAUCACCUAUUUUGUUUUCUAUUUUUUCAUUUUUUUUAUAUAUCACGCUAUCAAACCUACAAGACUAACAAACAAAAAGAGCUAAAACUAUCUAUCAAACCUAAAAGGUAAGACUACUCCCCCCACACCAGAAAUCUACAUUGUCCUCAAUGGAGUAAAGAAAAAUACAAAGUAAAAAGAAAGGAAAUGGAGCUUCCCUGAGGGCCAACGAGGGUACGAGAGCACUACGGGGGAGGAGGAUGAGGCGGCGAAAAACCGAUGUGGGCGAAGAAGGCAUCGUUAGUAGUAGUUUGGGACGGAUAGGCUGGCAUGGGCACGCCUUGUAAGCAAGAGUCUUCUGUCCAAUGUCAUAGAGUAUGACUAGCACUAUCUGUUGUGCGGCGUGGGCACGCCUUGGAGCCGAAGGUCAAGAGGUCGCCAAUUUCUUGGAACUAGGCAUCGGACACGGCCCUGUAGAGCGUGGGCAUGCCUUGGAAGCGUAAGUCCUUUGUCCAUCACUAUUGUAAGAAUGUCGAUGGGCUGUUAAUAUAAGGCGUGGGCACACCUUAUAAGAUGAAGUUUUCUGUUCACGAAAUUUUGCUCCCCACCUAAAAGAAAACGUCACUGAACACACCCACGACCCUUGGGUUGCCUUCCAAGCAGUGCUUUUCUUUAACGUCUUUGGCUAGACGACUCCACAGUGAGCAAUUAGGCAUAGAUAGGAUUUAUCAAGUGUACCUCUUCCAUAGUGCCAAUGUCUGAAACAUCAACAAACGGUUUUAAACGAUGACCAUUAACUGUAAAACUCUUAUUAGUCUCUAAACUCUGGAUUUCAACCACACCAUUGGGAAAAACAUUGACUACCACAUAUGGUCCAAUCCAACGGGAUUUUAACUUACCUGGCAUGAAUUUCAACCGUGAAUUGAACAAGAGUACCUUUUGUCCUAGGGAAAAGUAUUUCGCACGCAAUAGGCGGUCAUGAAACUGCUUGGUACGCUCUUUGUACAAACGUGCAUUGUCAUAUGCUUCAAGACGAAUUUCCUCCAACUCCUGGAGUUGGAGCUUUCUGUCUUUGCCAUCUCUAUCCGCAUGCAAAUUGCAUUGCUUGACUGCCCAGAAUGCACGAUACUCAAUAGCCACAGGUAAAUGACACAUCUUACCAAACACCAACCUAUAUGGGAACAUUCCAAUGGGCGUUUUAUACGCCGUUCGAUAUGCCCACAAAGCAUCAUCCAAUCACAAACUCCAAUCCUUACGGUUGGGGUUAACCGUUUUCUCCAAUAUGCUCUUGAUCUCUCGAUUGGAGACUUUAGCAUGCCCAUUGGUCUGAAAAUGAUAUGUUGUACUCACACGAUGGUGCACUCCAUAUUUUCUCAUGAGAGCUGCAAUGGUGCGAUUGCAGAAAUGGGUACCUUGAUCACUGAUGAUGGCUCUCGGCACCCCGAACCUACUAAAAAUGUGGGAUUUGAGAAAUCCUACAACAAAUUGAGGAUCAUUAGUCCGGGUAGCCUUUGCUUCUACCCAUUUCGAUACAUAGUCAACUGCUAACAGAAUAUACAAAAAUUCAAAAGAGUUAGGAAAAGGUCCCUUAAAGUCCAUAUCCCAAACAUCAAACACUUCACAAAAUAACAUAGGCACUUGAGGCAUUUCAUCCCUAUGAGACAAACUUCCAAAUUUUUGACAUUUUUCACAGCUUUUACAAAAUGCAUAAGCAUCACGAAACAAUGUUUCCCAAUAAAAGCCACAAUCAAGGAUUUUUCUAGUAGUUCUCUUAGGUCCAAAAUGGCCACCACAUGCAUAAUUAUGACAAUGAGCAAGGAUAGAAGGAGUUUCACUUUCAGGUACACAUCUACGAAUAAUUUGAUCAGAGCCUAUUUUUCACAGAUAUGGCUCGUCCCAAAUAUAGUAUCGAGAAUUAUGGACUAACUUAUCCCCCUUACUCUUACUCAUGCCAAUAAGAAAUUUAUGACUGUCUAAAAAGUUCACAAUAUCUGCAUACCAAGGUUCCUUGCCUUUGAGAUAGAAAAGAUGUUCAUCAGGAAAUACUUCAGAUAUGGGAACUGCUUCUUCUUCUCUUAUCAACCUACUCAAAUGGUCAGCUACUGAAUUAUCCACCCCUCUUCGAUCCUUGAUCUCUCAGUCAAAUUCUUGCAGCAAGAGCACCCAACGAAUGAGUCCUGGUUUGGACUCCUUUUUUGAUAGAAGAUACUUCAAAGCUGCAUGAUCAAAGUAAACCGUUACUUUUGACCCCAAUAGAUAUGAUCUAAAUUUCUCAAAAGCGAAAACAAUAGCUAGAAGCUCCUUCUCCGUAGUGGUGUAGUUGCAUUGAGCUGGUGUCAAAGUUUUUGACGCAUACUAUGUCACGUGACUAUACUUCUCACUCCGCUGUCCAAGCACAGCUCCUACGGCAUACUGACUGGCGUCACACAUGAGCUCAAAGGAUAGCUUCCAAACUGGGGGUUGGGUGAUUGGUGUCGUGGUCAACAUCCCCUUGAGUGUGUCAAAGGACAAUUUGCAAUCAUCUCCAAAGUUGAAUGGCACCUCCUUUUGAAGCAGGCGAGACAACGGUUGAGCAAUUUUUGAAAAAUCUUUUAUGAAACGCCUGUAAAAACCUGCAUGGCCUAGAAAACUACGAAUAUCCUUGACAUUAGUAGGGUAAGAUAGACUAGUGAUCAAAUCAAUUUUAGCCUUAUCUACCUCAAUACCCCUUGAUGAAACAACAUGGCCCAAAACUAUGCCUUCCUUAACCAUGAAAUGACAUUUUUCAUAAUUAAGAACCAAGUUUGUUUCAAUGCAUCUUUUCAAAACCUUUGUUAAAUGGUCUAGGCACUGAUCAAAAGAAUCACCAUAUACUGUAAAAUCAUCCAUGAAAAUUUCAAUGCAAUUAUCAAUCAUAUCAGAGAAAAUACUCAUCAUGCAUCUUUGAAAUGUUCCAGGAGCAUUACACAAACCAAAAGGCUUACGGAGAUAUGCAAAAGUUUCAAAAGGGCAGGUAAAAUUGGUUUUAUGUUGGUCCUCUUGAGCAAUAAUAAUUUGAUAAUAUCCAGAGUAACCAUCUAAAAAACAAAAGAAACACUUACCUGCCAAUCUCUCAAGCAUUUCAUCAAUAAAUGGGAGUGGAAAGUGGUCUUUCCUAGUUGUGGCAUUUAACUUCCUAAAGUCAAUGCACAUUCUCCACCCAUUUUGUAAGGAGGUACAGUCUCCUUGCCACUCCGUAAUUGCAUUGCACUGGCAUUCUCCUUGGGAUUAGGAAUUACUUUUCCUAUUUCUGACAGCCAGUGGGAAAGUCCAGUCCAUGUUGUUCCCAAGAAGAUUGGAAUUUCAUUGGCACUAACUCAUUCUUUUCAUUUUUCACCAAUGUGAUUCCAGUCUUCUUGGGAACACCAUGGACUGGACUUACCCACUUGCUGUCAGAAAUAGGAAAAAUAAUUCCUAAUUCUAAGAGCUUGAGAAUCUCUUUCAUCACCACCUCCUUCAUUUCGGGAUUGAGCUUGCGUUGAUGCUCUCUCACGGGUUUUGCGUCCGACUCCAAAUGGAUGUGAUGCAUGCAAAUGGAUGGAUUGAUGCCUUUGAUGUCUGCUAACGUCCAUCCAAUUGCUGGUUUAAAUUCCCGUAAGACCCGUAAGAGCCUCUCUUCUUGCAACGCAGUUAAAUCAUUGGCAAUGAUUACAGGUAAAGUCUUGUUAUCUCCCAAGUAAGCAUAUUUCAAAUGCUCGGGCAGUUCCUUUAAUUCCACAUUAGGUGCCUGUUGAACAGAAGGUAAAAUUCUUUCAUUAGAAGUGGGUAAUGGUAGAAAAGAAUUUUCAAACCAGCCUGGAAGCGGAUGUAGUGAAUGUGAGGACAUGAUAGCUUCUAUGACUUCCUCCUCCUCCAUGUCGUCCACUUCCAAAUUGGUCUUGCCUUAUUGUAAGACAAAGUUCAACUUGUCCCCCAUGAAAUUCUGUUCAAAAUUCUCUUGCACAAUGGUGUUAGUCAUGCCAACAAAAUUUACAGAUUCAGUAUCCACAGGAUGCUUCAUUGCAUCAAAAAUAUUGAAAGUGACAUUCUCUCCAUCAAAUUCCACAGAUAAAGUCCCUUCAUGUAUAUCUAUUUUAGUCCUUGCUGUACUCAUGAAGGGUCUACCUAAAAGAAUCACUGCUGAAUUAGUAGAGUAUUCAUCAUUCAUAUCAACAAUGUAAAAAUCCACAGGAAAAAUGAAUUCAUUGACCUUUACUAGAACAUCUUCAACUAGGCCCUCAGGGUAGACAUUAGACCUAUCUGCUAGUUGAAUGAUUACCCUAGUUUCUUUGAGGGGUCCUAAAUUCAAAACUUUAAUAAUUGAAAGAGGCAUGACAUUUAUUGAAGCACCUAAGUCAAACAUGUUUUUUUCAAUUCUUUGAUUGCCAAUUAUGCAUGGUAUAGUAAACAUACCUGGAUCCUUGCAUUUCUGAGACAACUUUCUUUGAAAAAUCGCUAAGACAUUCUCCCUCACCUUCACCUUGUCAUCCAGACUCAACUUAUUGCGAUUAUUGCAUAAGCCCUUCAAAAAUUUUGCAUAUUUAGGCAAUUACCUAAUGGCAUCCAAUAAAGGAAUAUUGAUCUCCACUUUCCUGAAGGUGUUCAAAAUCUCUCUCUCAGAUUCUUCCUUUUCAGCUUUUGUAAACCUGCCAGGAAAAGGAGGUGGAAUGUCAACUUUCUUCGAGACUUCAGAGGAUUGCUUCUCUUCUUCCUCUUCCACCUUCCUCUUCUCAGCUUGCCCUUGGAGUGGAAUGAGGAUGAUAUGUUGUACUCACACGAUGGUGCACUCCAUAUUUUCUCAUGAGAGCUGUAAUGGUGCGAUUGCAGAAAUGGGUACCUUGAUCACUGAUGAUGGCUCUCGACACCCCGAACCUACUAAAAAUGUGGGAUUUGAGAAAUCCUACAAAAACUUGAGAAUCAUUAGUCCGGAUAGCCUUUGCUUCUACCCAUUCUGAUACAUAGUCAACUGCUAACAGAAUAUACAAAAAUUCAAAAGAGCUAGGAAAAGGUCCCAUAAAAUCGAUACCCCAAACAUCAAACACUUCACAAAAUAACAUAGGCACUUGAGGCAUUUCAUCCCUAUGAGACAAACUUCCAAAAUUUUGACAUUUUUCACAACUUUUACAAAAUGCAUAAGCAUUACGAAACAUUGUUUCCCAAUAAAAGUCACAAUCAAGGAUUUUUCUAGCAGUUCUCUUAGGUCCAAAAUGGCCCCCACAUGCAUAAUUAUGACAAUGAGCAAGGAUAGAAGGAGUUUCACUUUCAGGUACACAUCUACGAAUAAUUUGAUCAGAGCCUAUUUUCCAUAGAUAUGGCUCGUCCCAAAUAUAGUAUCUAGAAUUAUGGACUAUCUUAUCCCUCUUACUCUUACUCAUGCCAAUAGGAAAUUUAUGACGGACCAAAAAGUUCACAAUAUCUGCAUACCAAGUUUCCUUACCUUUGAGAUAGAAAAGAAGUUCAUCAGGAAAUACCUCAGAUAUGGGAACUGCUUCUUCUUCUCUUAUCAACCUACUCAAAUGAUCAGCUACUGAAUUAUCCACCCCUCUCCGAUCCUUGAUCUCCCAGUCAAAUUCUUGCAGCAAGAGCACCCAACGAAUGAGUCUUGGCUUGAACUCCUUUUUUGACAGAAGAUACUUCAAAGCUGCAAGAUUAGAGUAAACCGUUACUUUUGACCCCAAUGGAUAUGAUCUAAAUUUCUAAAAAGCGAAAACAAUAGCUAGAAGCUCCUUCUCCGUGGUGGUGUAGUUGCAUUGAGCUGGUGUCAAUAUUUUUGACGCAUAGUAUAUCACGUGACUACACUUCCCACUCCGAUGUCCAAGCACAGCUCCUACGGCAUACUGAUUGGCGUCACACAUGAGUUCAAAGGAUAACUUCCAGUCUGGGGGUUCGAUGAUUGGUGUCGUGGUCAACAUACCCUUGAGUGUGUCAAAGGACAAUUUGCAAUCAUCUCCAAAGUUGAAUGGCAUCUCCUUUUGAAGCAGGCGAGACAACGGUUGAGCCAUUUUUGAAAAGUCUUUUAUGAAACGCUUGUAAAAACCUGCAUGGCCUAGAAAACUACGAAUAUCCUUGACAUUAGUAGGGUAAGAUAGACUAGUGAUCAAAUCAAUUUUAGCCUUAUCUACCUCAAUACCCCUUGAUGAAACAACAUGGCCCAAAACUAUGCCUUUCUUAACCAUGAAAUGACAUUUUUCAUAAUUAAGAACCAAGUUUGUUUCAAUGCAUCUUUUCAAAACCUUUGUUAAAUGGUCUAGGCACUGAUCAAAAGAAUCACCAUAUAAUGUAAAAUCAUCCCUGAAAAUUUCAAUGCAAUUAUCAAUCAUAUCAGAGAAAAUACUCAUCGUGCAUCUUUGAAAUGUUCCAGGAGCAUUACACAAACCAAAAGGCAUACGGCGAUAUGCAAAAGUUCCAAAAGGGCAAGUAAAAGUGGUUUUAUGUUGGUCCUCUUGAGCAACAAUAAUUUGAUAAUAUCCAGAGUAAUCAUCUAAAAAGCAAAAGAAACACUUACCUGCCAAGCUCUCAAGCAUUUCAUCAAUAAAUGGGAGUGGAAAGUGGUCUUUCCUAGUUGCGGCAUUUAACUUCCCAAAGUCAAUGCACAUUCUCCACCCAUUUUGCAAUCUCAUUGGCACUAACUCAUUCUUUUCAUUUUUCACCAAUGUGAUUCUAGUCUUCUUGGGAACAACAUGGACUGGACUUACCCACUGGCUGUCAGAAAUAGGAAAAAUAAUUCCUAAUUCUAAGAGUUUGAGAAUCUCUUUCAUCACCACCUCUUUCAUUGCGGGAUUGAGCUUGCGUUGAUGCUCUCUCACGGAUUUUGCGUCCGACUCCAAACGGAUGUGAUGCAUGCAAAUGGAUGGAUUGAUGCCUUUGAUUUCUGCUAACGUCCAUCCAAUUGCUGGUUUAAAUUCCCAUAAGACCCGUAAGAGCCUCUCUUCUUGCAACGCAGUUAAAUCAUUGGCAAUGAUUACAGGUAAAGUCUUGUUAUCUCCCAAGUAAGCAUAUUUCAAAUGCUCGGGCAGUUCCUUUAAUUCCACAUUAGGUGCCUGUUGAACAGAAGGUAAAAUUCUUUCAUUAGAAGUGGGUAAUGGUAGAAAAGAAUUUUCAAACCAGCCUGGAAGCGGAUGUAGUGAAUGUAAGGACAUGAUAGCUUCUAUGACUUCCUCCUCCUCCAUGUCGUCCACUUCCAAAUUGGUCUUGCCUUAUUGUAAGACAAAGUCCAACUUGUCCCCCAUGAAAUUCUGUUCAAAAUUCUCUUGCACAAUGGUGUUAGUCAUGCCAACAAAACUUACAGAUUCAGUAUCCACAGGAUGCUUCAUUGCAUCAAAAAUAUUGAAAGUGAUCUUCUCUCCAUCAAAUUCCACAGAUAAAGUCCCUUCAUGUAUAUCUAUUUUAGUCCUUGCUGUACUCAUGAAGGGUCUACCCAAAAGAAUCACUGCUGAAUUAGUAGAGUAUUCAUCAUUCAUAUCAACAAUGUAAAAAUCCACAGGAAAAAUGAAUUCAUUGACCUUUACUAGAACAUCUUCAACUCGACCCUCAGGGUAGACAUUAGACCUAUCUGCUAGUUGAAUGAUUACCCUAGUUUCUUUGAGGGGUCCUAAAUUCAAAACUUUAAAAAUUGAAAGAGGCAUGACAUUUAUUGAAGCACCUAAGUCAAGCAUGCUUUUUUCAAUUCUUUGAUUGCCAAUUAUGCAUGGUAUAGUAAACAUACCUGGAUCCUUGCAUUUUUGGGGCAACUUCCUUUGAAAAAUCGCUGAGACAUUCUCCCCCACCUUCACCUUGUCAUCCAGACUCAACUUAUUGCGAUUAGUGCAUAAGCCCUUCAAAAAUUUAGCAUAUUUAGGCAAUUGCCUAAUAGCAUCCAACAAAGGAAUAUUGAUCUCCACUUUCCUGAAGGUGUCCAGAAUCUCUUUCUUAGAUUCUUCCUUUUCAGCUUUUGUAAACCUGCCAGGAAAAGGAGGAGGAAUGUCAACUUUCUUCGAGACUUCAGAGGAUUGCUUCUCUUCUUCCUCAAGAUCCUAAAAAGGUUACCCAUUGUUCGAAGUAGGUAAACUCAAUAUUUAGCGAAGUUCCCAUGAUUGUGUAAAUCUAAUCUUCCCUUAAACACUUUAUUGUUUACAUCAGUCGUGAAUAGAAUGUCCUAAGAAAACAUUCAAUUUGAAGCCCUAAGAAAAUGGGGUUUGUUAAGGAGUAGUAGUUGUGGCAGAGACAGGGAACGAAGCAACAAAAUAUCAUCGUUGUCAUUCUUUUCUUUCGUAAAAAAGCUAGAUUAAUGCGAGACUCUUUGCUUUUCUCGUAAGAAGAAAUACGAAACAAUGUUCUUUUAUUUUUCUUUUCCUCUGGACUUCAUCACAUAUUUGAAGAAUGACCGUGGAAAUUACUUCUAGUAUUUCCCGUGCGAUUUCUUUGGUGGAGAUGAACUAAGCUUUUCAUUCUAAUCAAGAAAUAACGGAGGAUUUAGUUCAACUAAAAUUAUGAUUACAAUUAUUUCUUUUAUUUAGGGUAUUUGUAUGUUCCCUGGUUUAAUUUCUUAUGUCUAUUAUGUUAUUUGAAUAUCAAGCGUUCGGUAUUUGAGUUAAUCUAAUAACCUCAAAUCAAUUAGAGCAGUUAAAUCUGUAAUUGUUUAAUUUCUUUAAAUUAAUGAUAACUGACAUGAUUGGAUUUGUAUUAGGGGAAUAUAUUGGUUAAUUUAAAAUAAUUCAUAACUCUCGUAACAUGUUAUUUGGUUAGAACAUAGCUUCUCUAAUUGUUAAAACAAUUAAAAAUUUGAACUCCAAAGCUCUGUUUUUAAACUCGGACCGGACUGGCCAGGAAAACCGGGAACCGACCAAUUGUCCGGUCCGAGUUAACUCUAAAAACCGGAAAAUUUAAAACUCGGUCAAACCAGGUCAAAAAUCGGGUUUGACCCGAUUUGACCGAAAAAAUAAGAACCGGGUGUGAAGGACCUGCCAAACCCAAAGCCGUUGACCAUGUGCCACGUUUCCAGUCAAUACGCUUAGGUCCCGCCAUCCACCACCGCAUGGUUGAGUAAAUUCCCAAAAAGAUGGAGUUUUUAAUCUAACUUCCCAAAGGGUGGUAAUUUUUGAAUCUCUUCCCAAAUGAUGAAAAACGCAUCCAAAAAAUGUGUUUUUUCAAAUAAAAACGCAAUCUGCAAGUACGUUAUUUUAAUUAUCAUAAAUUUAUUUAAAUAGAAAAAAUUGGUUAAAUAACGCAUUAGUGGAAUGCGCUAGUUUAAAAAGUCUCUUCGGAAAUGCGUUUAUUAAUAACAUAUCUAGGAGUCUAUUCUAGUCCCCGGUACUAAGAACUAUUUCCCCUCAAUCCCUCUCUUUCUACCCUAACUUCUUCAAGGGCCAAACAAAACACACCACCCAUUCAAUUUUUUUGUACAUCUUAUACCACAUUCGCAGCCAACAUAAGAGCAAGAGUGGUGAUUGGGAAACUGGUGAGCUAAUUAGGCCUAUUGUCAAGUAAUACUUACAAUUUCAAAUUUAGGGUUUAUGAAAUGGAUGCAUUUAAUUAUUUUAAAAGCAAAAAAGCAAAUCUGAGAUGAUUCUUUGGUGCUUAUUGACAGAGGAAGAUACCGUGUGAAGGGCAAGAGUAUUUGACAAAGCAAGAGAUUCUGGAAAGAGGACUUACAAAAGCACGAGCAGCGAUUUGAGAAGCCGCAGCCGCUUUCUCCGCCCAUAUUUACCACAAUCGUGCUGCUUUUUUCCAGUGCGUUUCCUUUGCUUUUUUGUUUAACUUAAAUGCAUUAAUUAUUCAUUUGCUAACCGGUGGAUAUAUACAGUGGUUUUCUUUUCUUUUAUGUUUAACUUAAAUGCAUUAAAAUGUAUUAAUUAUUCCUUUAUUAGCAAUCCUGCUACUCCUUUUCCCUAUCAUUGCUUUCCCGACCUCUUUACUUUAAUCCAAAUAUAUAAAAUUAUUAUUAUUUAUUUCUUUCCUAACUAGUGGAUAUAUACAAAUUGAAUGUAGUAACUAGCAAUGAAGUUGGGAGAUUACGUAAUCCAUGAUCAUACAAUUAAUUGCUUGGUAAAUUAUUCUAAAACAUAGGGAUUUUUUUUUUUUUUUUUAAAAUAUGUUGAAGUAUUUAGGCACAUAGCAUAAGCACUUUAAGCGAAUUCAAAAUCUAAAGUUUUAAAAUAUAGUUCCAUAUUAAAUUGAAAAAUAUUUGGAAAAUUAUACAUAUAUAUAUAUAUCCAUAUUAAGGUGGACAAUAUUUGCAAAAGUUAGAAAAGUAGCAGGGGAUUUUCUUAAUCAGUCCAACAACUUGCCUUCUAAGUCACCCACCAAAAUCAUACCUAGCAAAAUACUACUGCUACUACAAUGCAAUGCAAUACAUAUUGCAUGUGGAUGAAGAGACCAAUGUAACCUGGAAUUGGUUUUUGCGUCUUCUUCGUCAACAGGUUCUUAAAGAAAGACAAGUUUGCCUGAUUUCUGAUCGUCAUAAAGGAAUAUUAAAUGCAAUUAGAUUGCAGAGGCUUUGGCAACCCCAUAUGCUGUUCAUUGACUUUGCUUGCGACAUGUUAGGAGUAAUUUUAACACAAAGUUUCGUAACACGCAUCUAAAGAAAUUGUGUUGGGAUGCUGGUUCUACCCCUCAAAAUCGCAAGUUCACCAAGAUUAUGGCACUCAUCUCUUUUAUGAUUUAAGAAAUAGCACUGCCCUGCCCUAGAAGGAAAUUGGGGCCUAUUGCGAAUAAAAGAUUGUGAAAAUUUACCUUUAUACCCUAAUUAUUUGGAGAAACUUAAUGAACAAACUUUGCAAAAGAAACUUGUUUCAUGUCAGCAAAUUAAGUAACUAAUUAAAUAAUUAAAUUACUUGUGAUUUUUACUUUCAUAUAAUUAAUUUAUGUUAAAUACAGAACCUACCAUUUUCCCUUUCAUAAAAAUAUGAGAGUAACACUUUUUGAAUUUUACUUACAACCAUUUGUAUAUUUAAGAUAAAUUAAAUGAACCAGAAUAAAAUGUUCAUAACUAGCUAGUACUUUGUUCAUGUAAUAGAAUAAACCCAUAAAGAACUGGUAUGUUAUGGGCAAUUUCUUUUUUUUUUUUUUACUUUCACAUAUUUAAUUUAUGUUAACUACAAAACCUACUAGUUUUCCUUUCGUAAAAAUAUUAGUAUAGCACUUUUUAAAUUUUACUUACAAACAUUUAUGUAUUUAAUAUAAAUUAUAUGAUUCAUAGUAAAAUGCCUACCCCCAUAGCUAGUACUUUAUUCAUGUAAUAAAAGAAGCUCGUAAAGAGCUGGUAAAAAGUGGGUAAUUUCUUUUUUUACUUUCAUGUAUUUAAUUUUUAUUAAAUAUAAAACCUACUAGUUUCCCUUUCGUAAUAAUAUUAGUGUAACACUUUUUGAAUUUUACUUUUAAAUAUUUAUGUAUUUAAUAUAAAUUAAAUGAUUCAGAGCAAAAUGCUUAUAAAUGGCUAGUACUUUAUUCAUAUAAUGGAAAAAACUAGUAAAUAACUAGUAUGUUGUGGGUAAUUUUUUUUUUCACUUUCAAAUACUUAAUUUAUAUUAAAUACAAAAGCUACUAGUUUCCCUUUCGUAAAAAUAUUUGUGUAACGCAUUUUUAAUUUUAUUUACAAAUAGGUGAGUUCUAGUGUCAGCAACCUCAGAGGAGUUCUGAAAUUUUCCCUUUGAUUAAAGUUUUCAAGAUAUGUGAUUAUUCUAACUCAUUUUGGGCCAUCAUAUUUUUACACUAAACAUUUAGGAUUAACUUUUUAUGAAUCAUAAAAUUUUCUUUAGAAAAAGUGUUACGAUUUUUUAAGGCAAAUUACCAGCAUUUAAGAUACAAAAUAUGUGCAUGCAUAUGUAAAAUCCAAAGUUCAAAAACCUUUAAGCCUUUUGCAAACUUGAAAUGAAAUCUAUACCAGAUAAAUUAAUAACAACUAUGAAAUAACAAAUUUUUUGGAUCUUGACUUGUGUUAGUGAGCUAAAUUAAUAAUAACUUCGAUAAAAUAAUAAGAUAAUAUUUAAAAAAAAAGCUUACAUAACCCAAGUCAAGAUCAAAGAAAUGAAAAAAAGUGGUACAUAUUGAUAAACGAAAAAUGCAUUCAUCUAAUGCGUUUCUUAAACAAUAGCGCAUUGUCGAAAUGCGUUUUCUUGUUAAAAAACGCAUUCCACUAAUGCGUUAUUUAACCAAUAUUUCCUAUUUAAAUAAAUUUAUGAAAAUUAAAAUGACGUAUUUGAAAAUUACGUUUUUAUUUGAAAAGACGCAUUCCUUGAAUGCGUUUUUCACCCUUUGAGAAGAGACUAAAAAAUCACCACUCUGGGAAGUUAGAUUAAAAACUCCCUCUUUUUGGGAAUUUACUCCUGCACAGUCCCAUCCCACCAACAAGAUUAAAUCAAGAGACUCUUUUUCUUUUUACUUUUUUUUGAAAGGUAAAUAUUUUUAAUAUUAUGUUUUGACUCCUAGGUUGUUAAAAAUUAUUAAUAUACCUCAAAUAUUUCAUACUUUGUAAAUGUUGUCUUAAAGUUUGGUGUUAUUUUUCAAUUAAGUUCAUAAUUUUAAUUCUAAACUUGUUAAUGCUCAUUAAAUAAUAUAAAUUGCUACUUGAUUGUUCUAAUUUUUUGUAUUUUCCUGUUAAAUAUAUUGGAAACAUCAAAUAUAUAUAUAUAUGAAUAUAUCUUUAUUAAUAUUAACAUGUUAUUAGGUAUUUUACAUAUAAUAUUUUAAUUUUUAAAUUAUUUUUAUUUAUGACAUCAUCCGGUUGAACCCCGAUCGAACCUGGUUGAACCCAUUGAUCCCUGACCCCUAAGCUCGAUCGAGUUGAUACCCGGUCCGAUUCUGAAAACAUAGAUCUAAAGUCGUAUUUAGGGUUAUUUCUUGAAUAGGAUAGUGGUUAACGGUCGUAUCUUAAUCACCAAUACCGUAAGGAGAAAUUGAUUGUCAUCGCUUGUUUGACAGUUAUAACUUACUUAUCAGUGAGUAAAUGAAAUUAUUAUUGCAUCAGUGAUUAAUUGAGUGAACCAUCUCUGAAGUUAUUUCUUGGUAGAGUUUGUUUAUUAUUGAUUCAAUUUCAAUUAAUUGUAAUUUCGUCCUUUUUAUUCGAGUUGUUUAAUAUUCUCAAUUUUAUAAAAAUUCCUCGUACUCUGGGCUCUAGAAGAAACGAAUUUUUUUCUAGUUACUAUGGAUUUGAUCCUACUCACCACUAUAUACAAAAUUUAUAUUUUACUCGAGUAAAUAUUUAUUAUUGUACAUGCUCGACACUUGUCACGACUAAGCUCCAUCUAUGCAAAUCCUAUCUCAUGUCCUUGAUCACUUUUAAUAUGUAAAACCAUAUGCAUGGUCCUAAUUCAAAUAGUAAGGUAUAGCAUAGAACAACUCAACGGAAAGCUUAUGAUUUACCCAUUUAAACACUAGGAAAUUUUGCAAAAAUUUGAAAUUUUUAAAAAAAAAGCAAAACUUUGAACUACGUUACUAACUUUACCAAACUUUUUUGGAGCAAGUUUUGUUUAGAAAAUUCAGUGUUAUUUAAUUAAUUCAGAUGUGCAAUUUUUGAUUAUCAAAUGCGUCUAAACAUGUUAUUAUCUAAAUCCAUUAACUUUAAGUGUUGAAUUGGGUUAUCAAAUAGGGCCAAAAACUUAACAAUUCAACAACUUAACUUAAUGGAAUUCAAACUUCAAACUUUAGUUUUCAAAUUUUAAUUUUAUCAAACGCACCUUCCUUUUACCCAAAUUCUACCAAAUAGAAUUUUUCUACAUAUUACCACCCUCACAAUUCACAAAGUCAUUUUAACAAUUGAAUCUAUUAACUAAUGUCAGUCGGUUUGGACCGUUGUGUGAUAUCAAAGGUGAAAAAAAUCACAUGUGUGCACAAAAAUAAAACAAAAAAAAGGUGUAGACUUUUCUUUUAUAAAAAUAGAGAAUUGUAAUUUUAGUCUCCAAUUUUUAGCAUAUGUGCUAAAUUAGUCUCUAAUGUUUUGACCAAAAUAAAUUUGGUUCUUAAAAUUUUUGGUAGUAGGUACAUUCAACAAUGACGAAAAGUUAGCUAUGACUAACAGUCAAAAUUUAAUUACUGUUAUUUAACAAUUUUAUUUUGUACUUUUGGACCAUAAUGUUUAAAUAUUUAAUCAUUUUAGUCAGUUAAGUUUUCCAUUGUGAUAUUGAGGGUAUUAGAAUAAAAUAAGAUGCAAAUUGCAGCACAAUUAUCUUAAAUGGGUACAAGCAAUUCUAAUUAAACUUUUUAUCUUUUACUUCACUUAUUCAUGCCACUAAUGUCUCAUAUACUUCUUUCCUUUGGUAUAAUUGGUCUCAAAUUUGGUAUUAUAUAUGUAAUUAUUGUUUUAUACUGUUAGUAAUUAAUUGAUAAUUAACCCAUAUUGAGUAAAAACACUUCAUAUUAGUGUUUAUGUUUGCUAGUUUUUAUAAUUACAAUUCCUAACUAUAACAAUUUAAGGUCUAUAUGCACAAGCCAUGCAAGAACUAGCAUGAAUGAUAAUAAAUUUUAUAUUAAUACUAUAAUUUUCCCUUUUUAUUUUAUAUAUUAUGUAUAUAUUGUCAUUUAAUUGUUACUUAUUAAAAAAAUAAAACUCUUUAAGUUUAACGAUGUUAUUAUGUUGAUGUAAGUGUUUUUAUGAAAUUUUAUAUGGUUUAGGAUGACAUUUGUCAUAUCUUUAAUUCAAUUCACACUUUUUUUCCAUUUUAAACCCCUAACUAUAUCAAGAAACAUAAGAGGCCAUAUUGAUUGAAACUUCAAACAUUAGGGACUAAAAAUGUAAAGUUAAAAUCAGAAAAUUUAGAGACCAUAUUUGUUUUGCUAAUACAUCAUAGACCAGUUUGAUAUACAGGUCAAACACUGAGAGUCAAAUUUGUGCUUCUCCCUUUGGAAAAAUUUUGAGAAGUAGUAAUAGAAAGAUUUAAAAUUCUUAAAGACAUACAAGUUUUGGCAAAUUCACAAAUUCCUAAUAUCUAAUAAAACACACAUAAUCAAAAUUACCAAUUUAACCUGUCCAACUUAGCAAAGCCCCACUCUAAUUAUCUGAUCCCAAAUUCCCUUUCUUACUCAUUUUGGGAGGGAAUGAAUUAGCACAAAAAUAUGAGGCAAUCCUUCUAGGACUAUUACUUGGGCCGAGUUAGUUUGAACUCGGCUCCAAGAAAAAGUUUAAUGAGCAUAAACUUUCACUGAGUUGGGUUAAAUUUGGGUCUAAAUAUUAGUCCCGAAUUAAAUGUGAGUAGAGUUUGAAUCUUAUUAGGGUCAAAUUCAAUAUAGGUUCAACCCUUUAAUAUGCAUCUAUCUAUAUAAUUAUAUAUAAUAUAUUCAUAUUUUGAUAUAUAUAUAUAUAAUUAUAUAUCUAAAUAUAUAAUACUAAUACUUAUGAGUUAUUUGUAAAAAUACAUAUAUGUAUAUAAGGAAUAUUAAAUAUACAAAAUUAUGUCAAAAGAAUUAGAAAGACAAAUCUUAGGAUGAGCAAAUUGAGGACCUUUGAAGAUGUAUUGACUGUUGAUAAUGUUUUAUUACUAUUUUUAAUGUGCAUUAAAUUAAUUGGAUAUAUGAUUGUUGAAAAAUUCUUGGUUUUAUAUACUUUUUAAUGAACUGUUACUGGUUCCUAUAUAGUUUUAAUGUUGUGGUUCUAUGGAUAUUAAAUUAGUUUAAAACUUAAUAAUUAUAGUAAUUAUAUUAAGGAAUUAAGGAGUUAUAAGUGAGCUUGAGUUAAGUCAGAAUUAAACUUAUAAUCCGAAUAUUUUGUGAGUCAAGUAUGAGUUUCAUAUUUAUCACUUCAAAUCUCAUAAUUCGAAAUCCAAAAAUGGUGCUAACUAUAUGAGCCAAAUCUGAGUUUGUUAAAUCUCACUUCAGAUAGCCCAAUGACAAGCCUAAAUCCUACCCUUUUUUGAUUCAAAUGAAUUUAAAUUUAAACCUAUAGUUUAGUACUCAUAUUCUUUUUUACCCAAACUGCCUUUUGACCUUUGAAAAAAAUUACCGAAAAUACUACAAGUUACCUUCACCUAGAUUAGAAUUAUGUCAAGUAAUCAUGAAAGUCAAGUCACAUAAUCGAUUUUGUUGUCUAGGUUCUGUUUUUCUUUUUUAUUUUUUUAUUCUAACUGCAAAAAAGGUUCCUAAUCACAAUACUACUAUGAUUGAUCAUGGAAGUAUAUCGUUUGGAUUGCAUUUUCUUGGAAGGGUAUAUUGUAACACUUCUUUAGAUGUGAUUUAUAUGAAGUAAAAAAAUCAUUGAAAAAUGUAUCAAUGGAAUAUUCCCAAAAAAACAUGAGAUUUUUUACCAGAGAAUAGCAAUCCAAAAAAAAUCUAGUAUAUUGGCAUACUACUGCAAAUUGACCUCUUUCUAUAAAUAUAUUAUUUUUAUAACUUAAACUAUCCCAAAAAAAGAUCUCUAAUCAAAAUAUUGAAUUGUUAUGUUCAAACUUGUAACAUAUAUGCUUCUAAUAAAAUAGGAAAAAAAUGAAAUAGUUCAAUCUUUAAAAGUAGGGUAAAAUACAAAAAAGUCCCCUAUGGUUAAGUUAACCUACGGAAAAGUCCUUUAUGAUUUCAUACCAUACAUUUUGACCUCUCAUGAUUUGAACUAAUUUGAAACAGCAACGAAAAUCGUCAAAACUAGCGGAGGUAGACAAAAUAAUACAAUUAUCCUAAUAUAUAUAUAUAAGCACUAAAACACGUUCUAACAACCAUCCUAUUAAGCAAACUAACGGAAAAAUCCCUUGUGAUUAAACCAAUCUAUGGAAAAGCCCCCUAUGGUUACAUGUAGUUUUUAUUUAUUUAUUUAUUUUGUGCACAUGAAUAAGAUAAGUUGUAUUUGGAAGUUUCUAUUUAUUUAUUUUAUGUAUAGAAACAAAGUGAGUUUUAUUUGAGAAUUUUUAUUUAUUUAUUUUAUAUAUAGAAAUAAAGGUGAGUUGUAUUUGGGAGUUUUGGGUUGUUUUUUGAAAAUUUUAUGAGUUCUAAGGUGUUUAAUAGGUAUAUCAGCUAAAAAUUUGAUUUAAAAAAAUUUAUUUUACAUGUCAAACAACCUCAAACUCAUUAAUUUAAAUAAUUUUUUGCCGAUUUUCACAUUAAUUCAAAACCACGAGAUACUAGAUCGUAAGAUUUGAAACCAUAAAGGCAUUUUCUGUAGGUUUGAUUGAUCACAUGAGGCUUUUGUUAAAGAAAAAGGUGCUUCUGAAAAAAAUUGGGAUUGCAAUUGCCACAAGAGGGACAGCUUUGCAGUCGAAAAACAAAAUCUAUUAACAAGCUGUAGCCAAGUCCUUGCACUCACACAGCGAGGGACAAUGGGGGGAACCACCGCAACUAUAGUGCAGGCCAACCACUGUCGUUACCAUUGUUAACGCCCUGGCUCUGGUGAACAAUCCUAAAUCUCACUUGGACCUUCGACUUUUAGGUAUAUUGGGAUUUUAAACCAAAAAACUUGGUUGCGGAUGGAAAGUUAAGAUGAGUCUUUUGGACGUUUUUAACCCAACUCCUGUGAGCACACCAUCUUUCUUUAAUAUAAUUGUCAUAUGGGCCAAUUAGUGUUGAAUUCAUAUCAAAUUGUUAUGCUUGAACAAAUUCCCUUUACUAGGCUAGAUGACAUUUCAUCCCUCACACAUGCUGAAGACUGGGAAUUAACCAAUUAUUGUUAUUUGAUACAGCCUGCUCUACAUGUUUUUGAGUGGGAGUAUUCGUCAAUUUUUCCUCGCAUUCAAUGGCAUAGGGGGUAUUCAUUGUCCAAGGUGACUUGUCUAUGAUCGUGAAGAGAUGGCUUAUCAUGCUUGGCACUAGAGACAUGAAGUUUUUUAACUCCACCUGUGUUGACACAAUACAUCACACAGCCGGUCCCAAGUCCGGAUGAAGGAGGAGGGAUUUUUUUUAUGUUUUAGAAGGCAGCUCUUAGCGUACGUUCUCAAAAUCCUUCUGUGCAGAUUUAUAUAUGAAAGGUUGGUGAAUGCGAGUUUUUUUUUUUCAUUCUUCUUGGUAGUGCUGAAUUUCUGGUCUUCAUUUCAUAGUUGAUCUGGAUUUUAGCAUCUAUCCCGGGUUAUAAUCCAAUCACAUUUCUUUCAUUCUUUUACUUUGCUUUGUUUUGCAACCGCACUUUACUUUUUCAGAGUUUGUAUACUUGUUCACAUAAAUUGUUGUGUGUUAGAGCUGCCAAUGAACUGGUUUACUGUGAGUAAUCAACAUGCACUAGUACGUUUGGCAUUGGAAAUUGACAAGAACUUUUAAGCUGGUUCUCUUCUGUUCAUUGAGUCACUUGAAUUGUGUUGUAAUAUGUUCUUAAGCUCACUUGCUGUUGCAAAGGUAAUGAACUUUGUUUUAUCUCAUGCUGAUCUUUCAUACAUGUUUAGGUUAUAUCCGCAAAAUAUGAUACCAAAAAAGGUUAUGCUACUGAUAUUUCAGACACAAGUUGUACCAUUUGGUAUGGUCGAAAUUUGACUGUAGAGUGGCUUUCAUCUCUUGAAUUUCUUUCCCAAAUUCGUGUGCUAUAGGUAGAUUUGCAGCACCAUUUUAGUCAGAACGGAUGUUUAGAGCAAAGUGAUGCUGAUUACUUUCUAAUUUUGCAAUUCUUGGCAGGGAUAAUUCUAUGGGAUCAGUCUAAUGCAAUUUUGUAUUGUUACAGUUUAAUUAAAUGAUCAAGCUUUUAUAGAACCUGUGGACUCACAUAUGGAUUUGAAGUCCUAUGUAGAUUAGAAAUUCUGUGAGUGGAAAGAUGUCUUUCUGGCAAUGUUAUUGAUUGUGGAAUUUGUGGCAGGGUCUCCUGGCUGUUUGGUGAUAGCCUGCAGACGCAAUUCUUUGCUCUUCAAUCAACAGUUCAAAUUUUCCUCAAUUAUGAUGGUUUUAUGUGAUUAAGGAUGAUAAUGCAAACAGGGUAUGUGAACUAUUGUAUACUAGGCCGAAUUCAAAGAGAAGAAUGUGAUUCAGGAAAAGAAAAUAUUGUAAAUCAGGUCUUAAUGCUCAUUGGUCUCAAGUACUGAAAAAUGUUCACAAGCUUAUGGUUCAUUCCUUGACAAGUACAUAAACUGAUUUUUAUAGAGCUUUAAGAAAUAUUCUGAAUUAACUCGACAGUUUACUGAUUUGACAAAGCCAAAUUGCAGAUUGAAGGGGGCAAGAUUUUGUUGUUCCAACCAUCAACUUGAUCUACUAGCUAAUAGCUUAUUUUCAAACCUGCACAAACAGUUUUCGUUCAGUCCAAAACUGAGCCCUUUUUUACUAGGGGUGUGCAUCGAAAUCGAAAGCAAUAAUUCGGAAGUUUGAAAUCGAAAAUUUUUGAAAUUUUGGCUUCAGUUUUCCCGACCGAAUUGAAUUCGGAAUACGGUGGAUUUUGAAUUCACCGAAUUUUUUUUUUGGCCCUCUCUCCUCUUGAAAUAAACUUAAUUUCGUCUCUAUUUAAGAGGAGAUUUGAAAGCCGUUCCUCCUCCAACCAAAACAGGUUGUUAACCAGAAUCAUUAACACCAAUUUAAUCCACGAACAUGUCAUGAACACAUCUAAUCAUUAUCUUCUAUCUAUUAAAGUUCAACCCUGCUGAGUGCUGAGCUUCAGAGAUCUCAGAAAGAGCACAAACAAAUGCCAAUUGUAACUGAAAGUCAUAGAACACCUUCAGCACAUUCACAUAUUCCACGACUAAUCAACUUAAAAAUAGGCAAACACCCUAAUUUACAUUGUCAUAUAUAAAUUUAGAAACGGGCAAACUGUCUUUUGACAGAUUUAAUGUUCACAGCCAGAAGCAUGAACAGAAAACACAUACAGUGCACAAAAAUGUAUAAUGGCGCCUGCCUGCUGGAUGGUUUUCAAGAUGUGCCUGGAAAACACAUAAGUGAAAAACAAAAGUUCAGCACCUCUGUUGCACCUCUGUUGCUCCGUGUAUGUCAGGGAGAAGAAGAAACAAAGAAAUUAAAAAGGUCAAAUAAUACAAUUUGUUAAUUAACACUCAAAACCAUUUUUUGUGCGUAUUAGUACCCAAAGAAUGCAUUUAACUAAGAAAAAAUAAGGAUUGAGCAUGCCAUUGAAAUUAUUGAUGAAAAAUCACUGGCGUAAGAAACAUAGCUGAAAAAGGUGAGUAAAAGCACUGGCGUACCUCAAAUUGUCCGACAGUCUUGAAUAUGAAGGCUGAUAGUGUCUGUCUCUGUCGGGCUUGAAGAACUGUUUGUUAGGACUGGGUCAGGAAUAAACCAACAAAAGUUAGCACAAAUUAGACGGUAUAACCGACCAUAUAAUAGAUAGGCGGUAGACACCGGUCAUAUAAUAAUUAGGCGGUAAAACUGACCAUAUAAAAGGGUUGUGGCAACUCAAUAAAGACAACUAACAAAGCAAAUAAAAGACACAGAAGAUUUACGUGGUUCGGUCAAAUUGACCUACGUCCACGGGCGGAGGAGGGGCAAUAUUUCUACUAUGAAAAAGAAAUACAAAAGCCGUAAGAAAGUGGUUCUUAGGCCAAUAGACACUUACAAAAGAGUUUAUAAAAUAUUCCUAAAUUCAAAACAAGCGAGCCUAAAAUAUUUGACUAAAUGGGUUAGAUGACUCAAGAAAUUAAUAGCCCAUAUAAUACUCUCUUGAGUGGUGCGAUUUAUUCCUUCAUACGCCUCCUAUAUUUAUAGGCUUACUGAAGGAACCUUUCCUGCUGUCUACUGUGAUGUGGGAUGGAAGAAAAAAACUUCCUUACGCAGCAUCUGAUGUGGAACAAAAAUUUUGCCAUACACAAGUCAAACAUUUUGGCUUGACAAAUCAACAAAUCUUUACCUUGGCAUAAUUUUUAGUUCCACCAUCAACAAUAAUAAAACUGCUCCACUUUCUCCACAUAAGCCCCAAUGGGCCAUAUCACAAACAGUGCACAUCAAUCAAGUCCAAGCACUACUUGAACUUGUAAACUGGCAGAGGCUUCGUAAACAUGUCAGCUGGAUUGUCCUUGGUAUUGAUUUUCUGAAUAAGGACCUUUCCUUCAGCAAUGAUGUUCCGAAUAAAGUGAUAUUUCACAUCAAUGUGUUCCGUCCUCUCAUGAUACAUCUGAUCUUUAGUCAAGUGUAUGGCACUUUGACUAUCACAGUGAAUAUCAGUAAUACCUUGAUGCAGACUUAGCUCACUAAAUAAAUUCUUCAACCACAAGGCUUCUUUGAUUACCUCGGUCACAGCCAUAUAUUCUGCCUCUAUAGUAGACAAAACUAUGACAGGUUGUGGAGUAGCUUUCCAACUGACAGCACAACCGCCAAUGCAAAAUACAUAACCUGAAAGUGAUCUUCUCCUGUCAAGAUCCCCAGCGUAGUCUAAGUCUACAAAAUCAACCAAAGUGUUAUUAUUUUUUCCAAACUCCAAACAUGCAUUUGAAGUACCUCGCAAGUAUCUUAAAAUCCACUUCACAGCCUGUCAAUGUGUUUUUUCAAGGCAAGACAUAUAUCUACUAACAACACUGACUGCAUGUGAGAUAUCUGGACGAGUACAAAUCAUUGCAUACAUAACACUGCCGACUGCACUGGAAUAAGGAACCCGUGCCAUAUAAUCUUUCUCUUCAUCUGAUUGUGGUGAUUGAGCAGCAGAUAGCCGAAAAUGGCUAGCAAGAGGAGUAGAUACUGGUUUAGCAUCUUUCAUGCCAAAACGCUUUAAGACUUUUUCAAGGUAAUUUUUCUGAGUAAAAAAUAACUUCCCUACUCCUCGAUCUCUCUUGAUAUUCAUGUCAAGAAUUUUCUUAGCUGCUCCUAAAUCUUUCAUUUCAAAUUCACUAUUUAACUGCAGUUUCAAAGUGUGAAUUUCUAACAAAUUCUUAGCAACAAUGAACAUGUCAUCAACAUAAAGCAGCAAAUAAAUGAAAGAACCAUCAUUUAACUUCCGGAAGUAAACACAACUAUCAUUCAUGCUCCUUAAAUAACCAUGACCCAAUAUAAAGGAAUCGAACCUUUUAUACCAUUGCCUUGUAGACUGUUUCAAUCCAUAUAAGGAUUUCUUCAACAAGCAAACAUGGUCUUCCUUACCUUCAAUCUCAAAACCCUGGGGUUAUUUCAUAUAAAUUUGUUCUUCAAGUUCACCAUGCAAGAAAGUUGUCUUAACAUCAAGUUGCUCUAACUCCAAAUCAUACAUGGAAACUAAAGCAAACAAAACACGAAUAGAGUUACGUUUAACAACAGGUGAGAAUACAUCAUUAAAAUCAACACCUUGUACCUGACUAUAACCCUUUGCAACCAAUCGUGCUUUAUACCUUAUAUUUUCAACCCCUGGAAUACCUUCCUUUUUCUUGAAGACCCACUUGCAACCAACUAUUUUCUUAUUUGACGGCGGCUUUACAAGAACCCAAGUUCCAUUCUAAUGAAGGGAUUCAAUUUCUUCAUUCAUCGCAAUCAACCAUUUUAUAAAAUCAUCACAAGAAACUACUUCUGAAUAGGUGGAAGGCUCACCAACUGUAUCAGUUUCUUCUGCAACAGACAAAACAUAUGCAACUAAAUUUGUAUAUCUUUGUGGUGGUCGAAUGUCUCUCCUUGUUCUAUCUUUGGCUAUGGAAUACUCUUCUUCUUCUAAACUAUCUUCAAUAGUAGAUUCAGCUGCAUCUACUGACACUUGCUGAAUAGAAGAUUUGGACUGAGAAUGACCAGAACUGCCAAUAUCAAGCUCCACCUGCUUCUGUGUACUAUCAGUAGUACAAGGACUAAAAGACUCCUUCUUGGAAGAUAACAUAGACAAUUCAUCAAAAGUAACAUCUCUACUGAUUACAAAUUUUGAAGAUUUAGGAUCAGGACACCAAAAUCUGUAUCCUUUCACCCCAGAAACAUACCCGAGAAAAAUGCACUUUUUAGCCCUAACCUCCAAUUUUCCAUCAUUCAUGUGCAUGUAUACUGGACAUCCAAAAACUUUUAAAUUGGAGUAAUCAGCAGGAGUACCUGACCAAAUUUUCUCAAGAGUUUUGAAAUCAAGAGAUGCAGAAGGAGAACGGUUGACAAUAUAACAGGUCAUAUUGAUCGUCUCUGCCCAAAAGUCGUUUGUCAACCCUGCAUUGGAGAUCAUACAUCUUUCUCUCUCCAAAAGCGUUUUAUUCAUACGUUCGGCCACAUCAUUUUGUUGAGGCGUCAUCCUGACGAUGUGAUGCCAAACAAUUCCUUCAUUUUUGCAAAAUCUAUCAAAUUUACCUCCACAAAAUUUCACGCCAUUAUCUGUUCUCAACCGCUUAAUAUGUUUUCCUGUUUGUUUCUCAAUCAAAACUUUUCAUUGCUUGAAAAUUAGGAAAACAUUAUUUUUAUGUUUAAGAAAAUAUACCCAAACUUUCCUUGAAUAAUUAUCAAUGAAAGUCAACAUGUACCUGACACCACCUUUAGAAAGAGCACGAGAAGGACCCCAUAGAUCUGAAUGAAUGUAAUCAAGAGUACCUUUUGUCUUGUGAAUUGCUGGUGAAGUGAAACUAACUCUUUUCUGCUUUCCAAAAAUACGAUGUUCACAGAAUUCCAAUGACCCGGUACUUUGUCCACAAAAAAGUCCUCUUUUGCUUAGUAUGCCCAAAUCUUUUUCGCUCAUGUGCCCCAACCCCAUAUGCCAUAAUUUGGUGAUGUCUGUAUUUGACAAAGAUGAUGUUGAAACAGCAGCAGCACCUGUAACAGUAGAUCCCUGCAAAAUAUAUAAAGUACCAGAUCUGUGUGCCUUCAUAGCAACAAGAGCACCUCGAGUGAUUUUGAGAAUUCCAUCUCCACCUGAAUACCUGCACCCAAUAGACUCAAGAGUGCCUAAAGAGAUGAGAUUUUGCUUCAAAUCUGGAACAUGUCUAACAUUUGUGAGUGUCCUCACAAUACCAUCGUACAUUUUAAUCCGGGUUGUACCUUUACCAACAACUUUACAAACGGCGUUGUUACUCAUUAAGACAACUCCACCUUCAGUUGAUUCAUAUGUUGAAAACCAGUCCCUAUUGGGAAACAUAUGAUAUGAACAAUCCGAAUCUAAAAUCCACUCAUUGUUAGACCUAAAAAUACUUUCCGUUGCACAGAAAAUGGUUCCAUCAUUCUCAUCAGCUGCUAUACUAGUUUCAGCAGAUUCAAUAUUUUUCUCAACAAAUUUCGCUUUUUGCUUUUCUUUAUUUUUCAAUUUAAAGCAAUCAGAGAUAACAUGACCCUUCUUUUUACAAUAAUUGCACACCACAUGUUUAUGUCUAGAUUUGGAUCUACUUCUAUUUUCUGUGUUUCUCUUUUCAGAUCUACCUCGAACAAACAAGCCAUCGGCUUGAUUCCCACUAGUUUUCCUAAUAAUAUCCCUAUCUAUCUGCUCUUUAGAUUUUAAUGCAGAUUUAAUUUUUCGAUAUGAAAUUGUUUCCUUUUCAUAAAUCAUAGUAUUACGGAAAUGCUUAAAGGACGGGGGAAGGGAACACAAAAGUAAUAGGGCCUGAUCUUCAUCAUCAAUUUUCGAAUCUAUAUUUUCCAAAUCCAUAAUAAUGGAAUCAAAUUUAUCAAGAUGGGAGAGUAUAGAAGUACCUUCAGACAUCCGAAGCAUAUGCAGGCUCUGCUUCAAAUAUAGUCGAUUCUCAACUGUCUUCUUCAUAUACAAGGCCUUAAGCUUGUCCCACAUACCUUUGGCCGAAAUCUCCGUUGCUACCUCAUGCAAUACCUCAUCGGAGAGAUUUAAGAUUAUGCUGGAUCUGGCUUUUUUAUCCAUAUCGGCGAAAUCCGCAUCCUUUACAUCUUCUGGCUUUUUCUACAUUCCCUGAAUUGCCAAAUCAAUUCCGUCUUGAACAAGAAUGGCUUCCAUCUUGAGCUGCCACAUCCCGAAGUUGACAUUCUUGUCGAAUUUCUCGACAACCGUCUUUGUUAUCGUCAUUGUUGCCACAAAAUCUAUAACUUGAAGUUUGUCUCAAAAACUAAUUAAACAAAUAUGCAAGUCUCGUGAGCGGGCCCCACGAGAUGAACGGGCCCCACAAGGUGAGUGGAACCCACGGGAUGAACGGGCCCCACAAAGUGAGCGGGCCCCACCAGAUGAACCUGUCUUACAAAAUAUAACAACCAACUCUGAUAACAGUUUGUUAGGACUGGCCCAGGAAUAAACCAACAAAAGUUAGCAUAAAUUAGGCGGUAGACACCGGCCAUAUAAUAAUUAGGCGGUAAAAUCGACCAUAUAAAAGGGUUGUGGCAACCCAAUAAAGAUAAAUAACAAAGCAAAUAAAAUACACAGAAGAUUUAUGUGGUUCGGUCAAAUUGACCUACGUCCACGGGCGGAGGAGGGGCAAUAUUUCUACUAUGAAAAAGAAAUACAAAAGCCGUAAGAAAGUGGUUCUUAGGCCAAUAGGCACUUACAAAAGAGUUUAUAAAAUAUUCCUAAAUUCAAAACAAGCGAGCCUAAAAUAUUUGACUAAAUGGGUUAGAUGACUCAAGAAAUUAAUAGCCCAUAUAAUACUCUCUUGAGUGGUGCGAUUUAUUCCUUCAUACGCCUCCUAUAUUUAUAGGCUUACUGAAGGAACCUUUCCUGCUGUCUACUGUGAUGUGGGAUGGAAGAAAAAAACUUCCUUACGCAGCAUCUGAUGUGGGACAAAAAUUUUGCCAUACACAAGUCAAACAUUUCGGCUUGACAAAUCAACACCGGUGUUCAAUUUCAGGUGUGAUGCAAAUCACGAUUGAAAUCUCUGAGGUGAAAGAGGCGAUGGAAGCGGUGAGUAGGGGUGUCGGUGAGAGAGUAAACUGAGUCGGUGAAAGAGAGUGAGAGAGAGUAAGCUUUGUCGAUGACUCGGUGAGUCAAGUGGUGACGAAGACAGUGACGAAGAGGCGAUGAAGGAAGAGGCGGCGCGGCGGAAGCUCAAGGUGAGUUAAGAGAAAUUAGGUUUUUGCAGAUAGGGAAGCUCAAUUUGUCGGAACUCGGAAGCUCGAUUUCAAUUAGUAAACUUAUUAUGUUAAAAACUAUUAUAUUAUAAUUAUAUUUAAAUAUUAUUAUUAGAAAUCGAAUUCGAAUUUCCUAAUUCGAAUAUCCCAAUUCGAAAUCGGUAAUUCUGAUUUUAAAAUUUUUAUUUUCGAAUUCGACCAAUUCGAAAACGGAAUUACCGAUUUCAGUUCUGAAUUACCAAAAUUCUGAAUUCGAAAUUCCGAAUUCAAUUUGAAAUCGGUUUCGAAAUCAAAAUUUUUCGAGUUUGCACACCCUUACUUUUUACUACACACAAAUGAUGGUCAUUUUCCUGCUCCAAUAGUCCCAAAAAAGUUCAUAUGCCAAUGUCACAAAUCUCAUGCAUAAAAUGCAGGUUUUAAAAGAACUAUUUGACCAAAUAAACUAUUCAAAUACUGAGAACACUUGUAACAAACAUGGGAAUCAUUACUCUAACAAAAUGUUUAGUCUAGCUGCAAUAUUGGGCCAAACUAUAUAUAAAUAUAACCAAACAUUACAAGAUUUUCCAAUGACUACUUCUUUAAUAACUUCUUGGAAGAAGAACAGUGAAACCAACAGAUACUCCAAAAAGGAGGAUGAGCAGGAUAGUGAAGUUGACCAUCAAUGCUUCUUGCCCUCUUCCUAAGCCCGUGAAGAUGAAUUUCUCAAUCAAGCCGGUCACAACACUCAAUAUUGCCAUGAAAAAUAUAACCAUUUCAAGCAGGACAUGCCAUGGUGCAAAAUUUGCGCUAGUUGUGGAAUCUCUGGCUCAGAACCAAAAGUUAAAGAAGCUAAACAGCCACUGACAAAAAAAGUUCAGAAUUUUCCAUUAGAUUCUGGCUCUUGUUGUUUUAAUAAACUUGUUCUUAUUUUUUUAUGCAUACAAGUCGCAUUACCUGUUCUUACAGACAAAUCCCCACCCUCUUCAUUUUCUUUGUAGAUUUGCAGGUCAUCACGCAUGUUAAUUUGCAUUAUCUGCAAGUAGGUUUCCCAUUGAGAUAGUUCAGAAAUAUGAAAUUGGAUGAAUCAAUCAGAUCAUCUAUAAACAAAAAAAAAAAAGAUGGUGAAGAAAUAUCAUGCAUGCUGAUUCUGCACAAGUUCAGUAGCAUAAGUAUAUAAAAGCCAUAGGCUAUUGUCUUCAAGAAUUACAUUUCAUUAAACUGCAAUUUCUCUGCUAACAAUCAUAUCAAACAAUUAUGUCAGAAUUGCUCCCAAGCUCGAGUAUUCUGCCCUUAGACCAUCUAUUGUACAAUCAAUUUUUGAUUAUCCUUGUGCUAAUUGUCACUUUUUUAACCAAGAUUUCAUAAACUAAUACAGCUAUCAAGAUAGAACCGGGUUAGCAAAAAAGUUGUAGAAAGAAGCAUUCUUCUAAGAUCAAAAGUGCUAAAAGUCAAUCAAAUUUUGUAAAAAAUUAAUGAAAAGAAAAGGUAAGGAAAGACAAUAGAUCACCACCAGCAAGAAAAGAUUAUCUAUAUUUGAUGCAUAAUUCUCUUAUCUCCAUAGGAGGAUUCAGAGGGAUUCUCAUCUUUAGAAGUCAAUAGUUCAAUUGGUCGCAGAUAUUUCUGUUCUCAUGGAAUUCUUCAGGUGUCAAUCAACAAUCAGGAUAUAAAAGUCUUCUAUACUUGCAACUAAUGGAAGUAGACGAAUACAGAAAGUUAUUGAUGCAUAUGAAAAUAACAUAAGAUUUGGAGAAUAUGCAAGGUUGUCCAUUGUAGGACUGAUGUAUCAGAUCUCUAUGUUGGCAGUUUGAAAAGGAGAAUUGGUACAAAAUAGUAUCCCCAUGGAUGCAACGGUUUCUAAAUUUCUUCUUCCUUACUUCUGUUCUAAUUUUCUGCACCAAUUGUAUCCUAGAGCCCUAUUUAGUGCACAAAUUCAGCAACUCACUAUUCCAACAACAUAGAGCAUGCUUCAAGCUUAUGACCCAUGUCCAGAUAACAAAGCACUUCCCCAGCUUUUGAAAUCCAUUAGAAGCACACUAAAAUAGCUUCUGACUUACACAGGCUGCUGAUCAGUAAAAAAUGUCCUGAACUCUUUUAACUAAUAGUCUUAAAAGCAGCAAACUCAUUCAUACAAAAUUUGAACACAAGCUUUUAACACUGAAUGUUAUUUGACAGUGGGGAAGAUAGGUUGAACUCUUACUUCCUCAUUGGUGUAUAUUCAAGGACAGGAAAAGAAACUACCACAUGCAAUGGAAGAUGAGAGUAAAAAGUCAGGAAGAAAGCCACAUAUGACACAAAGGUUUAGGACAUCACUUCCAAGACAAAGAUGCACAAAAAAUUCACCAAUGAAUAACUUAAAUAAGUCCUUCACGGAUGGCCUAACACACCUGGGUCUGUGGGUGUGUGUACAAUAGUACAUGCAAUAUGUACCGGGCUUCAGC
rnacentral:lncRNA from 1 species